UAAAUUUACAUGUUUGUGAAAUAACAUAUUACAUAAUGAUCUAUCUUACUAAAUUCUUUCAAUUUUUUAUAACAUUUUAAACGACAAAAAAAAAGUGAGAGAAUAUCCUCUCCCUGAUGUACUACAAUCCAAACAACACUUCGCUCUCAAUACAUCUUGAGUCAUGAUGGGAAAAGCGAAUGAUCGCAUCACUUUUUGGAGUUUUGGUGCACUUUUCGUAUAUCUCAGAAUGUGUUGCUUCACUCCAAAUCAGUUUGACGUGUUUUUUUGGGGGUAAAUUAAUAUGGUUAUAGAAGGGAUAAUCGUGAUAGCGUUUUCGAUCAAUUCGUAGGAUUUUUGACAUUUGAUUUGGCAAGCAGGCAAAUCAAAAUCGCCAUUCAAGAUAAGGUGCAUAGUACAAGUGGUGACCAAGAAGAACAGGUGGGCUUGUCAUGCCUAUGCGUCGUUCUUAUCCUCUAAAACUCGAGCUUAAAUUUGGUCAGGCAUGGUUUGAAACGAAGCUCGUUAUGUACUCCACGCUCUCUUCGUGUUAAAAAAAAAACUUUUAUCUAUGAAGCUAGAGAGACUCUUGUCCAAGUCUAUGGCAGAUUUUGGCAGUUUGUGAAAUCUUGUCAUAUACCAUGAGCAUUUAGUCGUUGUUUGAGUAAUAACAUCAUCUCUAGUUUAAAUUGUGUAGAUUCGUUUACAGCACGUGAGUAAACUCACGAUCGAGGUAAUCGAUUCGAGUUUGUUAAGAGAAGCUGAGAACGCUGGUCAAAUUUGAGCUUGUUAAGAGCACCUGAGAAUCGACUGCGUGUGAAUUUUGAGUUUGUCUACGGGCAAAUAUAUUUGCGCCUUCGCCGUUAGUUUGCUUAUUUACCUUAUCCUCGCUGGCCGCUGCGACACGGUUUGACGACGUCACAUCAGCACCGUGCUCCACGUCGGCCUCGCGAUUUACUGGGUCCCACUUUCAGUGUCUCGUCUGGCCACCUUCCUCCUCUCCGAGACUCCGAUCACACGUGAAGCGAGAGGGAUGCCGCGGCGACGGCGGCGAUGGACGCAGCGGCCACCGGUGGGAACGAGAGCCCUUGCCGCUGCUUAAUUAUUCGGGGGAUCAUGUGGUCGGCGAGCCCUUCUGCAUUAACUUGGAUCUAUAGUAGAACAUAUUGUCCAUCGAUCGUCAUAGCUAAUUUUAGUUUUUUUCCCGAGGAGAUAAAAAUUAAGGAAUUGCUAUAUAUCAUUCGUCAGAAAUUUGGGAAUGAAAUCUUAUAUAUUUUGGACCAUUGGAUCUGUGCCUAGAUUCGUGCAUCGACUUCUUGUCCAACUUUGACGAACUCCCCUUCUCAUGUGUCGGUGACACCCCAAUCGAGAAAGAGAUAAAUCGAUAAAGCUGACGGUUGGUUUGAGGUGGGUGGCUCACCAAGGAACACAGUCAGUUAUAUUUCACAAUUAGAUGAUCGGCAUCCUAUUUAUACCUGCAAUAUGUUUUUUUAUUUAUUAUUAUUAAGUAAUUUUUAGAAAGCCCUAUAUUUUAUUAUGAUUAAAGUUGUACAAAAUCACAAGUAUUAUGACUUGUGACACAUAAACCAUGUAUUAUGGAUUUAAAAGUUUCACAAACUUCACAUUUGUGCAUGUUUAGUACAAAUUUACCUGAAUUCUAAAACAUAGAGUGUAUGCAAUAUUUUUAAUUAAUCAAGAUUUUAUUAAAGGUGGUGUUUUAGAAACAUACUAGUAAUCGUGCACGUGCAAUGCACGUUUCCAACAUAUAAAAACACUCAAAAUAUGUCAUUUUCCUGCAAUAUAUGUCAUUUAUAAUCUUUGUCCUUCAACAGACACCAGAAAGUUAUGGCACCUCACAAAAGGGAAAAUGAACCUUCUGCUGCAGCCUACAUAACACAUUUAAGUGGCAAACAUGUAAGCAUAUCAGUUAAUGCUAAUGACCUCUGAAGCAAAGGACAUACUUAUGGGCACAUAUCCUUUUACAAUUGAAGUAAAAUGAAGCACUGCAAGAUUCAAAGAGCUGCUCACUCCACCUAGAGAGAAUUUGAUCUUUAUGCAUACAUAGAUGGAAAAAGAAAUAAUUGACUAAACCUGGUGUUCUGAAUGAAUUUCAGACUACAAACUUGUAUGUAUAACUUGAUGAAUAGAAGCUAGCAACUUCCAGAAUUUAGCACAGAGAAGAAAAGACUGUAAUCAAAUGGAUUCUGGAAUUGAAAUGCUGCCAGAGUUAAGUGAAUAAUCAGUUGGAACUAACCCAAUAUUCAGACCAUAGGAGGAAAAUAUCAGAUAUUCAGAGUUAUUAAUCUAGCAAGAAAGUGCAGUGGCAGUGUGCUGAAGAUCACUAUAGAAUAAAUAAUGGUUUUAGGCUGUACCUUACUCAGCUCUUCUGAAGAUCACCUUUCCCUGAAAUGAUUACAGUAUGCAGUUAAAACUUAAAACCAGUAAUUAAUUCUUCACAGGGUACACAAUUUUCGGCCAUCAAAUCCAUUCCAUAUGCGCCAACUACCAUUCUGAAUUCCUGAUACUUCUAUUACACAUGUUUAAUUCUUAACCUUGCUUUAGCUUUAUCCACUUGAAAACUUAUACUAUCUUGUUCUGCUACCAACCACCCGGAGGAAGCUCUACCAUGUAUUAUAUCCAAAAGACUACAAAAACCAAAAGAAUUGAGUUUAUUUUAUCGUCCCACGCAGAACGAAAAACUUAAUCACAACAGAGUUUCAUCGAGCACCAUGUACAGGAAUGAAUGAACGAAUAUGAAUGAAGUUGUCGGCUGAGGAAAAAGGUAGUGUUAGACCUUAAUUAGAAGCAUCAAUCUCCUGAGAUGGCAUGGCGGAUGGAGAGGAGGCAAAGCCAUGAUAAAGGAAGAGGAACAUCCCUGCUUUCAUAUGGCUGGAGCAGCAGAUGGUGAGGGUCUGAGGCCGAUGCCAUCCCGCCGGAGCUUACCACCCUCUUCGUCAGACCUGGUGCCUGCAACAACAGUGAGCUGCUUCUGGCUCCCGGCAUCGACGUCUCCCACAGCUCGUUCUUCAACCGCGCCGACGCCCCAGGCGCCCACGGUGCCCCUGCCGGCUUCCUCGACACUUUCGACGUCGCCAUCAACGGCGCGCUCCGCGCCGCUCCUGCCGCGGCUUCACCGGCUUUCCUCCUGCCGAACCUCAACGAUGACGCGACUGCGACUCUCCACGCCCAAGCCGUCGCCGUUCUGAACCACGACCGCAGAUUCGGGUGGCGCUGCCAUGGAAGGUGGAGAAGAACCGGGGGUGGAGCCGUCGGCAUCGGCGACUACAGAGGAACCGACAGCGAGGUGGAGCAGAAGUCAGCGAGGACGGAGGGAGUGGGUGGUUAAGCCGUGGUGCACUUCCGACGGGGGCGCCGAGGCAACGGGUGGUUGGUGCAUGUGUCCCAGCCUCCGGUGGCAGCAGCGGCCUCAACCCUCAGAUCUGGGGCGGCACAGAGGAAGUUACAUGCCAGAAGCCGGCGGCGACAAGAAGCAGCAUGGCGGAGAUGGAGGCUGGUGAUAAAAAGAACAGCGAAUGGUGGAGGCCGUGGCAAUGUGAAACAAUGUGGACAGCAAAAUCUGGAGAUGGAAUCAACAAAUGGACCAUUACCUCGCUAGCUCCCUUGAGGCUUCUUCCAUUGUCAAGAUCCAAAUCAACAACAGCCCCCCCAACCUUCCAAUUGAGCCAUUGAGGAGUGAAACGACGGCCGACAUGCAACGAAACGGAGCGGCCAAGAUACACUACGAACUCCACCACGGCCGGCUAGCUUCUGAUCUGGCCACUGCCACGACGCCACACCAGCACACGCUCUCGUGAAACCCUAGGCCCCUCUCCCGCAGGUGUGGCCUUCCCCGACACCGAGCCUUCACGCGACGGCGGAAGAGAUGACCGGCGGCCUGCGGCCACUACUUAUUAGGGGAGGAUGUGCGCACUGGUAUUCAAUGCGCGAGGAGGCGCAUCAUCCGGUGUCAUUGCUCUGUGCGCGGGAAUAACGCGGCAAGCGGUGGCGGGGAUAGCGCUCGAGGCGGUGUUACUGCGAAAGGGGUUCUCGCGCUCGCCCGGUGGGAUGAGGAAUCGGUGAUUUCACCGCUACACAGAGGGUGGGGACAUGGGGAUUGAUUUCACCUGUAGGAUUGCUAGUCACAACUUCUCCUUUUUAUAUUAGUAUAGAUAGACCAUAAAACCUGUGAUUAUUUGCCACGCUUCAUAAUACAUGUGGUUUUGUGCAAAUUUAACCAUAAAAUAUGGAGUGGAGUUUUCUGAAACUUUUUUAAAAAAAUAAAGAAAAGAAAAAGCUACUAAUCCAAACCGUAAAGAAGACGGGGAAUACGAGAAAUAUCUCCAAACAUAUACGCUGAAAAACAAGAAACCGACGCAGACUUGGAUCGAUGCGAUUUCAGCAGCCGUCGUCGUUGAUUCGGAUUCGGGGAGUAACCGCGCAAGAGCAGCGACGAUGAGGUUCGGUUUCCGUCUCCGAUUUCCCUUGGGGUUCCAUCCCCUUCAAAUUUAACGCGACCCUUCACUCCCCGUCGCAUCGCAUCUUGGCUGACUCGUCCCGAAAAUCUUGAGCGACCGAGUUACCGGCGGCGGAGAUGGUGGUGGCUGACAAUGGCAAGUGGGCGCUGGAGAAGGCUCGGGCGCUGCAAGAUUUGGAGGAGGAAUUCAACCAACAGAUUGCAAGGAUUCUCAGCUGCUACCAGCUACCUGACCACAUCAGGCUGGAUCUCCAUGAGCAGCACCGCAAUGACUACAAGGUGCCUGACGAUCUCCGGCUCAAGUUCGUGAAUGCCGUUUUCGAGGGGAAAUCCGGGAUGCUUGAUCAAGACGAGGAACUCAGGGUUCAGGCUCGGAAGGAAUCCGAGAAGUUUUGGGUGGAGGCGGCGGGGGCGGCGAAGAAGGCGCAAGCACUACAAGACAUGGAAGAGAGAAACAGGCAAUUGUUCUUUAAGCAUUAUCCUGGCGUGCAAGACAUGCCUGACCACAUUAGGGAGUACUGCUUCAGGAAAUUCAUGGAAGAUGCCAGGGAUGAGGUAGAGGUCAGAUUCGGGAUACGUAAUCACGAAAUGCGACUCAGGAUCCGAGCUUGGGAGGAAUCGCAGCAGUUUCUGAUCAAGACAAUGGCCGAUGGGCGGGCAGCCAAGAAAGUGCAGACCUUGCAAGAUGAGGAGAAGAGAUAUGUUCAGGGUGUUAAGAAAACUUUUGACAGCGAAAACAUAUCUGAGUACUUCCAACAGGCCUUCCUCCAGCAAGGCCUACUUGAUAAUAUCCGGCUGCUUUUCAUAGAUGAUAUAGAGGAGAAAUUCAAUAUGCCUGAUGACGAAGAGGAACCUAAGGGUUACAUUUCGGAGGAUUACAACAGGUUGAAGGCGCAGGCCUUACAAGAUUUGGAGUACAAAUUCAACCAACAGACUGCAAGGAUUCUCAAGCGUUAUGACCUACCCGAGCACAUCAGGCUGGAUCUCCAGGAGCAACACUACAACAACUACAAGGUGCCUGACAAUCUCCGGAUCAAGUUCAUAAAUGCUGUUUUCAAUGGAAAUCCCCGGAUACUUGAUCACAAGAGGGAGCUCAAGGUCCAGGCUCGCAAAGAAGCAGAAAAGUUUUGGAUCGAGGCGGCGGCGACAGCGAAGAAGGCACAAGCACUACAAGAUUUGGAAGAGAGAUACAAGCAACAAUUUAUUAAGCCUAGUUAUGACAGGGAAGACAUAUCUGAGCACAUGCAGGAGUAUUUCCUCAGGGAAAGAAAGAUAACUGACAAGGCCUAUCUCGAGUACAAGAAUAAUGUAGAGGAUAAAUUCGCGAUACGUAACCACGAAAUGCAAUUGAAGUUUCUAGCCUGGGAGAAAACACAGCAGUUUCGGAUUAAGAUGAUGGCUGAUGAGCGGGCGGCGAAGAAGGUGAAGGCCCUGCAAGAUAUGGAGGAGAGAUAUGUUCAAGAUUAUAUCAACAAGGUUGAAAGACUAGAUGUACCUGACUACAUCAAGCAGGGCGUUAUCCAGGAAUACAAGGUACCUGACGGUACCCGACUACGUUACAUAAAUUAUAUCGAGGAGAAAUUCAGGAUGCUUGAUGACCAAGAGGAACGUAAGGUUCACAUUUGGGAGAAUUUCAAAAAGUUGAAGAUCCCUCUCACAAUAAAGUCUCCCAUCACUGUCGCUAUCAUGUUCUCGAUUGGCAUCAUGAUCUUGUUCUCCGGCUUCCUUGUCCCCAAGAUGCCCAAAUCGUUGAAGAUCAUGUGUUGGGCGACUUCAAUUGUCAUCUGCUUUGCGGCCGUGCUCAGCUACGAUAAUGAAAGCUCGAAGACCACUGCCCCAACUGAAAUGCAUGAUCUGGAAAAUCCUCCAAGUAUUUAAUACUGAAUAAUGCCAUUUAACUGGCAUACAGUUCCAUCCCUGUGUAAUCUAUUGUUAGAUAGGAAAUAGUGCUAUUUAACAGAUCGGUUAGUAAUAAGAACUUGUUAGUAAUAAGAAGUCAUCUGAGAACUCGUUCCAUCCCUAUGUGGAAAAACAAGUUCUUUUUUAUUUGGAAGGUAAACAAGUUCUUUGUUCUAGUGCUUUAAGUCUAGCUGUUUACAGUCUUGUGCUUGAAAUUUUAGACUUCAGUGUAUUUCUAUAUGCUAUGAGCCUGUUAAUGACAUACUAUCAGACUGAUGAAAGAUGUUUUGAUAGAGCAGAAAAUUUAUCUGAAUAUCCAAUCACCGGAUCAUGAAUUCUGAUAGUACAUCUUUCUUGUUUUCUGUAAUUAUCUAAGCACACCCACUAUUAUACAAUGCUGCGAGGUUGGAUAGUCAGAUUAGUUUUCUUCACUAUCAAAACAUAGUUUGAUCAGAGAAGGGAAGUUUUUCAGAAAACCACAAGUCAAACUUGAUGAGGCACAGUAAGUCCAGACUUAUGAGACUUGUUUACAGUCAAUUGAUUAUUUGUUAUCUUGAUUGAUAUACUUCAAUAGUAACUUUGGUAAAGUAUAAAGAAAUGGUACAUUUCCUGGGCUACUUUAUCAACCAACUCCGAAUCUUUUCUUUAGAUCAGUUGUAGUAAAGAAGAGUUAAUGUAUUCAUUUCACAAUCUGCAUCCUUUGUUUUGCAGCCACAUAGAAGACAUAGCAUGUGGUGCUGGAAGCUUUUUGAUGUUUUCAAUUGUUUUUGACAAAUUUAAAUGCUGGGUUUAAAAAAUUCAGUUUACCUUCCAUCUUCAUGGUUCAAAGAAAUUACUACCCCCUCCAUUUCAUAUUAUAAGUCGCUUUGAUUUUUUUUUUUAAGUUUGACCAAGUUUAUAGAAUAAUAUAGUAGCAUUUCCAACACAAACAAACAUAAUAUCAAAAUAUAUUCAAGGUUAGAUUUAAUGAAACUAAUUUUGUGUUCUAGAUGUCGCUAAAUUUUUCUUUAAACUUGGUCGAGCUUAAAAAAAAUUAACUAGGAAAAAAGUCAAAGCGACAUACUCCCUCCGUCCCAUAAAAAACCCAAUCCUUAUGUCCAGAUUCAAACCAAGAAUUGGAUUUUUUAUGGGACGGAGGGGGUAUAAUAUGAAACAGAGGGAGUACAUGUUUGCAAUGAAUCAUUAUGAUAAAAUAAUAAACAUUUCUGUUACAUUCAAUUGGUUAUAACUUUUUGUUUUUUGUAAUCCUCAGUUGGACUGGUGAAGAGACUAAGGAACUCCAGUAUGCUGGCACUAUUGCAAGAGUGUGCAACAAAGUGCUUCCUAUUUCAAGUAUUACAACACAUUAACUCUUAAUGCUGCUGUCAAACAUUUUCUCUGUAACACUCAAAAUUUUCAGCAACCAUCUUGAUAUCAUCUUCUUGUUUUAGGCAGUUAAAGCUGCUUCAGAUGCUGAAUCAGGAGGAGUGCACUUAAGUGGUGGUUCAGCUAUGACACUAGAAAAUAAGCAGCAAUUAUUUUGUUUCUUCAUCCUUCAGGCAUUUAAAACCUAAUGUUAUUGUGCAUUAUGCAUGUUUAUUCUCCUGAUCGAGCCACUCUUUUGCUGAGAAUGGCUGCCAUUGAAAUGAUUACCCAACUUGCAUUACAGCGUUUUUCUAAACGUGAAGGUACUAAUAUGAUGUCUUAUCAUCUGUGAGAAAGCGUGUUUAAUUCGUGAAAAUAUUUUCAAAUAAUGUGGAAUUUCCUUGUGAACAUUUUAUGAUAAUGGAAAAUUUUCAUCCAUAUAUUGUACAUAUAAAAUUCAUAUUUGGUGAGGGAGAUGCGUGGUCCUUUGAACUAAUAGAUAGUUGCUUGAUCUACUUUUGAGUUUUGGCUCAGUUUGAUUCAAUUAUAAGAUAUGCUUCUAUCUCUUUCAUUAUUGCAUUACUUUCUCAAAUUUGUAGUUCAUGUCACCUUUUAAUUACACCAUUUGCAGGCAAUUCUGUCACUUCUGUCAUUGGAUGGAAGUGUGUGAUGAGUCUGUGAUGUCUCAAUUAAUCCUGCUGUUCUUUUACGAGACAUUCAGUAUCUAACCCUUUCGGUAAUUCUCACAUCUAGGUAAAUCUCCGUUCAUGUUUUUCUUCAAAGACUUAGUAGAGUGCUUUGCUUUACUGUAGCAAAUAUGAUUGUGAAAACAGCAUAGAGAAAAUAGGUACGUGGUACAUAUGCAAGCCAUGCAGAAUGGUAGCUAUAAUUUGAAUUUAUGCAAUUCAGGCUUCUGCAAACUGAAACUUGAUAAGGUUUUCAGCCUUAUAGACAAGCUCGAAAAAUAGGCUUUUCAGCAGUACACCUUAUAGGUGCAUAGCACACUGAGAUAUAGAGAUCUUCCAAACUGAAAAUUAUUAUGCUAUGCCACUUUUGAAGUUUUCUGAAAUAUUCAGUUCCUAUGCAAUAGGAGAUAAUAUAUAUAGCUGGUUCUUAACUACAUCUUCAAAGCACACACUCUCCAAUGGGAUCCUUUGCAUCUGAACUUGGUUUCCAGUUUGAAGUUUGCAUGGAAGCUCCUCAUAUCAAUGUUGGUUCUCUGGUAUAUUUGUUGCAAUUUGGCUCUGCUAUAGAACUGCAUAGCCUUGAGUUGAUGAAUUUUUGCUAUAGGGUGUUAAGGGCCCACCUUAGAAAUGUUCUUUCAUCCUAAACAUUUCAUUUCAAACAUUUUAGUACAUUUUUCUCGAAAUGCAAUGACUUCGUACAAGUCUCAUUCAUUCUGGUACGAAACAGUUUCUUUCCUAUCACUAUUAGUGCAAUGAUACACAAGCCUUUUCUGUAUUCUCCCAGGCAUCAAGUGAUGGCAAUUGGCGCUGGAGUGUUUACAUUUGAUUAGUAGGCAUACUGCUAGCCCUAAAAAAAUGUGGAUAUUGCUAAAUUGGCAUGCCAAUCUGUACAAUGUGUGGUUAAAAAUAGCUUGACUGAUCAAAGGAUAUGAAAGCUAAAUAUUUUGCAUUAACUGACAAAAAUGGAACUACUUGUCUCACUAAUUUGAAUUCUACUUAUAUCUAACUCUACCCUGUUUCCAGUUUUUGCACUAGCUCUAGAGUCUAGGUUAUAUCUAACUCUAGAGUCAAGAAGCUUUUACCUGGAGAGCUCUAGCCCCUCAAUCACAUUAGUGACGUAAGUUAAAAUCAACAUUUAUCUCAGUGUAUCUUGUGCACAGGGCAGGUUUUUGCAACUGGGCUAUCAUCUUGCCCAUCAGGAUGUCGACUGAAUGCCAGUUAUAGAACUGCAAACGAACAUUCUUUGCACGUAACUUCUCAUUAUCCUUUUUCUUUGUUUUAAUCUGAUACAGUCAUAUGAUUCAGAAUUCUUUUUGCAUUUAAACAGGAUGAACUUGGAGCUACCCUAGAAGAAAUAUGCAGAAUAGUGCCUGGCGGUGCUCUCGUGUUUUUUCCUAGCUACAAUUUGUUAAGAGAAACUACAAAGGCGCUGGUCUCAGACAGGUCGGCUCAAUAGCAUGUAUGCACUGGUAAGGUUUUGUCCAGGAUUCUAAAACAUUUUUCUCAAAAUUCUAGAAGGCAGCAUGUCUCAUUAGAAGCUGCCUCCCUUUUUACUACUUAUUUAAGAUUUGAUUCUUUCGGAGCCUAGAGGAAGUACGGAGGAACUUGAGCCUGUCCUAAAUGAAGUGCUACGUACAACGAAAUCCUUGGCAAGGCUCCUCUAAAGAAAGGAGGAGCAAAACAAAUUGUGAAGAAAUGAGUGACAAAGGGUUCCCUCACAAAGUUCUCGGGUUGAUGGGAUCGAGGACGGGGUUGAGAAAUAUGGUACGCUACGUGCAAAAGGUUUUUAUAAAGUGUGGACAAAAAUAUCCCCGCGUUCGAUGGGGACAACGUUUUCGGGUUAAGAAACACUACCACCAAUCCCGUUUCCUGUGAGGCUGUGACUAUACUUCCCCACAGGACUCUGCUAAAGGUAGAGGAGCUGCUUUUCUUGCAGUUUGUCAAGGAAAGUUGCUAAUUCCAUGCCUUUCUAGUGGAGUAUCAAUCAAUUUGUGCACAUGCUUAAACUUAUUUUUUUUUGGUACACCAUGUGCUUAUACCUACUAUCAUCAGCUUAUGUUAUGUAGUUACUGAUUUUUUAAUUAACUAGCAAAAUGCCCGUGCUUCGCUACGGGGUAAAGGAACGGAUAAAUUCUAUAAAGUACACCGUUAACAUGAAUAUAAUAAUGUUCCAAGAUAGGUAAAUUAUUCAUUGCGCUAAUGAUAAUCAAGAUAGAUAAAAAUAUUCUUGCUUAGCUCGCAUCACGAAAGAAAAAAACGAGAAAAUUGAAUUAAAACAUAUCAAAUUCUAAUUUAAUGAAAUAUAAAUUUUCUGCAAUAUUAAUUACACUCUUUCAAAUUAUAGCAAAAGUGGUCGUGCGUUGCAACGGAAAUAAAAAAAAGAUAAAAUUGAAUUAAAACAUAUUUAAUUCUAAUUAAAUGAAAUAAAAAUUUUCUGAAAUAUUUGGGUAUUUUUUAAUUAGGUAGGUAUAUAAUUAAAUUAAUUUAUAAGUAAAGUAAGUGUGAGAAAUAAAAUGUUAUGGUUGGAAAUAUUUGGGUAUUUUUUAAGUAGUUAGGUAUAUAAUUAAAUUAAUUUAUAAGUAAAGUAAGUAUGAGAAAUAAAAUGUUAUGCUUGGAUUUAAUUUUUAUUAAUUUUUCUAUAUUAUUAAUUACACUCAUUGAAAUUUUCUUGGAAUUUACGUAGCUUAAUUGCUAAUUUUGAUAAUACAAACAUUAUUUUAGCAUUUAUUUAAAUAAAAAUCUAAAUAAAAAUCCUUUUAUCUCUAUGCGUCUUUUUCAGCCCACAAGCGACCAAAGUCUAAUUUAUAUCCCUAACUCUUCCUCUCGCUUGCUGGACUGCCGGCUCGCGUGCGGCUCAACGCUCGAUCAAUCUGAGCCGUUCGUUUUGAUGGACGCCUCAGAUCAGUACCAAAUUGAUGAAAACCCCUAACCCUAACCUUCCCCCUCCCCCUCCACCCAACCGAGCCGGCCGCCUCCCCCGCCCCCAACGCCGCCUCUCCCCACUGGUGCCGCUCCCUCUCUCCUGUCUCACCGGCGGGGUGCGGUGGCGACGGCUUACCGCUCCCUCUCUCCCUCUCCCUCCUGUCUCACCGGCAUGGCGCGACGACGGCGGGGUGCGGCGGAGACGGCUGAGAUGGCCGUCCCUCCCCCUCUCCCUUUCCCCGUCGGCCUCGACGGCCGUCCCUCCCUCCCUCUCGACGACGGCAACCUCCCAACGGCAGCAUCGUCGGCGUCCGUCCAUACGGCAGCGUCGACGGCGUCUGCGGCGUCCGCGGGUAGAGCCGCCGCUGCCGGAUCUGCCCACGGUCGCCGCCACCGCCGACGGAUUCGGCAGCAGCGGCUCACUCCGGCGGCGGUGGUGAUGUCGGCGGUUGCUGAUUUUUUUUUUUUGCAAUUUUUUUAAUCGCUAUUGUUAACCAAAUUGGAUUGUGUAUGGAUGAAAAUUAGAUGUGACGAACGGAAAAAUACGAAUAUUUAUAUUAGAUAUAAAUUUAUGCACAUCGUCACAUGCGCGUAUUCAUGCACAUAUUUCACCCUGUCAUUCUGUCAUUAAACACCCUGUCAUUUCAUCUGAUGGGAUCGGCGGCGGUAGUGAUAGGGGAGGAGGACCUGCUCGAGUCCGGCGGCGGGCUGCCGCUUGCCGUCACGGUGAGGGCGCGGUCUCGGUACCGGAUGGUGGGGAGCCUGGUCAGGCUGAGCUACCGCCACGACGCCCAGUGCGUCGUGCGCCUCAGGAGGACACCGCGGCGGAGCAACGCCAUCGACGCCAGCGGGUGGGGUGGAGACUGACAGUGCGAGGUGGGAGAGGAGGUCCGGCGGCCGGCGAUGUGGCGGCGGAGACGACGCGGGAGCAGGGGAGCAAGGCGGCGGCGGCUGCGGCGAGAUGUCCAUGGUGAGGUACUGGAGGCGGAGCUCCGUCGGGGUGGGGCGUGGGUCGACGACGGCGGACGACGGGCACGGGAUCGCGUCGCGGCCCCACGUCGGCGCUAGCGCCGGCGUCGCCCGCCCGUGCGAGAUCUCCCCCACUGCCGUCAUGAACUACAACGCGCCGAGGGCCGAGGGCCGAUGCGGCGGCGGCGGCGUCACCGAUGGCUGCCGUCGAGGCGGUCCGGGAGAGGCGGCAGAGGAAGGGGAGAUCGAGGAUGACGGCGCCGUAUUGACGGCGUGUCCCGCUUCUCCCUCCCGGGAGAGGUCGUAGGUAGAAGACAUCAAUGGAAUGGAAGGCUUGGCCAUCUUGGCCUGCCGCGCCGACGUCGACGCGUUCCUCGCCUCGCUCGGCGUCGACCCGGGCGAGCUCGCCGGCCUUGAGCUCCCCGCCACCGUCGACGUCAUGCGCGAGCGCGUCGAGUUCCUGCAGUCCCUCGGCCUCUCCAACGAAGGCCUCGCCGCGUACCCGCUCGCCCUGGGCUGCAGCGUCCGCAAGAACAUGGUCCCCGUCCUCGACUACCUCGGCAAGCUCGGCGUCCGCCAGGACGCGCUCCCGGACCUGCUCCGCCGCUACCCGCAGGUGCUCCACGCCAGCGUCGUCGUCGACCUUGCCCCCGUUGUCAAGUACCUCCAGGUCAUGGACGUCAGGCCGCACGAAGUGCCGCGGGUGCUCGAGCGCGUCGAGUUCCUGCACUCCCUCGGCCUCUCCGCACGAUGUGACGAUGGAGGGGAUAUCUCCCCCCGCUGGCUGCGUGCCACUCCUGCCCCCGCCGCUCGCGACUCCUCCCCCUGCCGGCCGCGCGCAGCUACUGCCCCCGCCGCCCGCGGCUCCUCCCCCCGCCGCUCCUCGGCCAGCCGCGCGCCGCUCCUGCCCCCGCCGCCCGUGGCUCCUCCCCCCGCCGGCCACGCGCCGCUCCCUCCCCCCGGCCAGCGUCGCCGCCAUCACCGCCGGAGCAUCGCCACCUUGCACUGAGAAGAGAGAGAGAUGAGGAAGGGAGAGAAGAGGGAAAAAAAGAGAGUGAGGCUGACGUGGUCACGCUGACAUGUGGGGCCCAUAUGGGUUCCAUGCUGACUCAGCCGCGCCGCCACAUCAGACAAAACCGGAGUCAAAACCACCUAAGAACCUAAAGUGAACGGUUUUAUUAGUUGAGGGUUUUAUUAGUUGAGAGACGUCUGGUAUCUGGUUUUGCGGUUUGGGGACGAUUCUGUAACUCGAUGACGAGUUGAGGGACCUUCGGUGUACUUUUCCCAUUUUACUUCCCUGAUUAUUGGGUCGUGCCGUGCUGUGCCCAUCGUGUCGACGAAGAAGCCCAGGCACGGGCAAUGGUCGGACGGGGCUGGCACGGGCCCGUAACCAAUCAAGUUGUGGCGUGCCUGGGCCGGGCCAAAAUUCCAUGCCGUGGGCCGACCAUCGGGCCUGGGCUUUUUGCCAUCUAUACCUCCACGCCAUCAUGCGGUGGGCUCGGCUGAAGAAAGGAACAAAUCAGAGAGUAAUGUGUGCAUGGUAUAUGAUGGGAGGGGCGCCCCUAAUGGGCAGUUGAUCACUCCCAACAAUCAACACGCCCCUCCCCCUAUACUCCUCUCCCUUUUCUCCUUUUCAUCAUACUCCCAUUAGGGAGUAAUUUUUUAAAAAAAAACAAAGUUAGUAAAAAAAAUUAGAAAAAAAUCUAAUACUCUCAUUCACGCGCAUAGACUUUAUAUUGUAAACUUUGCACGCAUAAACUUUAUGUAUAGAAAUAUUCUAUAUAUAAAAUAUUUGAAUUUGAAUUUGAAUCUGAAUCAGGUAUAUAAACUUUUGACUUAUAAACAUUCGCUCUACAAAACUUUAGGUGAAUAAACUUUAGAUGUCUAAACUUACUAAAAGAGGACAAUAAUGCACGCAUAAACUUUAUGUAUAGAAAUACUCUAUAUAUAAAAUACUUAAAUACGAAUUUGAAUCGGGUAUAUAAACUUUUGACUUAUAAACAUUCGCUCUACAAACUUUAGGUGGAUAAAGUUUAGAUGUGUAAACUUUAGGUGUAUAAACUUACUAAAAAAAGAAAAAUAAUAUGGUGACCAAAAAAGAAAACAGGUGGGAAGGAGAACCGAUCGCGUGGGGCGAUCGUUUGCCCGUUAGAUUUUUCGUGAUGGGAGUGGCUUGACUAGUCAAAUCAGGCAGUAAAACCAAGUUAGGGUGCUAAGUUGCUAACUACUCCCUCCGUCUUAAAAAAAACUUAACCUAGGAGAGGAUGAUCCCUCCUAAUACAAUAAAUCUGGACUAUUCUUUAUCCAGAUUCGAUGUAGGUUGAGUUUUUUUAGACGGAGGGAGUAAGAUACUAUUAAUAUACCCUAUAAAUAUAUAUUAAUAUAUUAGAGGGUUAUAUGUGAGUAUAUUUACGAGUUGAUUGUACCAUGCAAAUAGUUUGAGAUAGUAAAAUGGAAUUUUUCCAAACGAAAGAGAAAAAUGCGUGCAUCCUAUUAGUAAAACUAGUAACUAAGGGGGAAAAAGUCUAUUUUAUUCCCUUGAACUUUUUCACUGAAGCACUUAACUCCCUAAGCAAUUUAUCGACUCAUUUUACACUCUGACCUAUUGAACAAGAUUCGCCUUUCUCCAUAAUGGUUUUUUUGGUCAUUUAUCUCUAUAUAAGUUGUAUUUUGCAAUAAAAUAUGAUGGAUUGAUAUAUGCAUUACCACUUACCUCUCAACAUUUUUUCGAGUUUUUUUAGGCUGUUUACAUAUGUUGGAAACACUAGUACAAGGUUUUAAAUUUCAAGUAAAUAAUAAUGAAAAUUUUCAAAACGGUUUAAAUUUUGAUAAUAAUAUCAUCUAUGCCUCUAGAAAAUUUUAGAUUAAAAUAUGACAUGUAUAAAGAUAAACAAAAAAGAUAAGUGCUAUUAACCGGUAAAAUGUACCAUUUUCUAAUAAUUUGGAGGGUAAAAUGAGUAAAGAAAGGAUUAAUAAAAAGUUUAGUGAUCCAAUGGAAAUGUUUGGUGAGUAAAUUAGAAUAGUUUUUUCUUCUUCUUUUCAAAUUAAGGGUGUGUUUAGUUCGCGAAAAGAAAAUUUUUUGAUAUCACAUCGGACGUUUGAUCGGAUGUCGAAAGGGGUUUUCGGACAUGAAUGAAAAAAUUAAUUUCAUAACUCGCCUGAAAACCGCGAGACGAAUUUAUUAUGCCUAAUUAUUAUGUCAUUAGCACAUAUAGGUUAAUGUAGCACUUAUAACUAAUCAUGGACUAAUUAGCUCAAAAGAUUCGUCUCGUGAUUUCCAUGCAAACUGUGCAAUUAGUUUUUUUAUCUAUAUUUAAUGUUUUAUACGUGUGUCAAAAGAUUCGAUGGGAUAUUUUUGGGUAAUUUUUUUUAACUAAACAAGGCCUAAAGAGUAGACCUAAACAUGCAUUGGUGGAAGGGGAGCCUAUCAGAAUUGGUGAUUUAAAGAAGAAAGUGAUUAAGGAAGAUGGUCCUAAUUAGGAAGACGAACUUGCGCAUUAAUUAGCCAGAUUAGGAAGGCAGGUUGCGUCUAACUUUCCCUUUCCAGCCCUCUUCGUCUCCGGUGUCUCCGCCUCGGAAAAACUCCGCAAAACCCUCACUCACUCACUCCACGGCGGGGGUCACCUCACCAGUCACCACCCGCAAUGGAGGAAGGCGACGGCGUCGUCAUGCCCUCCCCUGCUCCCACCUCGCCGCCGUCGCCUCCACCGCCACCGCCACCGCCACCGCGACCUUCCGCACCCGCAGCUACGGGAGGCGUCGCCGGCCGCGUCGGCGACUCGCCUUCAUCGCCGCUCGAAUCGGGACCGCUCCUCCCCGCCUCCAAGUCCGAGCUCCUUCGUCUCCCCCACCUCCCCGACGCCGGGAGCCGCAGGCGUCCCCGUCUCGCCGUCGACAUGUCCGACGCAGCCGGCACCAACGGUCGUGUCAUCCCCUUCCGCGGCUUCUCGGGAAGGCCACGUCUCAGCUGUCACUCCGCCUCCCGGAAGCCCGCAGCCGCAGAAGGCCCUCCCUCUCCAACGCCGCCCUCGCCCGGCCGUGGAAAGGGACGCCAUCGGCGAUGCCAACUCGCCGUCGCUGCCCUCCUUGCCGCCUCGGAGCCGCUCCACCUCCCCUCCCUCCCCAACGCUGCCCUCGCCCGUGGUAGGGGACACCAUCGGCGGCGCCAGCUCGCCGUCGCUGCCCUCCUCGGAGGUUCGGGAGCGCUCCACCUCGCCGCCUCGGAGCCGCUCAACCUCGCCGCCUCGGAGCUGCUCCACCUCCCCUCCCUCCCCAAUGCCGUCGCUAUUCUCGGUGGUUCGGGAGAGCUCCUCCACCUCUCCCGCCUCUUCAUCUCCCACAGCCCCUCCUACCGGAGCUCCAUUCAAUCCAACAAUUGACUUGAAGGCAAACAACACCAAGAUGUCUGCUAUGGAGAGGGAGGAAAAAGGGAAGAGGAGGAAUAUAUGUGAGGGUGCUGAGGCGAUGUUCAAACUUGAGGCUGUAUUGAAGGAAGAAGAGGAGGUGAGAGUGAGACACUCAGUACAGAAGCUUCUUAGGCUGUGUUUAGUUCAGCGCAAAGUUUGGAUUUUGGUUGAAAUUGGAGAUGAUGUGACUGAAAAGUUGUGUGUGUAUGACAUGUUGAUGUGAUGGAAAAGGACUGAAGUUUGGAUUCAAACUUUGGAUCUAAACACAGCCUUAAUGAACAAGCAGCAUCUAUGGAUAGAAUUCAGGAUCUGUUGAAGCAAGAAGAGCAGUUAAAGCAGUCACUACAGGAGCUUUUUGAGGCACAUGCAACAGUUAAGGCUAGAAUUGAUAAGGUUCAUACUCAGGUUGAGAAAGAUGAGGAAGAAUUAGAGAAAUUACGUCUGGUCGAGAGACAAGCCAUGUCCCGAGCUGACAAAAUCCGCCGUGAUGCUGAGAUUGCCAAAGCAAAUGCCAAUGAAUUCGAAAAGAAAGCCAACCAGCUCCAAAUAAUAGCAGACAUUGAAACGGAGAGAGAGCAAUCUGCAAAAAAGAAAGAGCAAGCUGCACAUGAUAGACUUCGUGAUGCAAGUACAGCAAGAAUUGUGGCCAUAGAUCACACUAAGUGCAUUAAUGGUAGAAGUAAAGAUAUUGAAGAUUGGACUGAAGCUAUUGAGGAGCGCCAGAAAAGACUUGAAGAGGAGAAGAACCGGUGCAAAAGGUUGAUUAGUAUAUUUUGGGCACUUGGAAUAGUACACUUUUGCUUGUUUUGGGUGAAGUUUGGGCUGAAAAAGCACGAGAAAGAACUGGGAUCUUCAGUAGGCUGGAUCGAGGGAUUCUGUUAUGUGCUUGUGUUGUCCCUUUUCGUUUUUUGCAAGUCCUUCAUUGACACUCGUUUGAAGUUCAAGCCAGACCGAAGGGCAGAAUGGGCUUCUGUGACAUUACAUGCGUUAUCCCGUUUUAUUUUUGAGGGUAUAUUAAAUACCGCUAUGGGAGAAUGUACAGGAUGUACCGUUGCAUUGGUGGUAGCUCACUUAUGCGCUUUUGGCGUUGAAGUGAUAGGUGCAAUGAUAUUUCAACUGAAAUUUAAAAUUGGAUCCUCAUUUGAAUCAUUUGAUGUAUGGUAAGUGAAAAUAACACGUUUGGGAGUUUAUUCAUUUUUUUAAAAAAAUUUAGGCCUCUCUUAACAUGCUCUAUUUUUGUAGAGCAUGGAAGUGGGAAGAAAGUUGCUGAAGGGCUCUACUGUUGAUCAUGCAUUAUAUCUUAAGGUAAAGAGUUAAUCCUUUCAUGGAACUGCUACUAUUUGUUUCUAGUUUAGCAAUUUCAUGUGCACUGUAUGGAAGUAACUGCCCUGCUCCUAAAUGCUCAACUUAUUGGCAUGUGUGUUUUAUUUAUUUGGUAUUUAACAAGUAGGCGCUAGACAUUUCAUAUUGGCAUAUUAUAUGGUUUAAAGUAAUUAUUACUCCUACUAGGUAAAAAAAGCUUGUGUGAGAUUCGAACUUUGGCAUGUGUGUUUUAUUUAUUUUGUACUAACAAGUAGGCGCUAGACAUUUCAUAUUGGCAUAUUAUAUGGUUGAAAGUAAUUACUAGGUAAAAAAAGCUUGUGUGGGAUUCGAACUCUGGUCUCCCAGCAUACGUUGCUCUCCCCUAGCCAGUAUAGCAGUGUAGUUGUUGCGCUUAAUUGGGAAACUUUGAUUUAUUUGAUCGGUUUUUGACCAGCAACGAACCGGAAGAACUGGCGGUCAGACUGCUCAACCCACGAACUAUGUUAUGAACCUGCAUGAUUCAAAAGGGAUAUGUGUGGAUAUGAGUAUUACAUUAUUGAAACAGUAAAAAUUAACUCUUCAUGAUAAUAAUGUAGGUUGAUUGGAUGCAUAUAUACUAUUCAACUCUUGCCCCGGUAAAAAUCCAAGGAAAUUUUACCCACCAGAUCAUGUUGUUUUUACUUGAUUGAAAACCAAGAUUUUUUUUUCCGUUGGCAUCCACAAAUCAAAAAAAGUAGCAACUUUACGCACUGAAUCAUGUUGUUUGUACCACAAGCAACUACAGUGGAUUUCUUUUAUGUAUAUAUAACAAUAGAUGGUUUUUGAGCAAUCGUUUUGUACACAGUAAACUGAUUUUAAAUGUAGUUUUUAUGCUUUAGAACAAUGUCCAUGCAGUUUAUGCUUGUAUCAGUGAAUUUAGGAAUGAUGAUCUUCAGUCUGCAAGUUAUUUCUUUGGAUAAAAUCCUUAUUGUACCCUGAACUUACUUUAUAGUCAUUUCAUUAAUAGAAAUGAGAUUCAAAGUUACAAGAUUUUAGGUUAAGUGAGAGAGAGAAAAGGAAAGAAAGAACAAGAUUACAGAGAUACAGGGUGAGAGGAAAAAUAAAGAGAAAAAAAAGGGGGUGGGGGUGGAUUUACAGGGGUAUAAACAGCAGGCUGUUGCCUAUGACAGCCUCGCACACCAAGAUUGAAUUUCGUGGCUAGUUCCUGCGUUGCUUCGCAGACACCAUAGCUUUAGGGUAUCACAUAUUUGUUGUGUGAUGUUCUGAAAAUGGUCCAUCUGUCUUUCGAAGACCAUGUUGUUUCACGAUUUCCACAGCGUGUAAGCACAUGCUGCAAACCAGAUUGGUUCUAACCUUUUUGUUGAUUGGGUCCUGUCAAUGACUGCUUGGAUGAAGUCAGAGAUUGUUUCAGAUCUUUUGGCCAAAUGCAUGUCCUAAUCUUUUCCAAAGGUUGUUUGCAUUUCUGCAUCUUAGGAUAAUGUGGUCCGCUGAUUCCAGGGCCGGGUAGAUUGGGCAGUGGGGAUCAUUACUCCAUUUUUUGUUGACCAUAUUGGCUUUGGUAUUUAAUCUCUCUCUAAAAGCUAGCCACAGGAAUACCUUGCAGUUUGAGGAAUUGUGUAGAUCCAUAUGUAAUCAGCCGGAUUCCAAAGGGAUCCAUGAAAAGUCAGCAGUCUAUAAGCAUUUGCCGUUGAGAUCAAAGGCUUGGGAUACAGUUCUCUUGUGUCUGCUGUCUCUGGAGAGGGGCUUAGAUUUUGCAGGUUUUGUAAUAGUGCUUGUAACUCUGUUUCUGCCUGGUAGGAGAGGUUGGGAUGGAGCUGUAGCUGCCAAGUAUUGUGACUAAAUUGUGAUUCAACUGUGCACUCCUUGUUUAUGGCAAAAGAGAACAGAACUGGGUAGGUAUAUUCCAGACGUUGUGGCAUCCAUUGGUCUUUCCAAAAUAGAGUUGUUCUGCCAUUCCCAAGCUUUACCUGUGUUACUGAGCUUAGGAUCUAGAAGCGAGAUAGAAUUUCAUGUGGAGAUUUUCAUGUUUUAUCAUGCCUUCUGAAGAUUUUAGUGUUGCCCAGAAAUAUGGUGGUGAUGGGUUUGUGGGGAAUUAAACAUAAUUGAAAUGCACACCAUGGCUUCUCUAUAGAUUAGAUCUAGUGGUGUAAGUCUUGGAAGAGAGAAAUGAAAUUGACCUAGCCACCUAGAAGAAUCUCAGAUUUUGUAGUGCCAUCAGUACUGAAAGUAAACACAGCGUUGCUCCUACCCUUUAAACAUGUCUUUUCAUUUUUCCUUGGUUGAUGCCUUCCCUGAGUUCCCUCUUAAACCAAACACAUGGUUUGCAUUAUACUCCCUCCGUUUCACAAUGCAAGUCAUUCUAGCAUUUCCCAUAUUUAUAUUGAUGUUAAUGAAUUUAGACAUAUAUAUGUCUAGAUUCAUUAACAUCAAUAUGAAUGUGGGAAAUGCUAGAAUGACUUACAUUGUGAAACGGAGGAAGUAACUUGCAGAGGUAUAAUGCUAUGAAGGUAUUGCUGAUAGCAUAUCUACUCAUGCCAGAUCCUAUCAAAAAAGAAGGAAAAGAAAGAAAAAGAAAACAAAAGGAUAAUCCAUGCAUGAAACCUGAAGCAUAUAUAGUGAUUUUUUAUGAAAUUCUUAUACCAAUUGGCUAUGUAGCUUAUGUGGUUUACUCAUGUUUGAUUUUUUUUUCUUUAUAGGAUGAAGAGGAGGGUUAUUGAUGAAUUCAAGUUUUGGGAUGCAUGGUGUCGAUUCUUCAGUUCUGGGAGGGAUAUUCUGAAGCUACAUGAUAUUUGAGCAUGAUGCAAUUUUGUUCGGAGAUCUUCAGCCUCGCAGACUGCUAGCUCCUAUUAAAAAACUAAAUAGAACCUUUGUCUUGUAUGACAGCUUCUGUCGCCUGCCUGGGUGUUAGGCGGUUGGAUCCAAUCAGAACACAGUUGCUAGCUGUGAAUGUCAAAAAAAUGAUUUAAACUUUUUUAUUUAGGAAUUGGAGAUUUGGGGGCAUCUCCACUGGUUAUCUGCAUGCAGGUGCCUGGAGAAUUGAAGAUCGAUCGGGCCGCCGCCGACUUAUCAAACAAAUCCUUUUGUUACCUGCGAUACCCUUUUUACAGUGCAGCCUGGCCCCUCUCCCCGCCGGCCACGCCCAAUCGCCCAUCGCAGCUUCAGCGCCCGCUCUCCUGCCCGCCGCCGCUCCCUGUGGACGAAUGAAGGUGAAGAGAACGGGGAGAGAGAGAGGGAGGUGGAAGAAGGGAAGGAUAGAUGAUGUCAUGUGGACCUCACAUGUUAGUAGGUCCCAUAAUUUUUUUUAAUAACAAAAGAGUCUCACGUAUAUUUCUUAAUUCUAAUGCCACAUGAGACGAAGACCAUAUCAAAACUGCUAUCUCAGCGAAACUGUCCUUUAAAAUUGUUAAGAGAGUCAAAUUGCAUCGGCUUUAAUAAUUAUAAAGGGUUGAGAUAUUCGGUAUUGUGAUUGAGGGGUAAGAGUAAGUUUCGGCCACCAGUCAAGGGAGUCAAAGUGAACUUAACGCGCGGCUCUGGCUCAUUUCGAUUUGUAUCGGUGCGGCGCGGAGCGAGUCCCUCGUCCUCUUUAAUGGGCCAUAAAGUGGGCCCAACAUUUUGAGAAGGAUUGGAAAGCCAAAAGGCCCAUUCCACGGAGGCGGAGGGCGUCGUCUGCUUCGUCGCCGAUCUCGUCUCCGCCGCCCGCGAGCGAAUCGCCCCCAAAUCGGGAGGGCGGCUGCUCUCGCCUGCAGAUUUGCGCCGUCGUUGCGGCGAAUUGAUGAGGUAGAAGUGUCCAACUACUCGCCCCUGGUUCGCGAUGCUGCGGAAGGUGGCCGUCGCCUUCCUCGCUUGCGCCGCCCUCUACCUCGCCUUCGCCGCCUACUCCCGCCGCGAGGUAUGAUGGGCUUUCUCUUACAGUUGGGGACGGAUUUGUUCGAUUCGGUUGAUCAGUGACCUACCGCGCGGCAAUUCUUGGCUUCGUAGGUAGUGGCAACGGAGUGGAAUUAGACUGGAUCUUUCUGUUCCACUGUUGAUUUGUUCUACAUGAUGCAGUUGGGUUUUAGCUGCUCGCACCUACAGUUCUGCAAUGUGAUGUCUGCAAUUAGUAUGCUCGUGUUGCGCUGCUCGAGAUGCUUCAGUAGCUAGACGAUAUUGUUUACUAGUAGGAUUGUAGAGAACACCAUCCCCAUAAAUCGUUUAGGGGGAGACUUUUUUCUCACCGGGCCAGAAGGGAAAGACUUAAAGCAAGGAAUACAUAUAUAUGCGAGUUGCUGGCAUCUGACUGCACAAUGAUUUCUGUUUUGCUGACAACAGUAGCCUUAUUGUACAAUGAGUUGAACCUCAUGACUAUGGCCAUCACUCCUUGUCUCAAGAUUAGAACAUGGUGUUUAGAUUCUGAAAAAUAUAUAGACGUGGGGCGCUCGUUUCAUUUUGUGGACGAUCUGGGAGAUAGGUUCUGGCCUCGGUUAUGGUGGUAGUGACUAGUGAGACGAUGAUUCAAUGUUACAGAAUAUUUAUUCUUCUUUCUCACCUUGUACAGAGCCUUGGAGAGGUUCGAUUACCUGCAGUUACUAACAGGGUAUACUUGGAUGUGGAAAUUGAUGGGCAACAUAUAGGUAUAUCACUAUAUCAUCAUGACAAUCUGUCUUGGAUGUUCCAAUGGAAAGAAUAAAACUUGUUGCUUGCACCGUUACUAUACAUGUCACUCAGCUUAAGCCCUGGUUAACCUAAUUCUUGUGUGCUCCCCUCAUUACAGGUAGAAUUGUCAUUGGCCUUUAUGGAGAUGUUGUGCCAAAAACAGUUGGUAAUCUUACGCCCAUUCUUUUCUUCAUCAUAUUUAUUUACAAACUUGAGAUUAAUCCUUUGGAGACAGUGGCAUAGCAGAUUGUGGAAUUCUUAUGUUUUGUUUGUGUGGACAAUAAAUCUCCCCUUGAAGAUACUUUGAUUAUCAUUUGUAGCAUAUAGUUUGUCCCAUUUGUUUGCUACUGUAAUAUAAAUUGGCAAUAAUAGCUUGUUGAUUUUUUAUUUCUCAUUUUGCAGCAAAUUUUAGGGCUCUUUGUACAGGUAUUUCUUCUUCCUAGAUCUAUUCCUGUUACAGCUGAAAUUCAACCUUCUGUUCACAUGAUUAUCCAUAUUGCACUCUGUUCACUAUUGCAGGAGAAGAGGGCAUUGGGCACAAGGGUAAAUCUCUUCACUAUAAAGGAUCAAGAUUUCAUCGUAUUAUCCCAGGCUUCAUGAUUCAGGGUGGGGACAUAGUUAGAGGUGAUGGAAAAGGAAGUGAGUCUAUAUAUGGGGGCACCUUCCCAGAUGAGAAUUUCAUAGUAAAACAUACACAUCCAGGUCAGAAAUUCAGAAUGCUCAAUUGAUUUGUACUUUCUACUUUACCUUUAUUUAUGAGUUAUAUGUAUCGCUAAGUUGCACAUUUUUCUCCUAUACAUGGAGCAUAGAUUUUUAGAUAUUCUUUAUGCGCUCUGCCCUGCUUCUGAUUAUCUCUCUUGGUCUGCUGUCAUCAUGCAGGUGUUAUUGCCAUGGCAAAUUCUGGACCUGAUUCCAAUGGAUCGCAGUUUUACAUUACCACAAUCAAGACAAGCUGGUAAGUUGUAUUACACUAUAAGUUACCAGUGAUCAAUCUAGAUGGUACAACUCCUGAAAUUAUAAGUACCGCAGGUUGGAUGGGGAGCAUGUUGUGUUUGGCAGGGUGAUUCAGGGAAUGGAUUAUGUGUACGCCAUUGAAGGGGGUGCUGGAACUUACAAUGGCAAGCCUAGGAAGAAAGUUGUAAUCACCGACUCUGGUGAGAUACCGAAGGAGAAAUGGGCUGAAGAAGUGUAGGCUGUUUUGUACUUUGGUUUGCCCUGUACUUUUUGGGCAGCAGGUGCAGUUUUACAUUACCACAAAUCAGGCAAGGCGUCUAAAAUGUUGUACAUUGUAGUUAGUUCAUACUCAAUCGAAUCCCACUUGCUGACACUGAUUACUCAGUGAAUUCUGCACUGUGAUGAAGAUGAACACACAUAUUCUCAGUUUCUCAUGAUGGUUUAGCAAGGUAGAACUGUCUUUUGUAAUGCUUCAUUUUUUUAAGGCAAUCUGCAAUGCUUUGUUUGGUAUUGCAGUGGUUUAUAACUAUCCCUGUAAAUUUCUAUUUUUGAUGAAAAUAGUUAGUGCUGUUAUUUUUGGGAACUAAUUACAAUGCACAAUACUGGUUGGCCUACUCAGAUCAAUUUAUGAAAAUAUGCACGUGUAUGUUGUUGUCUUGUCAUACGAUCUCAAAAUAAUACAGAAGGCGAAACCAUUGAAAGGACUCUCAGAAAGUUGUGGCCACUGCUCCCCAAAUUUACCACGGGUGCCUUUCAGAAAUGACUGGUCUGCACACUGCACGGUUCAAUUUUCCGUUGUUUUCAUCAUAUAUACUUCAAUGUUGCUAAUAUCUGCAUGGUGCUGAAUGUAUUGGAUGAUCGGAGCUAAUGUCUACUUUCUGGAUAGAGUUUGUUUCUUUAAUUAUUUUUUAACAUGGAAUACCUUUUAAUUAUACUUACGAGUUACGACAUAGCAAUAUAGAAAUUUCUCUAAAUAUAUUGAAGCUUGGAUGAUUUUUUUUCCGGUAAGUUUUACGUUGCCAGUUUUUAUCAAUAGAGAAAAAAUGUUCAGUCAUUUUUCAGAAAGGAAAAACUCUGGAGUAAAAAAACGCACAUUUUCUGUUUGCGUCGCUAUCAUUUCGUUGUAGUAUUUUGAUUUCUAAAGCGACACGACGACUUCCAACCGUCCAGCUCCACAUAACUGCUGCUAUCAUGUUGGUUGUGCCUAGAUCUUUCGACUAAUUCAAUUUUGGAUUUACUCAUCAAACCAAAUUAAGCUGUUCGCGACAGUUUGGACCAUGCAUGACACCUGGUAACAAGCACGUGCGUGGAUCUCCCGAUAAUUCGAUUAUUUCAAUGUUGGAUUUACUCUCAUCAGAGUAACGCCUUUGACUUUUCGACCAACGUUUGACCAUUUGUUUUAUUCAAAAUUUUUAUGCGUAUAUGAAAAUAUUUAUGUCAUGCUUAAAGAACAUUUGACGACGAAUCAAGUCACAAUAAAAUAAAUGAUAAUUAUAUAAAUUUUUUGAAUAAGACGAACGGUUAAACGUUGAAAAAAAAAAUCAACGACGUCAUACAUUAAAAUAUGAAGGGAGUAGAUCGCGACGGGUUUGAUCAUGACAUUUGUGUAAUGUGCGUGAAACGAAUUCAUGCAUAGGCGAGCAUAGGUAUACGAUCAGGACGAAACUAACAACCGAGUGGUCAUUAUGCAAUUGCACGUCGUACACGUACGUACGCGGCGCUCGAUCGAUCGGUGGUAUUUUCACCGACAUAUGCUGAUAUGCAUGUAGUGAUAAUCAGUAGCGGAGCUACGAAUUUUAUGAAAUCUGAGCAAGUCUAACUAAAACGGUUACCACUUACGUAUUGUUUAUAUGCUAAUUUUUCUAUCAAAUUGAACGUGGAACAAUUUUUUAAUAAAAGCAUAGUUCAAUAUUAUCCCAAAUUAAUGGUUCUCCUCCGUUUUAAGUUAUAAGACGUUUUGACUUUGGUCAAAGUCAAUAUGUUUUAAGUUUGACUAAGUUUAUAAAAAAAUAAAAAAAAUUUCAGCCCAAGAUAAAUUUAUUACGAAAAUAUAUUCAAUUAUUGAUUUAAUGAAACUAAUUUGGUGUUAUAAAUAUUACUAUAUUUAUCUGUAAACUUAGUUAAACUUGAAGUAGUUUGACUUCAACCAAAGUCAAAAUGUCUUAUAAUCUAAAACGGAGAGAGUACUUAACAUAAUUGUCCAUGCCACAUCUCUCUGUUUUUUUUUUGGCAAGGAGGAGAACCAACAGCACAAAAAGUUCAUAAUACAACACGUUAUAUAUUCAUAAUAUAUCCAUUCACCUCACAGGUGUGCACAAGACCUGCACAUGUAAUACAUAACAUAUGCGGUACAAUACUUCAUAUAUAGUACUGCACAUAUUAUUCAGAGGGCACAACAAUGUAUAAAAGUUGCGCGAUUAUUCACCCAAAGCAACAAGCUAAGCAUAUGCUACAUGCUCUUAGGACAGGUUGAUCAAGUAGAUCAUGGCAGCUUAGCUAGCAAAUUAAAGGCUCUUAAUUAGGCCAGCACAGUUUCAGUGGGCAUCACGAUGUUGGCAGCCGAUGUGGUGUUGAGCAUCCAGGUGUGGAACGGAUGGAAGAGCACCUCGGCAGGGCAGCUGAGGUUGGGCAGGACAGGGCAGUCGAUGAAGCUCUUGGCGUCCUUGUCGACGCAGAGGUAGAUCUCGUACAACUGCUUCUUCCCAAAUGGCCCGUCCCUGCACUGCACUCCUGGUGUCACACCCAGCUUCUGGUUCACUGCCCACUUGAUGAACGCCGUGUUGUACAGUUGGUAGUCCGGCUUGAUGCCUAUUCAUCCAUCGGCCCAAAAAGCAUUCAGACACAGAUUUUACCUCGGUUUUCAUUAGCGCGUAUGUUUUUUAAACUACUAAAUGGUGUGUCGGUAUGAUUUGUACAUGUACCUUGUUCAGCGAGAGCAGAGAGAACAUCUGCGUUCUUUCUGAGCUGGAGACCGGCCUUGAAGUAGUCCAACUCCUUGAGGCCGGAGCAGACGCCAUAGCUGUUCCACUCGCUCUUCCAUGAGUUCACGCCGUCGGUGCGAGGACACUUGAUGUUGCUCCAGUAGUGGUUCAGGUUGUUCUCGAUUGAGUCUAGCUGCAAUAUACAUGUAAUUAUAUAUUUACAGACAUGAAGCUAAUUAAAUGAGACUGCUAGCUUGUAAAUUAAUGUGUGCUAACCUUGUUAAUGUCGAAAGGAUUGUCGGAGUUGCACCUGACAACAGCUGUGUUCUCUGACGAGUCAAAGGUCAUGAAGCUCUUGACGAAGAAAUCUUCUGACGGGUAACCAUACUUGGGCACGCAACAACCAUACUCGCUGUCAGUGCAGUAUGCUCCAGGCCACUGCAGGCACGAAUGCGAAUCGAUUUAUACUCACCAUGGAAACUGCUGAGCUAUUGAGCUAGAGAUCAUUUAUAUUUGCUCUGCGUUUCAGUUUGAAAUUUUCCCCCUCGUUUGGGGCUGAGUCCUGAAUCCUAUGAGAUAUAUAUCUUCUAGUUGAAUUUCCUUACUGGUUUUACGUACUAUUGAUAUGAGUAUGCUCUAAAUCAACAUUGUUGAAACUUCAUCAGACUUUUGUCAUAUAUAUCACAGUAGAUUUUGUCGAUAUUGUCUUGCAGCUCCUGCUUGCUGUGCAUGUUCAAAUAUGUUGAUGUGCUCGUUUGUCGUGCUUUCAUUCUUUGACCUCCGUUUUAGCAAGAACACAGGACAGUAGCAAAAUCUCGUACAGCUAAUUUGUCCAUUUAGGCUGUUUAUGUGAUAUUAAUAUUUCUAUUUUGUAAAAAAAAAGAUGAUAUACUUGUUCUGAGGAAACUUUCAUAAUUUUACAAAUUCUUAAUUCACGUGAAUAAUAAGGUUAGAUGCCAAUAGUACAUCAUGUACAACAUGCAUAUCCUUGAACAGAAGUUUUAUGUAAUACUAAUAAGAAUUACAAACAUAGAAUCUUUUUCAUUAAUUUGAAUAAGAAAGUGUAAAUAAGAAAAAGGUAGUCAUAGUUUAUAACUAAACUUAAUGCGUAUCAUUGCAAGAAGUUAAAUAUUUGAUGAUUCGCAGUUCAUACCAUGAGGAUGAGAUAAUAAAAAUCAAAGGGCGAGUCAGCAUUGACGGUCUUGGCAGGUCCUGAAGUCGCAAGUAAGCCAAGAAUUAGGCACAACAAAAAUUUCCUCUGCUCCAUAGUACUCUCUAGGCUUGUUUCUACAAGGAGAGAAAUUUCUUCUUGCUUGUUGGUUGGCUACCCAACCAUUGUGAGGGUAUUUAUAGGCUCAGGUUGUGGGCAAGAGGCAAAGGAAUGGACCUUUCAUUCUUCUCCAUCUUUUUUAUGGUUUUUCAAGGGAACAUGCAUGACAAUUUUGAGUGUUAAUUCAUGGAGAAUUUUUAUGGUACUUAAAGAGGUACCCUGAGGUAUGUGUUUUUUUAGUGUUAACAUUUUGUGAAAAGAAGGCAGUUUUAAGAAGAAACUUAAUAUCAAAUUAAUAAAUACUAUGCAUCUAAUUAUGUGGAGUCCCAAAGAAAAGGUAGUAACGUAAACAGUCUAGUUCAAGGCAAAUUUGUCCUAACAGGCAUCCACGGUGAUUGAUCAAAUUAAUGCCAUAACCAAUCAAACCAUCGAUGCAUAGAUAGCUAAUAACAGAGAGCUAGAUAAUUGGCACGCAUAAAACUAAUCAUGAUUAGUAAUUUUCGUAAAAUUAUAAUUAUUUAGUCAAAAUUAUCAUUUUGCAACAGUUUUAACCUAACAUGUCAUUAAACUGCUACGAUAACAUGUAACUACUAUUACUUAGUGUCACAAUUUUAUAAGAAGUUGACACAUCUAGGUGUAUUUGACAUGUAUGCCCAACAUGAAACAUGUGUGUUUGAUGGGUGAAUCUAGAUAAUUGUUGCUACUGUAAAAAAAUAAUUUUCGCACACCCCCUUAUUUUCAUGAAUGGGCUAUAAAAGAACCUGUCUACAAAAAUAUACGUGAAGAGCUAGUGGACCAUUAAUAUUUUGCAUGAAGCUAGACGAGCCAUCCUGUGCAUCCCCAUUGGCUGCAACCCUUUUCCCCGCACCUCCACCUUUUUAUCUCAUCCUAUUCCUCCCCUUUUUCUCUUCUUCCCUUGACACUCCUCUCCUCUCCACCAUCCCCUCCACACCGCCUCCCCCAGGGCUGAUUCGCUCCGCCUGCCAUCAUCGUCUCCUUUCCCGCUCCUUGCCUCUUCCCCUUCCCUCUCCCCUUUCUUAGAACGGAGACGUGGUGGACCCAAGGGCCACGGCCUUAGGAAUGGUACAAUAGGCUUCAUGUGACAGCCAUAAUCACGGUAGUGGUGGAUUCCUUGCCUGCAGCAACAGGAGCGGCGGAUCUAUGGGUGAUGGCUAUUAUUGUUUCAGUGUCUAAUAUGCCUUUAAAAUUGUAGGAAAUCAAUAGUAUUAGUUGUUUUUACAAAAUUUACUCAAUUGUGCUACUUUAUGAACAAUGAAUGUAUAUAAAUUGGAGUAAACUAUCUUCACUCGUACGGCCAUACCUAACGAUCAGAAACGAUCAGGAUGGACCAGCCCCACCUAUUUACUCCACGGAGAAAUACGGUCCCACCCAUUCAAUCUAAGAAAUACAUGCACGUGUAUAUUCUGCCCUAUCAUUUUAAUAUCCAUAAAAUAUGCUCCCUGACAUAGUCAAAUUGAAAAAAAAGCUUAUAGGGGUAGGGUUUGCGUGCGUGUGUUCAUAGGGGUGAGUACGCGUGCGUUAUGAGUGUCUGCGUUGUACUGUGUAAUUCUCAAAAAAAAAUGAAAAGAAAGCUGUAGCUACUCGCUACCAGUCCCCCAGCUGCCUUGUGUCUCUCUCACAAGAACAAUAAUGAUUCCCGUCGUUCACCUUGUAUAAAUCGGUUCAUAAGAACGGUAAAAAUGCUAGUGCUACCACUUCUUAAUGUUGGCUUUUUGAAAGAGAUAUGGGUUGUUCAGGUUAAUGUCAUUUUAAACCAUACUAUUUUUUAAAGUAAAAUUGCUAAAUAUGUGUAUCCAUGAAGUUUUUUUUACCAAACUCUCGUAAAUACAUAAAAAAAUACUGCUAAAAUUUGGUAAUAUUGCCAAAUUACCAAAAUUUGGUAAGGUUCAUUCGCUCGUAUCAUUCACUAGCAGAGUAGGUACCUAUCUAGAGUCUAGUGUACACCGCUGGAGAGAUUAGGGCCUCAUCUUUUCGCUUAUCCUUAUGCUUAUCAGCCAAAAUUUAAAUUUUCAACUUUAAAUUUAAAGCUAACUUUGAGGUAUUUUCAUCGAAAUUUAUUUUUUCAGCCUUUAAUUUUAAAUAUCUAGGAACACGUAUAUAAAAGUUAUAUUCACCAAUUAUUUUUCGUUUGCAAAUAUGUUGUUUCGCAUAUUCCUGGACUAAGCGAAACGAUGGCUCUACAGAUCGAAGCCAAAAUUAUCUUUUUUUUAAAAAAAAAACCCAUCGGAGCCAAAUUAUCAACACGUACGAUUCGUCGGAUAUUCGAGAUGAUGGCAAUCUCGCGGCCGGAGAUAUCUGGAAUCGUCCUACUCCUACUCCUAGCUCGCUGUCGCUGGUGUGGUGUUGUGCGGACCGGGAGCGAGAGCCAGCGCGCGAUCGCCGCGUCAACAAUCAAUGUAGGAGAGCGAGGUCGAGAGCGCGCGCGCGGUUGAUGUCGCCGUCGUCAAUAAUUCGUCGGUUGGUUGAUCGCGUCGCGUACGUGGCCCAGAGGCCCCGCGAAGGUGAGAGGUGUGUGCCUCGAUCGUGCACACAUACGCGCGCGCGCGCCCGCGUCGCACCGGAUCGGUAGAGUUUGCCGUCGAAAACGGCGUGCGCAAGAUUGCACGUACGUUAGGCCGCUGGUGCGCUGUGCGGCUGGGUCCGGUCGAGUGGCAGCAGCUACGAGCUGAAGAGAUACAUAUGCAGGUGCAGGGCAGGUUUAAUUAACUGCAUUUCCUUACAUGUACAGGUAUUGAAAAUGCGAGAAAGGGAGUACUUUAAAACCACACAACGUACGCCAAACAUUUCCUGCACUAAUACCCUAAACUCCUAAAGCCAUCCUAUACUCACAUCAAUGGUGAAGUGAACAGGAACGAGAUCCUCACGUAUCAAUAUCUAUAGACACGAUGCAUCGAUAUUAGCGAGUUAUAUGGAUUAACCAGUUUAACUCAAAAGUUUAAACUAAUAAAAAGAUAAGCUCAUCAGGUAGAGUUUUAAACGUGGAACAUGAAUGAGCAGUAACUUUUUAUUUGAUUGCAUGCUAACUAGAAUUCAGACUUGGAACCUUUGGUUUUUAUUGAGUUAUGUGCAUCAAGCAGUUUAUUUAAAAACUUAGAUAAAAUUAUCUAAAGGCACUGGCUUGAUCAAAAUGUGGGUCGCCGACAUAUUUCUUGGUGUCAAUGGCUUUCGGGCAUAGUAAAAGACCAGACCUCUCAACAUUUUUGGAGUUUUUUUAGGCUGUUUACAUAGGUUGGAAACACUAGUACAAGGUUUUAAAUUUCAAGUAAAUAAUGAUGAAAAUUUUCAAAACAGUUUAAAUUUUGAUAAUAAUGUCAUCUAUGCCUCUACAAAAUUUUAGCUUAAAAUAUGACAUGUAUAAAGAUAAACAAAUAAGAUAAGUGCUAUUAACCGGUAAAAUGAACCAUUUUCUAAUAAUUUGGAGGGUUAAAUGAGUAAAGAAAGGAUUAAUAAAAAGUUUGGUGAGUAAAUAAUAAUAUUUUUUUUCUUGUUUUCAAAUUAAGGGUGUGUUUAGUUCGCGAAAAGAAAAUUUUUGGAUAUCACAUCGAACGUUUGAUCGGAUGUCGAAAGGAGUUUUCGGACAUGAAUGAAAAAAAUUAAUUUCGUAACUCGCCUGGAAACCGCGAGACGAAUUUAUUAAGUCUAAUUAUUCCGUCAUUAGCACAUAUAGGUUAAUGUAGGACUUAUGGCUAAUCAUGGAUUAAGGGCCUCAUCGGUUGGCUUUUAUCGUAAUAAGCCAAAACAGCUUAUUAAAGAAUAAAAAUAAAUUUGUAGGUAAAAUUUUUAUAUAUAUGUUCUCGGUGACUUAAAAGCCAAUGCUAAAAAAGAAACUAUGUUGAAAAUAUCUCAAAAUUAAUGUCAAAAUUAAGUUUGAAAAUUCAAAUUUUGGCUUUUUCUUUUGCUGAAUAGGCCAUCCGAUGGACUUAUCUCCUACAAUAUCUACCCUAUAGUUGAACAAAUGGUUUUAUUCAUUCAUCAUUCAUCAUAUCACACAUCCAACGAUCGAAACCAUUUGAAGAAUUUGGAUCCAACGUCCCAGAUCAGCGCGCGUCCCACACCUCCCUCUCUGCCGCAAUCACCGCACAUCCGCGCGACCGCGCGCCUCCCGAUCCGAUCCGAUCCAGAUCGGAUCGCCUCCCCUCCACCCGGAUCCCUCGCCUCCGCGUCGCCGGUCUGCAUUCGCGCCGCCCCCGGUCAGCCCGCGUCGCCGGUCCCCAUCAUCGGCGGCGCCCGACGAGUUUAACCCUUGCGCGGCUCUGCUGGAGUGCGAGUACAAGAACGACGCCGCAGCCGAGAACACGCUGCUCUACUCGGCGGCGUCGGUGGGGGACAUGGCGUUCGUGCAGGAGUUCAUGGACAGGGACCCCUUGCUGGUGUUUGGCGAGGGCGAGUACGGCGUGACGGACAUGUUCUACGCCGCCGCGAGGGGCGGGAACGCCGAGGUGUUCGGGCUGCUGCUGGACCACGCCAUGUCGCCGACGUGCUCGACGAAUUGUCCCAACGGGGAAGGCGCAGCAGCGGUGGUGGCUGCUCCUCGGUGUUCUGGCUGGAAAUGAUGGGCAGGGCAGUCCACGCCGCCGCGAGGGGCGGCAGCGUGGAGAUGCUGAGGGAGCUCAUCGAGCGUCGCUCCGACGUGUCAGAGCAUCUCGACUUCCGUGGAUCCACCGUGCUGCAUGCUGUUGCAGGUAGAGGGCAGCUAGAGGUGACGGUGAGGCAUCUACUUCUUGGCCAUUGCUUACUUCUAUAAAAUGCUUGAUACAGUAAAAUUUUUCUUUGUGCCAAUAUGGAUGACAAAGGUAGAUCCUCAUUUCAUCAGGAUGUCUGGGUGAAAUAUUUCCAAACCCGAUAUCUUUUGACGUUAUGAAACCCAUUUUGCCUUUAGAUGCGCUGCAGGUUAUUAUCUGGUAAUCGAUUUCAACAUAAAUAUUAAAGUUGCUCUUGAUCAUGAGAAAAUAGAUAUAUUAAGGAUCAACAUAAAUAUUAAAGUUGCUCUUGAUCAUGAGAUAAGGAACAAAUUAUUUUCAUUCGUCCUUUCUGAUGAUUAGUUUGAGCUUGGAAGGAUAUUGUUCAGCUAGAAUGCUGCGUGUUACCCAAGUAGAAAUUGAGAUAUGCAGAUAGUUGUAAUUAAAGAACAUUUUUUUAUCUUAUAUAAUAAGCAUACCACGCCCAGAUGAUAAAGGCUCAUUUAGUUAAUAUCGUCAUGCUCAACUCUCCAGUGUAUUAUGAAGCCAAAGAAUAAAUAUAAAGGCCAUACUGAUUUGGCCUCUUUAACAUGGACUUCAAGUUAUGCAAUUCAUGACCGGAUUUUCUUUUGUAAUUUUAAUUAGAAGCAACCCAGCGCUUCCGACUGAGAUGGUUGUGGGACGACUGGUAGCGCCCAGCGGUUGAGUUCUUGGGCGAAGCGGCAAAAUGGCUCGCGAAGGCCAGCGGCAGCUGGAGAUUGACGAUGAAGAAGCGGUCGGUGGAAUUUCUCUUCUCCAUAGCCAUUUAGCCUCUCCUUUCAAGAUAACUCUGUACGCUUGAUGCCCCUCUAAUAAUAGCUUAGGAUUUUUUGAGGCAUCGAUAGCUGCAAUCAGUGCUCAUGUCAUCAUUCAAUGACCUGUAACAAUUUUGAAAGAACUAUGUUGGGCACCAGAUGAACCCAGGCAGAUGUUCUUUGGAUCGGUUUUUGUACACCACAAGGUUCUAUCUGCAGGAAAUUUAACAAAAAAUAAACUGGCCAACUAUAUUCGCUAUGCAAUGGAGUUUAUGGUGAAAGCUCAGUUGCUUUUUGUUCCAUAUAAUAUCCUUGAAUUGUAGUCUGAAACCAACUUCUUAAUAUAAUGGGCAGAGCUCCAACCUUUACUUCAGAAAAAGAGAAAAAGUCACCUUCUCCUAACUUACCCACUGUGUUGUUUUUUCCAUUCACAUGCGUUUGCAGCUUGGCAACUAGAGGAGGAGCUGACUUCUAGAUUGAUCUGCUCUCUUAUUUUCCAACAAUGAGCAUUUGUUACAGGCAAUGAGCUUGUACAGCAAAAAAGGCUCAAAUAUGAAACCAUCUGUUACAGCUUAUAUGUGUUUGCAUUGAAUUAGCAAGUACAACAAAGAAGGCUCAAAUUUCCCUUUUGUUAUUGCUAAUACUUCAUGAGCUUAUGAAACUAUUUUAGUAAAAUUCAAUUCUCUCAAUUCCUUGGCGAUUGCGCCAAAAACGCAAGUUCCAUUUGGAUUCCCUUUUUAUCAAUGAUAACCGCAGCAUUGUUGUCAUAGCGUAUUAUUAUACCGUCUUCGCAUUUGAACUCAGUAGUUCCUCAUUGAAAAUUAGACUCUGGAUAUGGUAAUAUGGAGAAUACAAAGUGGUUUGAAGCGCCCCUUGUUUUAAAGAGAUGACGAGUUAUUCAUAUUCAAUUUGAUGGUCAGAGGACAAUCUGUAGUCGCGCCGCCAUCCCUCCUGCCGAUCUCCAGCAACGCACGGCUGCCUAAAGCGCCACUGCCGCCGUCUCUCCAAACUGCACUCACGCUGUCUCUUUGUCAUCGAAAGGUCCUGCGUGCACGCUUCCUAAACUAUUAGACGGGGCAUUUUUUAGCCAGACAGAUAGAGAGGUAAAUAUUAACAGGGAGGGGAAAAAUGUAGAAAGGUGAGCCGAUACGGUGAACAUAUCAUAUAAUUUCUUUUCCUCACAUAAAAUUUUCAAAGUUAUUAAAGACAAUGGAAUUGCACCGUAGCGUUUAGCACGAACAUAUUACUAGUUAAUCAAAGUUAGUUUUCUACCAAUCACAUAAAACAAACUUCUCUCUUUUUUUAGGAAACUUAUAUUUAUUUCUUGAUAGAGAAGGAAACAUGUGGGAUUUUACCUCCUCAUCGGCAAUGGGCAGUGGCCGAUACAAUCAACCAACAAUAUAAAAAAUUGUCCCUGACAAUUUUUAGCCGUCAGGGCUAAUUCAGUUUCUGAUAGUGAUUAGCCUAUUAGUUUGGUUGUAUCUAUAAAUAUUGAAACAGUAUAUCUAUCACUAAAAUCAACUUGGUGAAAAUUUGUAUCGAGGUAUUAUAUAUAUUUGUCGCCAAUAUUUUUCAUAUGAACCGUUAUGCGUUUUUUUAUAUAUAAGGGGUUUCAAACUUUCCCGAGCAUUUAUUGUACAAAGAGUUGUGUUCGGGAGGAGGGGUUCCCAACAACGAAGCUUGUAUUAUUGCAUGAUUAAUUAAGUAUUAACUACUUUUUUAAAAAAAAUGGAUUAAUAAUUUUUUAAAACAACUUUAAUAUAGAAAGUUUUUGAAUAAAUCAUACUGUUUUGUUUUGCAGUUUGAAAAGCGUGCGAAAAACGAGAGGGUUAGGAAAAUGGGGGGAAGAACAUAGCCAAGGUGUGCAUCGGAAAUCAUGAAAUGUCCGAUGACAAAGUAAUCCCACUACACGAGUUAUUCAUGAAAACAUUAACAAGGCCGCACAUAUUCGGACUUAUUCUCUGAAUGCAUCACAGAGACGGAUUCAGUGCUACGUAGGUGUCCCGGAUCGUACCCAACCGCGCGCGGGCGCGAUGAGAGAACAUCACGAAAUAAACACGCAGAAAACAUCACGAUCGAAACAGACAACACACACGCACAAAUCGCAUAUCACAACAAGGGUUAAUUUGUCUUCUUGAUCGAUCGAUCGAUCGAGCUCAGAUUUCCAUGACCGCUUCGAGCAGCUGGUCGAUGGCGUCGGCGGCGGCGUAGGAUUUGGUGGAGUUGGUCUUGAGCAUCCACUUCUUGAAAGGGUGGAAGAGGAUGUCGUCGCCGCAGGUGUACGGCUUCCUCGGGCUGGGGCACUCCACGAACGUCUUGGCGUCCUCCGCGACGCAGACGUAUAUCUGGUAUAGCUGGAACUUGUUGAACGGGCCCUUGCUGCACUGGAUCAGCGCCGGCGCGCCGAUCCCCUCCUCGAUCACCUCCUUGAUCUUCUUCACGCUGUACAGCCCAAAGUCCGGCUUAAUACCUGCAUACGCGCAGUAUAACAAACUGGUCGGUGCAUGAAGCUCAAAUCGUGUAAUCGUGUCGUUUUUGUUAUCAGCGUAGUAGUACUAUAGUAUGUUACGUUUGUACGUGUGUGGUGGUGUGCGUGCGUGUUUUUUUAUUUUUUAGUGUACCGUUGCUGACGAGGCGAGAAAGGGGGUUGAUCUUGUCGCGGAGGGCGAGGGCGGUGUCAAAGUAGGCGCUCUCGGUGAGGUCGGAGCAGACGCCGGACGUCUCCCACGCGUUCUUCCAGCCCUUCUGGCCGCUCUUGCUGGGGCACCUGAUGUUGUUCCAGUACUGCAUCAGCCUCGUGACAUCCCCAAUCUGCAGUACACAUCACAUCCCAUGAUAAAUAAAUGAGCAAUUUUACAGUCCUUGAGAAGAGUACUAUAAGGUACUUUCUUCGUUUUACAAUAUAAGUCAUUCUAGCAUUUCUCAUAUUCAUAUUAAUGUUAAUGAAUAGAAUUUCAUUAACAUCAAUAUGAAUAUGGAAAAUGCUAGAAUGACUUACAUUGUGAAACGGAUGGAGUACCAGGUACUAUGAGGUAUCAAAUUUUACACUAAAUUUUUGGUACCUCAAGGACCGUAGAAUAGUUCUAAAUAAAUAGAAUCAACCAAAGAGUAGAUCUAGUCAAGUUUGUAUGUAUUGAUGUAUAUAUACACAUACUUGGUUCAUGUCGAAUGGAGUGUUGCUGCAGCUGGACAGGGAAGAGUUGGUGGUGGCGUUGUAGACCGUGAAGCCGGCGACGUAGAAGUCGGACGCCGGCGCGACGUCGGUCUUCGGCAUGCAGCAUCCGGCCUUCGUCUGCGCGCAGUACGCUCCCGGCCACUACAUGUGCAUCCAUAUCCUUAAUUAAUCACGUUAUUAUUGUUGCCAGAUCUAGUGAGUGUUUUAAUUGCUACUACCAUGAACAAGCAAGAACAAUAAAAGAUGCUGCAAGAACAAUCAAGUUUCAGCAAAUACGGACGAAUUAUUAGGUGGUAGCUUUCAUGAGGUGAUGGGUGGCCAUAUGGUUAGCUGCACGCCGUCGACAAGGUCAGUAUGGGUUAUCACAAAUUUUGCAUGGAUGAUCAGUUCGUGUCUCGACAAAUUAAAACCGGUGGUCCAUGUUAAGCAAAACGUGCGUUUUUCCUCUUUUUUUUCAAAAUAAAAUCCUUAGUUUAUUUGCAGUGUCCACAUCUGUCGUCCUCGAGCUUUGUUCGCCACGUUUCAGAAUUCAGAUUUAAAAAUGCAAUAGGUGUAGAUCAUCAGAUGUGUUUUUUUUUACGCGAAUCAGAUGUGUUAUUUCCUCUUCUGCUAUUAAAAAUCUGAUACAUGCUGGUGAUGAUAAAUCUCGACGGUUAUAUUUCUCCCUUUGCAUAUUUAGAGAACGGUCAGUUAAUUUAAUUAAUUAACAGCUUUACCCAUGCGACUGAAAACUGAGCUGGGGGGUCAUGAAUCAAUUAACAAUCCUGCCUGCAAAUGUUAGUCUCUCUAUAAAAUAGAAACGAAAAUAAAACUCAAAUAUAACAGGUGAGUUCAGAGUUUGCACGUAUUUAAAUCGAUCAUCUACAAAUAGCUACAGGGCUUAAUUAAUCUGUGCAUCCAUACCAUGAAAGUAAUCUGGUAGAAGAUUUUGUCAUCUUUGGCAGCAAUGGCAGCCGGUGAGGCUGCUACCAGCAGCAAGCCAAGAAGGCAGAGCAGAGCUAUCCUGCCGGAAGCCAUAUCUGUGGUCUGUGGAGAAACUCAACUGGAAUUGGCCUGCAAUUCAGAUGAGAAAUCGCCGCUGCGAUGAGGAAUGGAGGGGGAGCACGGUGGUAUUUAUAGGCCGGCCUACGUAUGUAGGACGGGCAUACAUCAUGAGAAGCAUACCUACCUACACAGCGGCGGGUCUGUUCAGAUUAUAGCCAAAAUGAACCUUAUCAAUUUUUGGCAAUUUAACAAUAUUGCCAAGUUUUGACAUGAUUUCUUAUAUAUUUACUAGAGUUUGAUAAAAGAACUAAAUUGAUGCACAUAUUUGAUCACUUUACUAAAUUUUGGUAAGGUUUAUUUUGGCUACAAUCUGAACAGGCCCUUCGUUCUCGUUUGGACGGGUUACUCCCUCCAUCACAAAGAAUGAUCAAAUUUUAUCCAUUCAUACCUACUAAUACAAAACCAAAAUAAAGUAGAAUAUCUAUACUUUAUCAAAUCCCAACACAAAUAUUCUUCACUUUAUCUACUCACAGUGCAGUUAUUCUUUACUUUCACAAAGUUUGGUGCAAUGAUUAUUAAAAGUAAAUUUAUUUUAGGACAAAUAAAAUGAGCUAAAAGUAAACUUAUUUGGGACGAAGAGAGUAUGUACACAGUACACUCCUGUCGGUCUCUAUCUUUUUGUUACUACUCCAACCCAUAGUAUAACAACAUAAUACUAAAUGGAAGAGAUCUCCUUUUAGUUAUCUGAAUGGUCAAAAUUUAAAUUUUAAAAUGUUUGGAUUCUUUCUUUUAAGUGGCUAAAAAUGCAUUCUCCUGCACUAAAAUUAGUGUCUUAGAGUAUUUAUAUUGUGUAUAAAUUUAAAUCCUAGAAAACCUUAUAUUUGGGAGGGGAGAAAACAGUAGUUCCUUGUCUCAUGCUUUUUGUUUUUCUUGAGGAAAAGAUAAAUUAUUUUUCACGCAAAUAAAUAAAAAAAAUGUUCAUGUAGACACAAGAGCAGAUAAAUUAUGACCGUCAUAACGAUGCUAGACAUCGCAUGGCAUUGAAAGUUCAUCCAACAGAUAAGAGGUCUUCAUAGCGAUGGUACACACUAUAGCCUUAAUUUCGUUCAUCACACACCUGUAAUACUGCAGUAAUAUACACUCUGUGCAUCCAUGAUUGCUGGCUGUCACAUGUACACAGAGAGAGAAAGCAAACGUGCCAUCCUAACACGUCCCCUACCUGCCAGUGACAACGGCACCUACCACCGGACCGGCCGUGACAUCCAAAUCGACGUAGCACACGUUGGCAACGACGCGACACCGGCCGCCCACGGCCACCUGACGGGGAACGUGCGCGGCGCCGCGGCGCGCGCGUCCUCGAUGCUCCACCUCCAAGUCCAAGGGACGGUUAAUCACUAUCUCCGUUCAAAAAAUAAUCACUAUCUAUGACCUGAAAUACAAAAUGAAUAUAGGUAUUAAGAGCAAGUACUAUAGGCAGCCAAACACAAGCUCAAGAUGUCACAUAUGACUAAAUAAUAAGGUGGAUGAGAGAAGAAAGAUGAGAGAGAAAUAGUCACCUCUUAUAUAAGGGGCAACCCCUACACAAACUUCAAUAAACAUGUGAGAGUGUUAGAGAUAUUAGAGAUUGUAUGAUAGAAGUAACCUAUAAUACAUGUUACUUCUUAAUUUAGUGGUGUAUGUCAUGCAUGAAAUUGAAUGUGGUAGUCACCUCUACUAAACUUGCCCUAAUGGGCGAUCGAUCGCUGGGCACGAUCGGUCCCCCUCCCCACAUCGAUCACCCCCUCCUCCACGUGGUUUUCUUUUUUGGUACCGCAUUACUUUCCUAUUUUUAGUAAAUUUAUACACCUAAAGUUUGUACACCUUAAGUUUACACAUCUAAAUUUUAUACACCUAAUUAGAGACCAAAGUAUAUAAGUCAAAAGUUUAUAUACCCGAUUAAAAUUUGAAUUUGAAUUCAAAUAUUUUUUAUAUAUAGUAUUUCUAUACAUAUAAAAUUUAUACACCUAAAGUUUAUAGACCCAAAAUUUAUAAGUCAAAAGUUUACAUACUCGAUUCAAAUUUAAAUUCAAAUAUUAGUUUAUAGACCAAAGUUUAUAAGUCAAAAGUUUACAUACAAGUUUCAAAUUUGAAUUUGAAUUCAAAUAUUUUUUAUACAUGGUAUUUUCAUACAUAAAAAUUUCUAACUUUGUUUUCUUAUAUUUUUUUAAAAAAAUUUAUGGUGUAGUAGGAAGAGAAUAAGGGAAGGAGGAAGGGGCAGAGAAGCGUAUGAGGGGAUGGGGGUGGGUGAUCGCUGUGGGCGAGAGAGAAUGGAGGUCCGGGUAGCUGCACUCCCCUCCGUUAACCCCGUCUAUUAACUCCCCACAGUGCGACACGUCAGCAAAACCGGGCAAAAACUGAGUCAAUACUGCCAAGGGACCUUCUACGGACGGUUUUAGUAAUUUUAGGGUUACACAUUUCUAGCAUUCUAGUUAAGGGACUUUAAAAAAUCUCGGUGUUAAUUUAAGGGACCUCUGGUGAACUUAUUCCUUAAGAGAUACAAAUCAGAUCCGACCACUUUAUUCCCGGAAUAAGAUCACUUUGACUCCCUCAACUGACCACCAAAUCUAAAUCGUAUCCCUCAACCGCAAUACCAGAAAUCUUGACCCCCGAACUUACAAAACCAGUGCAAUUUAACUCCCUCGGUGGUUUUGGAGGGUGGUUUUGCUGACGUGGCGCAUAUGUGGCAGUGUUGACCCGGUCUUUGUGCCACGUGGCAUUGACGUGGCGCUUAUGUGGCAUUAAAAUAAAAAUAUAUAUGCGGGGCCCAUUUGUCAUUCACAUAAAAAAAUAUAUGGGACCCACUAACAUGUAGGUCCCACAUGUCAUCCUAUCUUAUCCCUUCUUCCUCCUCCCUACUCUAUCUCUUCUUUCUCUUUGUGCGUGGGGAGGGGCGUCCGGAUCGGCGGCGGCGACGCCGGGCAAUGGCCGGUGCGUGCUCGCGCCCUUCACCGCCGCCGCCGCCGGGGAAGGCGGAAAUGGCGGGGGCGGCGGAGGGAGGGAGCGAACCCUACCACAAGGCGCCACCGGAGGACAGCGAUCAACAUAUCUCCUCAUCCACGGCAUGGCGUGGUGGUGCCUCGCCGGAGUGCGCGGCGGCGCGUAGGCGUAGCAGCUCAGCUUAGGCUUCGCCCUAACUCUGGAUCCCAAUCCACCAUGCGGCGUCUCUACCUCUACGAAUCAGGUCAGGCUUCGAUCCCCAUUCGCUCGUGCUCUCGUUGGCGUGGAACAACAGGUGCAAGAAGCUGGGCAAGCUGGCCAAGAUGUCCAGCGCCGACGUGGAAGGGGCCGAGAAGGUGGAGGAACUCCAUCUCGUGAUGGAAGAGUAGCUGCCUAGCUAGAUGCUGCAUGGUUGAUUGGUUUCAAGUAAUUUCAUGGGUCUUUUGUUUUUUGAGACAGUCCAUUUUGCUCAGUUUGAUGUAGUGAUGUUUAUGGCGUGCAAAGUCUGAGGACUUCUCUCAUUUUGCUCAGAGAGAAUUAAUCCAUUUUGUGCAGAGUAUGAGGACUUGUCAAGCAAAUGAUUUUAACCAAACAUUGCAAAUGAUUUUGUGCAGAGCCUGCCGCCGGCUCAUGUAAGGGCGGGAGAGAGAGAGAAAUAAGGGAGAGAGGAGGAAGAAGAAGGGUAGUGAGAGAGAGGAUGACAUGUGGGACCUACAUGUUAGUGGGUCCCACAAUUUUUUUUAAUGACAAAUGGACCCACAUAUAUUUUUUUCUUUUAAUGCCACCUAAGCGCCACGUUAAUAUCACGUGGGAUAAAGACCAGGUCAACAUUGCCACGUGUGCGGCCACGUCAGCGAAACCGCCCUCCAAAACCACCAAGGAAGUCAAAUUGCACCGGUUUCGUAAGUUUAGGGGUCAAGAUUUCUGGUAUUGCGGUUGAGGGAUACGAUUUAGAUUCGGUGGUAAAUUGAGGGAGUCAAAGUGAUCUUAUUCCUUUAUUCCCUGCAAAUCGUCCCAGGCCCAUAUAGAAAAAGUUGGUCCAACAGAAUCGUAACGCAAAACGAUUUCGAGCUCGUCGGCCCAUCCAGGAAGCCUACCACAUCAAGCCUGCGAGUCUGCGACGUCUUCUUCUUCCCCAAGAAGCAGCAGCAGCAGCCCAACUAGUCUUCGCUCCCCACCAAGCUCCGCCACCGCCGGAACCCUAGACCCGCCGGCGAUGGCCCGCUACGACCGCGCCAUCACCGUCUUCUCCCCCGACGGCCACCUCUUCCAGGUCGAGUACGCCCUCGAGGCCGUCCGCAAGGGCAACGCCGCCGUCGGCGUCCGCGGCUCCGACACCGUCGUCCUCGGCGUCGAGAAGAAGUCCACCCCCAAGCUCCAGGACUCCAGGUACCCAUCACCUCCUCGCGACCUCUCUCCCCAUACACCCCCAUAGAUCUCAUCUCGCCGGUGGGGGAUUCGAUUCGCAGGUCGGUGCGCAAGAUCGCUAGCCUGGACACCCACAUCGCGCUGGCGUGCGCGGGGCUCAAGGCGGACGCCCGCGUGCUCAUCAACCGCGCGCGGGUCGAGUGCCAGAGCCACCGCCUCACCGUCGAGGACGCCGUCACCGUCGAGUACAUCACGCGCUACAUCGCCGGCCUGCAGCAGAAGUACACCCAGAGCGGCGGGGUCCGCCCCUUCGGACUCUCCACCCUCAUCGUCGGAUUCGACCCUUACACCGACAAGCCCGCGCUGUACCAGACCGAUCCCUCCGGCACCUUCUCCGCGUGGAAGGCCAACGCCACGGGGAGGAACUCCAACUCCAUGAGGGAGUUCUUGGAGAAGAAUUACAAGGAGACCUCUGGCAAAGAGACCAUCAAGCUCGCAAUCCGUGCUCUCCUUGAGGUAUUUUUUGUUUCUCUUGCUUCCUCAGCAGUUUAUUUGAUGUCAAUUGUAGACUACAAAUAGUGCUUGACAUGAUUUAGGAAUAACCAGAGGUAGAACGAUAUAAAUAACAGACAUAUGAAAUGUACUCCUGAUUUGACCUUGCUGGCUUGCUCAUCUAUCAACAGUGUCAUGGUGAAAUCAAUUAUGUUUGAAGAAAUUAAUUAAUUGUAGAAGUUGUAAGAGUAAUGUUUUCCCAGUGGUAAUUUGUAAUGCUGAAUUGUGUGGUUCAUUAAGAUAAAUGUAUUUGAAGUGCCCCUGGGAAUAUUAAAAUCUAGACAUUGGGUGCAAUCUUUUAUAUACCAUACCAUAACCCAUCCAUGGAGAUUUUACUUUUGUAUGUCUUGCCACUGUAUGUUUGGAGUAUUCUGAACCCAAAUUGACAAAGCCUAGUGUGCUUUGUCAAUCUACACAACUGAAGUUCCUUAAACCUUGUUGGUAAAAAUCUCUGGUACACGUGAAUCUUCUAAUAACACACUUGUAAAAUUCUUCUAUAGAACGAGUGUUAUGGAUAACAACCAUUUUAAUUAAGAAAACCACAAAUUAUAGGGAGUUUUUAUUGAAUCCCGUCUUCUGAAAGGUCUGUGACUUUAGGCCUAUUGUGCAAUUAUUAGAUGAUCCUUCACAUCCUCUGGCGUUCUGCUCUGAUUCCAAGAAUGUACAUAAGCAUGAUACCAGAUUUAACAAAUUGAGGGAUUUCAGGACCUAAAUUCUUAUAUUUCAGGACCUAAAUUCAGAUUUAACAAAUUGAGGGAUUUCAGGACCUAAAUUCUUAUAAAUUUCAGAAGCCUGAUGCUUUAAUUAAUUUUGUCACAUGCAUCAUAUUUGUUUCCAGUAUAGGUUGCAUCCGAGUGUUCAGGCUCUCUAUUGUCAUAUCCUCUCAUGGUAUUUGUAGACUAUGACUAAAAACUUUGUAGUAAGAUGGUUGAGUGUAUGCCUUAUGCAGAGGCUAUCUAGAAAAAAAUGCCAUCUCAUGGUUAAGUGUGACCAUGUGAACAUGACUUAUUUUUCACUACUUGAACUCAUUUGUCUUUGGCCUAUGCCACUACGCUAGUAUGGUAUUUGGUUGCAUUUAUUUAGAUUGUUUUUGUCAAGCAAUUACUGACGAACUGACAUAAAUUGCACAGGUUGUUGAGAGUGGCGGAAAGAACAUCGAGAUUGCAGUGAUGACACAGAAGGAUGGUCUUCGCCAACUCGAGGAGGCUGAAAUCGACGAAUAUGUUGCUGAGAUCGAGGCAGAGAAAGCUGCAGCUGAGGCUGCAAAGAAGGGUGCCCCUAAGGAGACCUAAUUCUUCGCUGUACCAAAUUUUCAUUCCAUCAACACAUUUAGCGCAUUACUUGUGUUCCACAGCACUGUUUUUAACUGUUCUAGAGGAACGCUAGAUUGUUUGGAGAGUGAAUGAUUCUAUUCUUAUUGCACAUCAAGAUCCCUUAGACCCAAAUGCCUUGUGAUGUACUUGUUUUCUAUAUACAUGGCUUCUUUUGAACAAAAGGCUCCUUAGGCUGACUGUAGACUUCAUUAAGUCUUGAGGGCAACUGUCAAAUCUUGUGGAGCAUGAUGUUUCCGUUUCUAAUCUUUGCUAGAUGCCUAGAUGUUGUGCAGCUCAGAUUAUUCAUCAUUAGCUCUUAUGAUUUCCUUUAUCUGAAAUUAUUGUAAGAUAAUCCAUCAUUAUUGUAAGGGCAAUCUGCACCCCAGCACGUACGAGCCGAGGCCUGGAAAACAGAUCGGGCCCUAUGCUAACCGCAGGAUACACACCCAUGGCUUAUUAAGCUGCAACAAGAAAUAUAUUGUCAAGCAACAUGAUGCAUCGCACUUGUCCUCCCAUCUGUCCUUUUUUUACAUGCCUGAAGUUGUCAUCUUCAUCUGAUGACAAAACUGAUUUUCUUGUCAGGCUUCAGAAUGCAUCCCAAGUAGGGCAACUGCUUUUGUUGUAAGAUUCAUAAUGCUCCCGUCUGUCCUUUUUUUUUUUUUACAUGCCUGAAAUUGUCAUCUUCAUCUGAUGACAAAACUGAUUUUCUUGUCAGGUUUCAGAAUGCAUCCCAAGUAGGGCAACUGCUUUCGUUGUAAGAUUUCAGAAUGCGUGUCCCAGCUAGAUGGUAGCAUUGCAUCACCUGCCUUUGCUUUUCGUUCUUUUGGCUGAAGACAACAGGGAAGCUUCAGGGUCGGCUGUUAUAAGAACAACGAUAUGUCGAUAUGCCACAGAUCAAUAGAUGAUACAUUGCAUAUAUAGGUAGAAUUAGAAGGUUUUCUUUAGGCAUGGAGGCUGCCAAGGUGCAGUUGUUCUUGUGCCUCCUGCUACUGCUGUUCAUGCCAAUCUUCUUUGCUCCAAGUAAGCCCAUGUCUUGAAACAAAUAAAACCAAUGACGAAUAAAUGAAACCAAAUCCUCCAAUAUUUUUUAUCUAAAAUAACAAACAAAAUUAUUUACUGAAGAACUAAACCAAAACUGAAGGAAACUUCCUUUUCCUUUUUCUGCAGGCUGUGGGAACAAGGAAGUCUGCGAGGAGUGGACGAGCGACAUGUACAGGAUGUUGUUCUUGUGCAGAAGCACGAGAUGCAACCAGUACUGCGUCAGCGAGGGCGCCACGAGGGGGAGAUGCGGUUUCUCAUCAGAUCCUUCUGCUACUGCACUAAAGAAUGCGACUGAAUGUCUGAAUUUUGUUCAAGCCUGUAAUGGGAACUAACAUGAUGAUUAAUAAUGGCACAAGGUUCAGAUCUUAUAAGGAGGUUGCUGAAUCCAUGAACAUUUGAGUAUGUUGUAAUGUGUAGAUGCAGCCUUAAUGUUUGUUCUCUGAGAUGGUUGUUGCAUCAAAUUCUUUCUGCUAUGCUAAUGGAUUUCAGGUUGUUAUGCCUUCUUCUCUCUCUGCACUCAAUUUUUGCUCUGAAGAUUUAUAGGCCUGGUUUAGUUCCUAACUUUUUCUUCAAAUUUCCAACUUUUCCAUCACAUCAAAACUUUCCUACACACACAAACUUCUAACUUUUCGGUCACAUCGUUCCAAUUUCAAUCAAACUUCCAAUUUUGGCGUGAACUAAACACAAAGUCUAUUGUCUCCUGCUGCUCAUGCCACUCAUCUGGACCCUGUUUAAUUUAUGGUGUAGUAAACUAGUAACUAGGUGCAGAGUUGGUUUCAAUGCUCAUUGGUUCAGUAGCAUCUGGAAUUCCGGAACCCUGUUUCUGCUGAUCAGUUUAUUGACAAUGACAUUUAUGUGUUUGGCAGUUGUGUUUACCUGUUUAAGGCAUAAGGCAGACAAAGUCAUUUGUAAAUGAUUUGCAUUGCUUUCUCUCGUGCCUUGUGGGCUGUCACUUCUGUGUGCCUUUUUCAGCGGUGCUCCGAUGAUUUCACCGUUUGAAUUGGGCACAUAUUAAUUUAUUUAUACCUGAACCUUACGUAAGUACCUGCCAAAUAUUAAAAACAGUCUUCCAUUGUACUCGUGCUUGCUAAUGUCACCUGGAAACAAAUAAUAAUCUCACCUGAUAAUGCCGGUUUAAUUUUGAUUUCUUGGUGUGUGUAACUUCUUCAGCUAAUCUGAUAACGCUGCUGCUUUCUGCAACUCGUCAUCUCUGCACUCAAGAGUCAAUGGACAAGUUGCAAUCUUGCGAGAGCCACGCUCUCUUUUCAAUUUCUAUCCAAAGGUAGAGCAAACCUGAAAGCAAGAAGCUGAAUUUCGCAGAUGCAUAUCUGAAUAUUCUAACGGCUUCAGUUUCAGAUUCAGGAAACAGCCAACAUAACUGCUCCUACUGUGCUUCGUCAGGCAAGCGACUUUCUCCAUCCAGCACAUCGCCAUGUAGCAUCAUCAUCAUCAACAGCUGCUGCUGCUGCAACAAUGCCCUUUCUUAUACGGAAAUAAUACUGCGUUCGAGUCACUGGUGCCAUUGAAAAAUAGCACCAAUCUGACGUGCUGAAAUACACAAAUGGCUGUGGAAUUCUAACAUAAAAUAUUUUUAGGAAACACAACCCACAUAUUGAUGUAUAUACAUACACCAAGCUUGCCCACAAGCAAUAGCAAGGCAUCUGCAGCCGACUUGUAUCUGUGACGCCUUCACGAGCUUUUAGCAGCUGCAGGCUGCAGCUACUCAUUAAAUCUCUAAUUCUUUAAGGGUGCGUUCGUUUCAUGGACAUUGAGUGAGAUAGCACAUCGUUUUCCGCGCGCACGCUUCCCAAACUACUAAACGGUGUGUUUUUUUACAAAAAUUUUCUAUAGUAAAGUUGCUUUAAAAAAUCAUAUUAAUAUAUUUUUUGCAAUUUAAAAUAGUUAAUACUCAAUUAAUCAUAUGCUAAUGGUUCACCUCGUUUUGCAUAUCUUUCUAAUCUUUUUAAUCCCCUAUUCCUCAAACUCACCCUAAAUGACAUAGAUUCUUGUCAAGAUUCAGACUCGCUAACUACAAUAUCUCAAAAUAAGUUAGUAAACCGCUUCUCAGAAUCUUCAGCUCCUCCAACCUCUAAAGCUUAGUAACUUGCUAGCUACUGUAGAUAUUACCGUAUUAGUAAGUUGGGUCUGAGCCCUUGGAUCUCGAUUGGACGGUGGAUACACACACCCCGAUUAGCAAUAUAAGUACGGUGAUUCGCAUGCAAUUGCGAUUGAUCAGCUGAUCUGAUGCACCGGACGCCGUUACACAAUCACAUUGACGUGACAGGGUGCUGUCACUCUUAGCUGCUUGCUUUUUUCGAGAAGCAGAUAAUUAAGCAAAAAUAAUCAGGCACAACAUUGGGCAAUUUGGUCGUAACCUUCUCCCCGUUCUGCACCAAGUUUUAGACGUUGAUACAAUAUAUAUAUGCUGAUGCUGCUAAUGGGUAGCUGGCCUGUACCCAAAUAGCUACAGCAAUAAAACUUUUUUUAAUUAUUUGAAAAAGCAAUAUACUUUUCAACACGUUGGAAGCAACUAGAGUUGACCAGAGGGGAGGAGACAGUGGGGAAGGAGGUGUGACGCAGUAAUGGGUAAUGACAUUAUGUGUUAAUUAACCAUUUUCUUAAGAAACUGGAAUUAACAAUUGAUUAAUUCUUAAUUUGGUGGCAAUCCAUUGUCGAUUGAUUACCUUGCCAGAUCAGGAAAAGGGAGCCCACGGUUUCGGAUAAGACUGGAGGCGCAGUGGGUCCCACCCCUUGCCUCGCAUUGGCACCCGACCAGCCACUGCCUCGCUCCAUGCCAUGUGGGGCCCACCACGGCCCGGGCCCACAGAAGAGGACACGGACAGAAAGGGAAAGUUGCAGCACCGGUACCAACCAACCCAAUCUAGGCUAUCAACUGGUUAUACUACCUGGGAAAAUUGAUCUAGCUUAGCAAUGAGAAUAUUAAUUUCAUGAAAAAAAUGAUUUGGUUAUGGAAAAUUUAAAACCAUAAUAGUGCAGUGGUUAUGGAUCUCUCAAAAUUUCAUACUACAGUAGUAGAAAACAAUAUUCAUUUGGUGUCGAUCCGAUCAGGUUGGUUUAACUGACAAUCAGAUCAUAUCCAUCGACCAAAUUAGUGGUAGUACGAGCUAAGUGGUACGGCUGUGUUUCCUCUAGCUUAGACAUAAUUUUAUUUGGAGUAGGGUCAAGCAGUCGCAAGAGCUAAUCAUACAAUUAGCCAGAGGUUGAGCAAUUACCAGACACCGAAAUCCUCCAAACCUAUCACACUCCAUGAACCCCAUCAGGACAUCACACACUGAGAGACAAAUCACAGCGUUAAGUCAAAGCAACCAUCAACUCCCUACUCCACAAUACACAUGUAAAGUAAAAAAAUUAAUCAAAGAGACAAAUCAAAACCAAAUAAACUAAUUAAUCAAAUACUCUCUGUGUUUCAAAACAUAGAUAUUUAUAGGUUAUUUAGCAAAUACUAAGAUUAAAAGAGAAAAAAAAUAUUUACUUUCAUUUAUCUUAGUGGCCAGUUUUUAAGUUACCUAUAUUUUCUAUGAAAUCAAUGUCUCAGAGAUGCUUAUAUUUGGUAAGAGUAUAAAUUCUGAAUCCUAAACGUGCUUAUGUUUUAGAAAGAAUGGAGUAAUUAAUCAAUUAUAUAGCAAACACACCAUGCAUGUAAUUAGGUGUGCCACACAAAUAGCCAAAACUCUCAUUAUGCUUGGAGAUUUUGGUCCAAGAUUCGCCUUGCAAGUAGCUAGGAUCAGCAAAUGAUUAUUGCCGUGAGAGGGGCAGCAGCAACGGGAAAAAGGCAACUUUACGGCCGUGACAAGGUAGCUUAGGGCAUGCAAAAUGCAAGGGAGAUAAGGUUGUUGCAUAUAUAUAUGAUCACUACAUUGGAGGUGAUGGAGAUGCAGCUAGCGGCGUCGCUUUCCUGCGGCACCGGUCGGUGGCAGCGUUAGUUUCCAGGUAGGAGAGGAUAAGGAGAGACGGCAGCUAGCAUAUGCAAUAGCAACCUCAGUCCUACGUGUGCGCACACUUGGACUCACACCUAACGGCACUGUUGGUGACUCAGCGGUGUAUGUCCUCAUCAUGUUUGGGUUAUACUUUUAAGACAGGUUAUAUAGUAUUACUCACCCGUCCUAAAAUAUAAGGAAUUUUAGAUAGAUAGAACGCGCGUAUCCUUGAGUGAGAGAGAGCGCCGAGACGACACAAAUAGAUGGCAUGGAGGAGUGUUGUCAACGACCCCAUAUUUCUUGUUACAUCGGACGCCCGCUGUGAAAUGUUUUCAUCGUAUUUGAGAAGGGACUCUAAUAAGAGAAAUAUUAUGGUCCUUGGAAAAGUACCUCGAGUCACCUAAAUUUUACACUAAAUUUUCUGAUACCUCGAAGUACUUAAUACUUGGAAAUAUGCGUGCGGUAGCAUAAAAUACCAUGAAAACAUUAACCCCGUCUAUACAACAUGACACUCAGCACAUAUGUUAAGCAAAACUGCAGAUCUAAUAUUUCAGUAUAUAUUGGAGCCAAAUAGCCAAUGAUAUCCGGCUAAAAUAACCUCACAUCAUGCAGCUGAAGUUCUUGUGUCAAUCAGGCCGCAAGUGUGCAGCACUGCCCUGGUGCACAAGGGUGAUUGAGGUGGUUACUCCACUUGGGUUUACAAGUGCCUCUCUUGGCUGGUACACAUCGCACACAAACAGUGCAAAGAGAGUUGGCGCUAUUUAUGAUAUUUUAGGUUUGCUGUAGAUGAGAUAUUUAUGGCCUCUGCCAAACAAGCACAAAGUGGUGCCAAGCAUGCACACAUCACUACUGAACUUUUGACCUUUUCCCUUUGUAGAGCUGAGUAGAUAGAUAUUUUCAAAAGUCUUAAGUUUCAAAGGUGUUAUUCAUUUCAGCUACUUUAUUGAAUUAUUGUCGUAGAUUAUUUGUUCCACGUCUUAAAAAAUAUAUUGUAUUAUUUAUACCGUUUAUUUUAACUUUUAAGAUAUUAAUUUGUUAAGUUUAUGUUUAAAAAAUAUUUAAUAUAUAAUGAAGUAGAUAAUCCCUGACACUAAUUCGGUCAAGUCCACUAUUAUGAGAGAGAAAAAAAUGCCUUGUACAACUUGCACGUUCUGUUAUACAGUGGUUUGCUUAGCUAGCUAGUGGUCAUGAUGUGGAUUUGCACGGAGAAUUUCUGUUUUUCUUUCCCUCUCAAUGUGUGAAUUGUGAUAAGGUGCUGGUGGUGAUGUGGGCAUCCGAGAUGGUACGAUCAGUGAACGAAUGAAGGGUGUUAGUGACAUUGGUUCUGAAUUUCUGAACAUUGGCAAUCAAGAUGGAUAGCUUUGGUACGUUUGAAAACUUUAACCAAUCGGUCAGUUUCCAACCAGGACUAUCGUGUGCAUAUCUAUCUAGCUAGGCACUCCACUCUGGCACACUUAACUAGUAAUAUCGAUCAAUCUAAUCUAGUAGUACUACUUAGAAAAUAUCUCUCACUUGCGUCAUGUUGCUGGUAAAUUAUACUGUAACUAAGAACUAGGUAAAGGCGAUGAUGUGUACUCUUGGGUUGCCUAUUGGGUGCAUAUCCUUGGCAGGGCUCAUGUUGUUCAGUUAAUAAAGAUAUUAAGUAGCUACCUAAACAUUGUACAUGUGUCUUAUUUAAUGGAACAUUUUACAAGUUGAUAAGAAACUUUGCACACAACAUGUAUACUAUAUUUAAAUGACGGAAGCUUUGUUGUUCUUAGCUAAUUCCUGAAUUACAUCAAGGUGAUACAAUCGUCCGAGAACAUUACCGGACAUAGCAUAUAUACCCAGUGUGACGGAGUUCUAAAACUUGUGAUAUAUUCAAGUACUCUUUUCUAUAGGAUCAAAAAUUCAAGAAUUGAACACAUGAACCCAGGGAAUGGAUGGACGAGUGAAUGAUUGGAAGCCAACAACCCAAUCAAGAGAAGGAUCUGCGAAAUCCAUGCAUCCAGGUUUCAUCACCCUGUGAUAGGAACAGUGCCACUCUCUGACAGAGCAACAGCAAGAAUGUCCUUGUCUCCCUACCCAGAAACUGAAGGCCAUGUGACCUGGACUUUUGCCAUCUCCAAACAGCUGCAUCCAUAUAAUUCUCAUUGUCAUUGCUAUCUUCAUAUAUAUAUCCGUUUCCCCCAUUGGAUGGCUCCACCCCUGCACUAAUGUUUUUUUUAAGUGCUGGUAGUAUGUAUCAGCUCUCUUGUUUUGUCAUUUCGUUUUGUAUGGUUGUUGUUGUUCUGUCAAUCUGUCAUGACACUUUUGUAUCUGUUCAUGUUAAAUAACUGUGCUGUACCACAUCACUUUUGUUCUCCAUCGAUUCUGCCAUUCACGUCAUUUUCCAUGCAAUUGGUAGCCCUCACACAUCCUUCACAGAACAAAGAAAUCUUUUUCCCGAAUUUCACUGAAAUUCAACUGAUUUUUUUCUUUUUUUUCGAACACCCAAAAAAUAUUUUGCAUGUCGUUGUAUUAGAAGCUAUGAAAAAAAUAUUUACGACCGUGCGCUAAUUGGCACAUUCAAGUGAUCAGUUCGAUUAUUGAGAAAUCAGUUCAGUUCAAUAAUGGAACAGAUUUCUCUGGAAACCUCAGAAAACUCGUACGAAAUUCAUGCAUUCAAAAAAAUACUUAAAAGGCUAUAAUUUACCCUUUAACUCGGCAUGCAUUAAAAAAUGAACAGGAGCGCAACAGUUGUACCAGCAAUGGGCCGAGGAAUGAAGAAAUAGUAACUCCUAACAACAACCGCAACAAACACCAAAUAACAAACACAUCAAUGAAAUCGAUCGAAGGGUGUACUGGAUGGUUGGAAAAAGCGUUGUUGGUACCUACCCAAAGAAAGAGAAGAGAGAGAGAGAGAGAGAGAGAGAGAGAGAGAGAAUCCUUGUGUCACCAUCCUCACACUUGCACAUAGGUUGGGAGCUGAAUUAUUAUUGUCUCCAUUAAUCUUUGCAACCACCAAGAUACAGUGGUCUAGCUAGGAUAUAGACCAUGCUAUCUGAAAAAGAAAACAAAAGGGAAUUCGUCUAAUAUUCCAUAUUGAAAAAAAGGAGAGGAAAUUCUAAUAGAAAUUGGUGAUGGCUAUAGCUCACUUGUUCUUGUCCUAAUUAACAGCAUGACUAACGCUUGACAACUGAUGCGCAUGAAAACGCUUCAUUAGUUCGUUGUUUUGCGUCACAAUAGCGACUCAAUUCGACGGCUAUGUUCUAUCCCAUAACGAAAUUGUUUUAUAAUUAAGUCCCUCAGAUGCUGAACUUCAACCGUAUCCAAUUUAUAAAAUAUUUCCUUCAUGGAUCCCAUCCAUAACAAUGACUGUAUAGUUUAUUAUGGACAAACUACUGAAGAGAUAUAAUUAAUUUUGCAGUGAUUAUAUUUUGCAGAAGACAACAAUCAAUCAGACGAGAAGAGAGAAAAAUAAAUGUGAAUACAUCGAGAGAUGGUAAACUUAAAGAAUUGAUGAAAAAAAUAGGGCAAGAGAACGUCUGGAUCAAUGUUAGCUUCUGAUGCCUACCGAUUGGAACUUGCCCAAAAUUGGCGUCCUAGCUUGAAUGAUGUAACAGUAGGUAGGCAAAAAGAAAAGGACUCCUCUCUUGUAUAAAUUGUUUAUCUCGUUCUCCAUGUUUUUAUAGUGCCCAGCUUGGUAUCAGGGGAAAAAAAAUCAAUCUGAUCCAACUACUGAGAGAAGCCAUGUCGAUUAUUUUUGUUCCUUUGGUUUAUAAUAUGCACCAGAAUUGUAUACCAGCGACCUAGAUUUUUUAAAAGUAACAUUUUUUUAAUAUUAGUGCUGCACAUGGUUUGGUUUUGAAAUUAAGAAAGAAGAAGCAGUCUCAUGCUUUAAGAUUUGCACAUAUAUAUGUUUGUGUCAUGUGUGCCAGAUAUAUAAGCCAUUUGUGCCACUAGUGCUACAGAAUUUUUCAACUUCUGCGAGUUGUGGAAGCAAUGACGCGCAAUCAUCGCCAUGGAGCAAAUGAGUAGAAUCAGAAACAGUUCUUUCAAAAAAGAAAACAAAAACACAUGCAGCUUAUUUUCAGGGGUGGGGUGGGGUGGGGGGGAUAUUUGGCAUGCCUUUUUUUAAUCAAAUACUCCCUCCGUUUUAUAUUGUAAGUCGUUUUUUAUCAAACACUUCAUCUGUUUUAUAUUAUAAGUCGUUUAAUUUUUUAAAGUCAAACUUGUAUAAAUUUGACCAAGUUUACAUAAAAAUAUAGGACUAUUUUCAAUGCAAAAUAAGCUAAUUAUCAAAACAUAUUCAUUAUUAAAUUUAAUGAAACUAAUUUGAUAUUUUAGAUGUUGCUAAUUUUUUUUAUAAACUUUAUCAAACUUAACAAAGUUUAACUAGUAAAAAGGCCAAACAACUUAUAAUAUGAAGCGUAUAGAGUGAGCGACUACAUACUUGCUAAUAACUCUUUCUAUGAAAGCAACCAAUGAUCAUCUAGUUGCAGCUGCACAAAUACCAUUUUUUUUCCUUUUGUUCCAUUUAUUUGAUCAAUCAGUACAUAUGACCUUCGUUCACUGUUUCAAGGUCGUAGGAAUAUAAAUGGAUGUGAGAGAGAUUAUCGCCAUAUCUUCCUUCACUCAAGACAACCACAAUUCAUGCCAAGUACAAAAAAAAGUUCAAUCAUAAAAUAAAAGGAAAUACGUGGCGGCUUCGCCAUCAAUCGAAUUGGCACAACUCGAAAGUUACCUAAGAUACUGUAAAAACGUCUAACCUUUUUUUUUUCCUCAAACAAGAGCUUGCUGUGUCUCAUUUAAUUGAUAGAAAGUGAAAUAGGAUAAAGACACAUACGUGAGCACCUAAAAACACCACCAAAAAAUGGCAAAAAAAAAAAACCGGUGGAACUGAACUGACGGAAUCAACUUCGCAGGUUCAAGGUGACGUAAUCAUGCAGCCUGCAAACAAAAAGAAAAACUGAAAAGAAAAAUACAAAGAUCAAGAGGAAACAACCAUUUCAGCUAGCUCCUGCACACAGAAUUGUUUUGUGCCUCAUCACUAGCAGCAGCACUACUGCAGCAUGAUAUAUAUCUCAAGUCAAGAUUAUACUAUUGUCAAAAACUAUAUUUUUUGCAUUUGAUAUAAAUAUAAUAUAAUGCUUGGUUUGUUUGGACGUUACGCUUGCAUUUCGCGUGGUUUUACCAGGAUUUAUAGCCGCUGUGUUUACUGAAAAGUAUAAUAAUUUCGAUACAUUUUCACAUGUGUAACAAAUUCAUUCAUUGUUACCGCAUGCAGAAAGUACCAAAAAAAUCCCAACUUUUUUUAAAAAAGGCUACUUUUCUUCAUGUCCAGAUAAUUAAACAUAGCCUCACAUUUUGGAAAAAUAAGAGCAUGUGUACUGUACCAAGAUCAGAGUACACAGAAGAAGAAACUGUCGAUCGACGAUCAUCAAUCAGGUCGUGAUCCCCGUUGUCAAUUCAAGUUGUCAACCAGAAGCAAAAUAGGCAGAGAGAGAAGCUAGUAGUAGCAUUAAUUCAAGAGGGAUAUAUGAAAAUAAAAUCACUAAUUAAAAGUUGGCUGGUGUGCGGGAAGUUGCCGGAUUGGCUCUUCAUUAAUCCUGGAGGAGAUAGAUAGAUAGAAGGGGGGCCACUUAAUUAAGGUCCUUGUUUAAUGACGCCGGUCAAGGUAAUUAAUCUAAUCUGGAACUGUCCCCAGCGUCAACAACCCAUCAGUCAUGAGCAUGAUGAUGGUCUCAUUGAUUAAAGCUAGCUGAAUAGCUGAUCUUCACUCAGAGCAAGGCUAAUAAUACAAUCGACUUAUUGGCUAUAAGAUUCCUUGUAGUAUUCUCUCAAUCCACCUAUAUAAUAGUUAACUCUUUACAAAUAAUAUAAGAUCUAUUUGUUUCUCUCACAUAGUUUCUUGGUUCUUAUGUUUAAGCUGGCUGUAAAUUUACAGCCCGCUUCUUCUCUCUCCUCUCUUCUCCCCUCCACUUCAGUAUUUGCUCUCACCGGUAGGAGCUGUACUAGUUUCUAGGAGUAGCAUGGAUGGAUGGAGUAAUGAUCCAAUUAACAAAGGGGGAUUGGCUACCAACCCAGCUUCGUCACCGUCAUCGGCAGCGGCAGGCCGGACGGCCGGGCGGCGCCGCUGCAUGCGUCGGUGCAGCUGUGGCCAUUUAUGUAUGCAGCUUAGGCAGGCAGGCAGGUAGCUCACCGGCCGUCUCCCGUGCAUUCACUCCAGUCUCCCGUACGUACGUGUGUGUCUGUGUGUGUGGUUGGUCUUGCAGAAGUGCCGUUGCUGUAGGUCAUUCACGUCGAUGAUCGGCGCUGCGGCUGAGCCCACCAAGUUUGUUGCGACAAUGUUUGGGAUUGGCGGCAUCGGAGUCUCGCUCAAUUCCUCCCUGCGCCGUGUCGGUUGGGAGUUACUCCCUCCGAGUGUUCUAAACUGAUGAGAGAAAAAACUGAUGAUUUAUCAAGAAAUUUAUGGAAAGAGAAAAAAAUAGUUUCAUCUGGAAGAAACCUAUUAUAUACUCUUAUUACUAUGAGUAUACCGAGCAAUUUUGAUAUUAGCUCCAAAUUCUUUAUAGUCAAUUUUAUAGCUCAUCCAACAAUAGUUACCUAUAAAUAUAUACUACUCAAUUAAUAUAUAUGGUCUAACCUCUCAUACACACGUAAUGUUUUGAAGCCCGUGCCGCAGCUGGCUAUAAAUCUGUAGCCCGCUUUCUUUUUCUCUCUUCUCUUAUUUUCUUCGCGUGUGCAUAUAGCUUACUUGUAGCAUUCUAUUGUACUUGCUCUAAAACUUUAAUGUGACCUAAUCCUUUCAUCAUAUAUAAGCCUUAAAAAGGGAAACAUAACUCUAUUACGACUGAAUUGUUUCACAACAGAAUCCAACACAAUUGAGUGUUAUGACUGACAUACAAAACCACAAAACGUAACCAUUCAUUACAUGCAGUGUUUCAUUCAUCAAUCCAAACCUCUUAAUAAUGUGGCGUUAUUGGAAAUUAAAUCGCAAAAUGAAACUCACCACUGCAAAUGUAAUAGUGGUUAACAACUAAGAUAUUAGAUAUAAAUAAAUGAGUAUGGUUGUGAUCGAUCAAGAUAAGAAAAUAGGUGAAUUAAAUAUGGUGUGUGUUUAUAGGAUGAGUGUGCGCGUGUUGUGAGUGUCUGUAUUUAUCUCGUGUUUUAGAAAAAAAAUGGUUGUAAUUAGUUGAGAUAAGAGAGUAUAUGCACAAAUUAAAUUAGGUGUGGUUGAGACAAGAGAGAAUAUGGAAGAGCUGCUAUAUUUUUAGAUAAAUUUUGAAUGGCAAAUGAUGAUAUAUUUUAGGACAGAAAUAUAGCAAUUUUUCAUUAUCUUAACCAAACACAAUCAUAUUUGAUUUAAUUUAUCUACCUAUCAAUUACAACCAUCUGUUAUUUAGUUUCAUCUCUCUCCUUAAUAUUUUUAAAAUAAACUUGUAUUUUUCUGAAACAUGAUACAAACAUAGACUCUCACAUACGUGUACACGUUCACUUUAUAAAUGCACAUCCUAUUUUCUACUCCUCCGAGCUGAUAAUACUUAUCGUUUUAGAUAAGGGUAUGGUCAAACUUUAAAAUCUUUGAUUAUGAAUCAUUUUUAAAAUAUUUAUCUUUCAAAUAUGGUGACUACAUGUACAAAUUUGUCUUAAAAAGUACUUUAAUAAAAUUAUAUAUUUGUUAACACUUUUAUAUAUAUUAUAAUAGAAAAUAAUGGUCAAAGUUAUUUUUUUAAAGACCAUGCCUUUGUCAAAACGAUAAGUAUUAUCAACCCGGAGGGAGUACUACCUAUGUUUUGAUAUUAAUAAAGUCACAUUGGACUUCUCACUGCCAACAGAGGGGAUACUAGGUUGAGAUGAGAUAAGCUUUGCAUUAAUUACCAAUUACCAUCGUGUGCAAGGAAUAAUAACCUUAACCAGUACAAAUUAAUUAGGUUUAGUUUUCACUGUUGAUAGCUACCACUGGUUUUUACUAGUACUACUUAUAUUGAUAGGCAUCGAUCGGUAAUUCGAUAUAGUUUGUGCUUUCGGUGCAAAGUGAUAGCGAUAAGCAGAGAGGAUAAAAAAUCCUAAUUUUACCAAAGCAUACAUAUCCUCUCGAUCGAUCGUAUUGACCGUGAUGAUGCAGCAGCUGCAGCUCAUCAGCACCCAUAUCCACACUGUAAUUUAAUAAUAGAAUACUCCCUCCGUUUAAGUGCAGCUAUGUUUUUUUCACACUAAGCUUUAAUCAUUUGUCUUGUUUAAAAAAAAUAAAAACACAAGUCACGAAUAAAGUACGAUUCGUGUUUUAUCAUCUCAUAACAACAAAAAUAUUAAUUAUAAAAAGAUUUAAAUAAGACGAACGAUCAAAGUUAGACACGAAAGUUUAUAGUUGCACUUAAAAUAGAAGGACAGAAGAAGUACUAUUUUCUGCGUUUUACGAGAUUAACCUGUAUGCCAAAGUCAAAUUGUCGUUUGUAUCCCUGACAUGAAGCACUAGAGCAGCAGCAGAUCGCAGUAAUAAAGCAGAGUUGCAUCACAAGUUGUGAUUCACAACGCACCCCCGCGCGCGCGACCUUAUCGGUAGCGUGCGUGCGUCACACACAAGCAGAGCUAUAAAACCCAUGGAUCAUACGAUACGAACGGCAGCCAACCGCGCGCGAGAUACCGGAGAAGACGCAUGUUUUCAUUUAUAACAAUCCGAUUCCUUUUUUACCUUACAUCAUUCAGCAGUGCGGUUUCAUUUUCUACCACUAGCUCUUAGAUAAUAGAUAUGUUUUUAAGACUUAUAAUAUAAACGUAGACGCUCACGACAUAUAUAUACUUAUAAUGUUUUAAAUUACUAUAGUUAGAUAAACAUAAGUAGCGUGGUUAUAUUUAACGUGCAGAACAUUUUAAUAAUGAUAUAUUUGAAUAUUCUAUAUAAAAUUAUUGAUAUAAUAAAAAUGACCGAAAUAUAUUUGUUACUAAAAUACAAAUUUAUUGCUAAAAAAAUAGUCACGGUAUAUUGGUUAAUUAAAUUAGAAAACAAUUAAAGUUUAUGCAUAAAUAAUUAAUGAGCACUACUACACGUACUAAAUUUUUACUAACAAUCAUCUCAACCAUUUGAUUUAGGUAUGUAAAAGUUAUAAAAAAAAUCUAGAUGUACUCGUAGCAUGACACAUAUGUCUUAAUAAGAAUUUAGUGAAAAAAAAAAGUAGUACGUAUAGCCUUUACUAUCGGUGUCGAGUAUUUUCAAAUGGAGGGAGAAUUCAUAUUAUGUAGCUGCGUGCAGGGGUGGAGGUAGAGUAUCUCAGGGGGUGCCUAGGAACCCGGUCAAGAAAAUUUUUUAGCUAUACCUUAUCUAUUUUCACUAUGUAUGUACCCCUCUCAAUACAAAUUUAGAUAUCCAUACCAGCUUAAACUCGAUUUAAAGUAGAGUAAAUUAAACAAGUGACACCUCUCCGUCCCUCGCUGCGUGGCUACAGAAAAGCGGCGCGCGAGAACUAGGUAGCGGGGCAAGUUGAAGCAGCGAGAAUGCAUCCAAAAACCGGUGCUUAAUUUGGUUUCUGGUAGGCCAAGGCCAGGCCACGGGUUGCCGCUCCGGGAGAGGAGAAGAAGAGAGGAGACGCGUCGUCGAUGACGAUGAGUUGAGUUGGUUUUGGUUGGUUGGUUGCCCCAAGCCAACAACGGACGAUUCCUAAAAGGCAUGGCCUUACCUAACAAGCCUCAUUUUUAAAUGCUUCCUUUUGUCCCUUUUUAAAAUUUUUAUUGUCACCUCCCUAGCUACCUUAGUCCUUCCUUCUACGCUUAGUUACUCUUCCAUUACCAACAGUGAUCACAAAAAAAGGUAAAUCAAAAUCUUCUCUUCCAAGAAAUACCACUACUAUGUUGGUUGCAUUAUUUUACGAAUCUUCCAAGAGUUACUACUACCUCCUAACCAAUUUAAAUAUAGUCGCGAGUUUUCAUAUCCAAGUUUAACCGUCUAUCUUAUUUAAAAAAAUUAUAAAAAAUUUAAAAAUAUUAGUCACACAUAAAAUACUAUUUAUGUUUUAUCAUCUAAUAACAAUAAAAAAUACUAAUCAUAAAAUUUGUUUAAAUAAGACGAUGAUCAAACUAAAUAAUGCAAAACUGUACUCCCUCUAUUUUUUAAUAGAUGACGCCGUUGACUUUUUCUCGUAUGUUUGACCAUUCGUUUUAUUUAAAAAUUUUAUGCAAAUGUACAAGAUAUAAAUCACACUUAAAGUACAAUGAGUGAUAAAACAACUCAUAACAAAGUAAAUUAUAAUUACGUAAAUUUUUUGAAUAAGACGAAUGGUCAAACAUGUGAGAAAAAGUUAACGGCGUCAACUGUACUGCAAUUUAUAUUUUUUUUCUAUUCUAAAACUGUUUGGAGUGCUGAAAUUAUAUGAGUUUUGUACUAGUAUAUCUAAAAAAACAAGAUGAUACAGUUGAGAUGGAAGGGAGAAGAAAUUGUGGGUUCCAAGUGGGGGGCCCUAAUCGAUCUCUGUUUGAAAAGAGCCAAGAGAAAACGAUGUAUCAUUUCUCUUCUCCGUGUACAUGGAAACAGGAACAGUAUAUGCAGUACAUUCCAGCGAAAAGGAGGCAUCAUGGCACACCAAUCUUGUGUGCAGCCAAAGCAGGUCGUAAAGAAAGCGUGGUCUAACUCACGGGGCGCUUUUAAUCAAAACUGCAGGAUUAGGCGAUGGUCACAUGCGAUGCGAGGUAGUAUAGUAACAAGUCACCAUAAUUAAGAUCUGGUUCAAUGGCCCCAGCCUUGAAAGCAUCCAUCCACUCCACAUACUGGAUGAGGCACUGGAUCUAACUGAGCUAUAGUAGCUAAGUUACAGUGAAGUGACUAAUUAAGUACUUACUUAGCAUCAAGUAUUAUUUGUCAUGAUUAGUCAAUAUAUGGUAAUUACAACAGAGACAAAAUGGAGCAGCAAGAGCAGCAGAGGAGAUGUUAUCUCUCUCUCUCUCUCUCUCUCUCUCUCUCUCUGUGUGUUUUCACCUAGAAGAAAAGCUAACCAAUAUCCAAGUGACAAAACGAAAGAAGAAACUACAGAGGAGGAGGUGCUCAUUUCAUUUCCAAGCUUCUGAAGUCGAGCAUGGCUGUCCUGAGUCCCAGGAAGCUGCUGCACUUGCAGUCUGUGCUCUUGGGGAGCCCCAGGCUGCAGCUGAAGCAGACGCCGGUCUCCCUCUUCACCGGCUUCAUCAUCAUGGGCUCUUCUUGGGAAGGGAGGCUGAUGCAGAGGUCCAGAUUGAGGUCAGGGCACUUGAGUGGCUUCCCAUGGCCCCAAUCGGCGGCUGCCUGCUGCUCCUGUGCCACUGUCACCGCCUUCGGCUGAUGAGGAUGGUCCUCUCGCCGGAACACGGCGGCCUUGUCGUCCCUCGCCGCCGCCGCGGCCGCCUCGAAUGAUAUGGUGAUGUUGGACGCGCUGUCGUUGAUCGGCCGGUGUGUCACCGGGUCGAUGCCACGGCUCAGCAGCUUCCUCCUGAUGUGCGUGUUCCAGUAGUUCUUGAUCUCGUUGUCCGUUCUUCCUGGCAACCUCCCGGCUAUCAGAGACCAUCUGCAUCAAACAGGAGUAGCAACAACAACAACAACAAACAACCGUUUUAGCAAUCAGAACAGUAUCAAACACGAGCUCUUUAUAUAUAAAAACUGAAACUGAUACAACUCAUAUUCAUGCAUGCAAAUCCUAGUAUCAUUGAGAUGAACACACGUACUUGUUGCCUAAAAGGCUGUGAAGCUUGAUGAUCAGCUCAUCCUCCUCCUCGGUGAAGUUGCCGCGCUUGAGGUCAGGCCGGAGGUAGUUGAUCCACCGGAGGCGGCAGCUCUUGCCACAGCGGAGGAGGCCGGCGGCCUUGGGCAGCGAUCGCCAGCAACCUUCGCCGUGCGCCUUGAUGUAGGCAAUGAGCCGGUCAUCUUCCUCCUUGGUCCAUGCUCCCUUGUUGGUGUGUGCCUUCUCGCAGCACGGUGACCUCCCCAUGAAGACGAUGAAGCUUUCUUGAUUCUUUCCUUUCUUCUGCUGCCUCGGUGGGUUGUUUCAGUGGAAGUUGCUGCUGCUGCUGCUGCUGCUGUUGCUGGGCAGCAAAUGGGUGGGUGGAUUUUUAUAGGGACUUGACUCAAUUGGGGAGGUCUUCUAGAGGCUGAGUUGGUGAGAAAAAGGUUAGGCUGGUAGGCCUCCUCCUUGCACAGGUCAUGGCAUCAUCACUGGAUUACCAGCUUAAUUUUACCUGCAAAGCCAAAGCGAAGAGGACACACAGGCAGCAGCCGUGGAGCCUCUGCCUGAUAAAACCCUUCAAGGUAGGUGUAAAGUGAGGUAAGCCAGCAGCGCCCAACCGUGGGCUUAGGCAGAUGAUGGUGUUGACACUGCCAGCCCUGAUGGCUGACGCCUACCUCCUCUUCUCUUCCAUCCCUUUGGCGCUCUCGGUUUUAACAGCUAACUAACUGCAUCAUCUGAUCAUCUCCACCACGCCACCAUCACCACUAUUGAUGCUUCAUUCCCCUUCCAUGUCUCUGAUUUGUUCCUAGUUAGGUUCAGCUACUUUUUUGUGGGGGACAAAUCCAUUUUACCACCCUGAAAUAUCGUGUUUUUUUUCUAAAAGCCCCUUAACUCGAAAACCGGGUAUUGAAUCUUCUCGGCUAUUGAAACCGUUCGACUUAUCCACUGUGUUCAAACCAAAGGAUUCCCAUUUGCCUACAUGAGCAGAUCAAGAGGUGAGUACUUCAUGGAGGUUGUUUCCAUUCUCCGACAGAAUUAUGUCAACAUGAAAAUGAUUUGUGCCGUAUACCACGCACAUAGUAGUAGAGUGGUUGUAUACGGGUCAUCCUUGUAUUUUAAAAAAAUGAAAUACCAUGCCCUGAUCUCACCAGCUCUAAAAUUCUAGCGUUUCAUCAUUUAACAAGGAAAAUAUUUUGGUGCACCAGUACAAACCCAUGAGCUUAUUAAACACAGGGUGAGGUCCUAAACAACGGAAACCCUGAUCAUAGACUUUUUCCUUAGUUUAUUCUUCAAUAAAAUAGGAUAAACCGGAAUAGGUAUCUUGCAGUCACACUGCCUAAAUGAAUAUUAUUUGCCACCCACCUUAUUUCUUUAUUUUCUCUAUAAUAAUUCUGCUUCCAGAAUCAUAGCUAUUGUCAUGCUCCCAUCAAACUAAUUUCAUGUGGAACUUUCUGUUUUAUACUCUAAUAUAAGUUGGUUCAUCUGUUUGGUCAACCCUAGAUUAAAAAUUCACCAAACUCAUCAGUCUUGCACCUGCUUCAUAUUUCUUUCUGUAACAAGGCAGAUCAUGGAUAUCAUUAUUUAUAUCAGAUCAUUAAUUAUAUACACAAAACUGCAUGGUGAUAGAUUAACAUUAUCUUUAAUCCUUAAUAGGAAUAUAAACUAUGAUCUGGACCCCCUCCACUUCUUUAACAUGUGUUUUCGGUUGCUUAGCAGAGUACAGAGCGGUUCACAUAUUAAUAUGUACUGUACUAACUAAAAGGCCGUGGACAUCAGGAAGCAGAUGAAAUUAUGAUUUGGUUAGAUACUUCAAUGGACCCAUAAAUGCUACUAGUUAGGAGGAACUUACAUAUCCAUGACAAAUUCCAGAUGGGCUUACAUAUUAUUUGUAUACCUAAUAUAUUCUUGUGGAUGGUUACCAAACUAUGGACCAUAGUUGGUUGGGUGUAAGGAGAGGAAAUAUCCGAAACCAUUAGCUUCAGUUGGGGCCAGAAUGAUUGGGACUUCACACUCCACAAUGGUCCUCAAUAUGAUAGGAAAUGCUUAAGUUCUUGAUAUCACCACCUUCAUUUCUUAGCUGUAGGAAUCGAGUGAUUACAACCCUUGAUCCAAUUCCAAUACUGUUCUUUUUAGUGUAUGAGUGGAAUGAAUUGACAUGUGUGUGAUGUUUUCUGCUGAUUCAAGGGUACUUAAGCAAAACUAACAAAUAUUUACAUGUUAAUGAACUAGCAUGCUAGACUUGCUUCAAAUUAGUUCAGUUUUAUCCAGAACUAUAGCUAAUGAUGGAUUUUACUUUGAAAUUCUUAUGGAAAUCAAACUGCUAGUUUUAUUUUCAAUAGUGAUUUCAGCUAUUCUAUAAUGAAAUUGAUAUGGACUCUUUACCUUGUGCUUUUAACAAUUUUUGAAUUCCACAUUUUCUAAAUUAUAUUUCGAAGUGAACUCUUCGUUUUAAUCUAGACCCACCAGCAAUCAACGGUGAAAAUUUCUUUCUUUCCCUCAUUAACACGGUAAUUUCUAGGCCUUAGAGUUAAGAACAGACACAGAUGCUCUUUUGAACUUUGUUUUUAAUAAUGUAAUAGAGUAGAGAGAUAGGCAUAUCAUUUUCGCAAAAAUGGCUAAUGUUAAAUUUCUAACAUUAAAUCUAUAACAAGAGAUUUAUAUGAAAAUACAUUUCAACAAUGUACAGCAAGGGUCAUCUAUCAACUAGCUGUUCAUGCAAAUCAGAAAGCAACUAAGCAUUAGACACCAAACUUCUCUAUUGCAUAGUUAUCAAUCACUAAUCCUCAUUAUUGUUUCUAAGUAGCAAUAAGCUAGUUGGCCAUAAAUCAAGUUUAGUGUCCUGUCAGUUUGUUAUCCACCACAGUUUAAUACACUCUUAAAUAGGCUCCCAGUUUGGUGCAUUGAAUUUAAUCAAAUAAACCAUUUUGGUUGUACCCUAAUCACCACCUCACUAGCAAAAGUAGUGCAAUCACUGAAAAAAAAACGCAUUAGCCUCAGUUCUUUAGUUGUUAAAUGGUAGGCAGUAGUUCUAGAAAGCAUGAAGGCUGAUGGAAAAAGGAGGGUAGGGAAAUGGUUUGUGUAGCUGAGGUGGUGUGUCGGUUAUGUGCAGUUGUUCUACCUUCCACUUCUUAGCCACACACUUGUGGUGGAAGCCUCCUUCUCCAGGCUGGGCUGUUCUGAGUUAGGGGGAAGGGAAAGAAGGCAAGGAGAGAGGUAGGUCUAAGUCGCUCUUUUGUUGUUUUCUCUUCAAGGGGGGCAUGGGCAAUUAGCUAUCCCCACCACAUGGCACCAGCACAACACCACCUAUCUAUAACUCCUCUCCCCCAACUCCCUCUUUGUUUCCCCAACCUACAUGCCCCUUAUAUGCCUGCAUAAAGCUCCAAACUCCCAGUGCCAUCGUCCUUUUCACCCACAAUCUUCUCUCUAACUACCAGUCCUUUGCAUUCUUCUUCCAUGCAUUGGCUAGUAGCGGAUUAGGUGUGGUGUUGGUCUCCUGGACUUCAAGCCAAAUUCAUCAGCUAGUAGUUUCCUAUGGUUGACCAUAAACUCAGAUUUUACUGAGUUCAAUGUUGUUUUACAGAAUAAUUCAAGAUUAAUAGUAGUAAAAAUUACAACAAAAGGGUCUAGCAGUUAUAAUUGUUGUUCUGACUGCAGGAGAAUUUUCAGUCUUCACAUAGAUGAUUGGCAUAAGAAGACUUUCAAUACAAGUACACUACCAGAGACUUUGACUGUCUUUAAAGUUAAACAAAUAGAACAAAAUGGGCUAGAAAAACACUAAGCCCUAGACCUAUGUUCGUAGUUCCAUAUAGCAGGUCAAUACUUUUUUCAAUGGAACGAGGACAUGGAGAAGAUUAAGACUUAUGUGAACUUGGACUCAUGAAAGAAAUGUGAAGUUUACCUUGACUUGCUUUAGCAAUUUUGCCCCCAUAGAGAAUCUCUGGUAACAUGCAACAAGCAGUUUACUUAAAAGCUCUAGUUGCUGAUCAAAACAGGCAGUCCACAUAUACUUCAAAAAUUACCUUUAAUUUGUAUUAGUGUACAAGAUGCAAAAAUGGUUGCACAUGCUCACUGAUCAUUUCUACUUACCCUAUCAAAAGAAAUUCUUGUAGAUAUCUACAUAACCAGCAUUUGAACACAAGGUUCAGAGUUAAAAUGAAACUUACAUCCAAUAUAACCCCAUUCUUUCUGUAGUUUCUGAGGCUCCUUCAGUGCUUCCAUCAGAAAGUUAAUGUCGAAAGUUUCUCCAACUUCAUUUGAACGUGACUGAAGAUAUGGCUGUAGAAAGAAGAUGUCAGAAAUCCAUGUAUCCUAAAUUCCGAAUCUCAUUUAGCUUUUAGAGAAUUAAUUUCAAAUGAAAAGGAGUUGGAUGCAUCUCUUCUUGUUGUCACAUAUUCCACUGCCCAUGGAACAAAAUUUCUAAUUAUGUAGUGCCACUCUUGGCUGGUACCAACAAAUGGUAUGUGAAACUAAAUGGCAAGUUGUAGCACAAUACCAUGUUUUUACAGCUCCAACUUAGCUCAAACAGAGUAGCAUAACGAACUAAAGCUGAAAUAGCAACAAAGCAAUUCAUUGAUGAUUUACAAAUCUAGCUAGACAUGAAUGUUUGGUCAGGCUGAUCCAUCUGCGAGCUAAUACAAAUAGCAGAUAUCAUUUCCUUUCUAGUGAAUCAGUUUGUCCUUUUUUAACUACUGAUAGACCAACUCGUUUUCAGUUUAGUACAGAAGCAUCUUCCAAUAAAACAAAUAAAAUACAUAGUAUUUCCUCAGCUGCUGGGUAUUAUUGGUGGUUGAAUAAUUGAUUGGCCCAGGAAUACUCAGGAAAUCUUGGAGAAUGCACAUGCAAAUAAAUAAAGGGAAAAUUUUGUACUAUAUAUUAGUAUUACACUGAAACUUUGAUUAUUUUAUCAAAUGAGAGGCUGACAGCUAUGUAAUUUCCACAAUACAUAAAUGUUCGAUUAUCCAACUGAGCGACACUCCCAUUAUAGUAUUAUACUAACUUGGCCAACAUAAAGGCAAUUGCGAUUUGUUUGGCAUAAUAUUGAAUUUAAUUUCCUAAGAUCCAAUGGAAGAACAUCCUUUUGUACAUCUAUGUGUCCUUGAACAGUUUCUCCUUCCUCACUAUAACUAUUACCCAUACUCGAGUUUGUAAGAGUCAUUCCUGAACAAUUUUCCCACUUUCAGCUAUAGUUGAUCAUGGACUUCAGGUGCCUGCAGCUCAUCCCAAUCAUUAUAUCUAGGUUCUAGCCAGAGGCAAGUACAAAUUUUUAUUAUUGUCUGAAUACAGAGAGAGCACAGGUCGCCAGUUGAAACUAUAGUCCUAUAUCAACAUACAUAGCACCUUUUGGUGUAUUGUCUGCAUGCUAGUAUGUAAUGUGCCUAAGAGGGCAAAUUAGUGAUGUUUAUAAGUCCAGAGGAUCCUCAGAAUUUCAGCUCUCCUUUAUAAACAUAAAAAGAAUGCAUCAAAUGUGGAGCGACAGUUGAUGAGGGCAUAAGAAAGCAGCUUGCAGCCUCAUAGCAAUUUAGUACAUGAUUAGGGUCUUGCAGAUGUGAGAAAUCUUUAUUUUGUAAGGUAUCUUUUACCAAUUCUUUUAAGGCGCCACGAUAAUGAGAAAUGGAGUUAGAAUUAGAUUUACUGUUGUGACAUCAUGUUACGGAAAUGUGGUGGAUAUUGAGGGGGAAAGGUUUAAUGGAAAAUCGGGUGUUCUGAUCCAAUUUGCAAUCUUUGUCAGUGUUACUGGUCAGACUUGAUUUCUUUUUUUGUCCAAAAGACUUAAUUCACGAAAGGAAGAUGAAGGCAUUGAAACCAGAAAACCUACAAUGUCAACAGUACCCAUGAUGAACUUACCUCUUAAAAUGUAUUUAGCCAUUAGCUUUCGUUGCCAUUUAGCAUUAUAUGUGGGCUUUUCAUUUGUAUCACAUGGGUCAUGUCAACAUACAACCCAAGAAAAAAACAAUACAUGCAACUUGCUUAGAAAUUUUGGUCACAAAUAUGACUCCAGAGCUACCACAGUAUCACAAAAUGGGUUCUACAGAACAGGGACAUUUUUGUAGACAUCGAUGCAGAUGAGCAUAAUUGGGGUGCUAUUAUACACUAGGGCAGAAAAUAUACAUAGGCAACUGGCAACCACCGAGUACCAACUACAACAGAUUCAAGAACACAAUUAUGAACACAGUUAAGCAAAGUGAGUACUGUGUCCAAUGAAACAACACAAUUAAGUAUUACUGGAACCGAAUGUGGAUUACUUACAUUCUGCAGGGGCACGUUUCUCAGACCAGAAACCAAAACUUCAGAAAUGGGAAGCUGCUAAGAGGAUUUCUGCUCCUCACUCCCGUACAGUUGAACCUGCGCGAUCAUUUCAACACCGUAGGAACAAACAUAAGCAAAAUAAUAAUAAUAAUAAUAAUAAUAAUAAUAAUAAUAAUAAUAAUAAUAAUAAUAAUAAUAAUAAUAAUAAUAAUAAUAAUAAUAACACAUCGCACUUGUCAGUGCACCACCACAUCAACGGAAUGGCCUUACCAACUCACAUUUGCACCGCACGAGGACAGGCAGCCGCUUUCAACCCACACGCCCAUCAAGCCUGCGGCUGUAGAGGCAUAGCUUGCAGACAUAGCUUGCUGUCCACUACCCAGGAUGAUGGGCGCGUAGAGGCUUGAAGCCCCAACCUCUCCAUGCCUUGCUGCGCUCCGGCAUUUCGUCAAACACCAGACGGGCCCAUCUCCCAUUCUCCACCACCGCUCCCUAGCACACGAGAGAGACGACGAAGAAUACAUCCGCAGCCACCGCGACUCCACAGUUCACCGCGACACAUGCCGCGCAGGCCCAGCGACCGGCGGCGCCGCCGCGAGCGCCCGCCACGGCCAGCCACGAGAGAGCGAGAAGGCGAGAAUGCGAGAAUGGCGGCGAGUAGAAGAAAUGAAAUAAAGUCUAAUAUGACUCCCCCGACUAUAGCUCGAACUAGGCCAGAAGGGCUAGGCGUUAAAUGGGCCGGAAUUAUCUGGCCCGCAGAUCCAGCACGAGAGGUUUCCAACGGCUAGUUUUUUCGCAAACGGCUAGUUCGGGCAACGGUCGGGGAACCCAAGCUUGGAUUCAUAUAUCUCCUGUGGAAGGGAAUCCAAUGCCUAGUAGUAGUCGAGCACAAGCCGCUCCGCCGCCACCUCCUCCUCUCAGCUCCGCCGCCGCUGCCUCCUCCUCCUCCGUUCUCGGGUCGACAGCGACGAUGAUGCAGCAGCAGCAGCAGCAGGAGACGUGGCUCGCGGCCGCCGCGGCGGUGGGGCUCCGGCCGACCAAGUCGGCACCCUGCUCGCCCAUCAAGCCUGCGGAGUCGUCGGCGUCGGCUGCGGCGGCGGCGGCCAUGCUCCGGACCAACUCCGACUCCUUCCACGUCGCCCACAAGGUCCCCGUCGGCGACACGCCGUACGUGCGCGCCAAGCGCGUCCAGGUACGUGAUUGCGAGCGAGCGUUCUUGAUGGUGGUUUGGAUUGGGAUUGGGUUGUGAUGGUGGUGGUGAUUCGGCAGCUGGUGGACAAGGAUCCGGAGAAGGCGAUCGCGCUGUUCUGGGCGGCGAUCAACGCCGGCGACCGGGUGGACAGCGCGCUCAAGGACAUGGCCAUCGUGAUGAAGCAGCAGAACCGCGCGGAGGAGGCCAUCGAGGCCAUCAAGUCGCUGCGAAGCCGCUGCUCCGACCAGGCGCAGGAGUCCCUCGACAACAUCCUCCUCGACCUCUACAAGGUUCAAUCCCCCUCUUCCCCUUCUCGCCAUUGCUCUGCAACAAUGCGCGCAGCAAGCUGAUGCGUGUCGAUGAAUCUGAGCAGAGAUGCGGGCGGCUGGACGACCAGAUCUCGCUGCUCAAGCACAAGCUGCAGCUCAUCCACCAGGGCCACGCCUUCAACGGCAAGCGCACCAAGACGGCGCGUUCGCAGGGCCGCAAGUUCCAGGUCACCCUGGAGCAAGAAGCAACCAGACUUCUUGUAAGAACCCACACAUCCUCUCAUGGAUUCGUCUCUUGCAAUGCAAAUCUUGCUCAUCUUGUUCUUGGGUGUGUGUGCAGGGAAAUCUGGGGUGGGCGCUGAUGCAGAAGGAGAACUACACGGAGGCGGAGGGGGCGUACCGGAGGGCGCUGCUGAUCGGGCCGGACAACAACAAGAUGUGCAACCUGGGGAUCUGCCUGAUGAAGCAGGGGCGCGUGCUGGAGGCCAAGGACGUGCUCAAGCAGGUGCGGCCGGCGGGGGUGGACGGCCUCCGCGGCGCCGACUCGCACCUCAAGGCGUACGAGCGCGCGCAGGAGAUGCUCCGGGACCUCGAGGCCAAGCUCGUCGGCCGCCGCCUCCCGCGCGCCGGCGACCAGCUCGUCGACAAGAGCUGGCUCUUCGACGCGCUGCUGCUCGGCUCCUCCUCCAGCAUCUGGCAGCCGCAGCCGUGCAUCGACCACAUGCUGCCCCCGCCCCCGCCGCCGCCGCGCGACCAGUUCGCCGACGAGAACGCCGCCGCCGCCGCCGCCAACAAGAAGGCGGCCGCGGCCGCGCUGCAGCCCAACAUCCUCCGGGUCGACGCGCAGCCGUUCUACUCGCUGCGCAUGCCGCCGCUGGCGACGAAGCCACAGAACAUUCAGCAGAAGCCGCCGACGCCGCAGCCGCAGGUGCACGAUCCGAUGGGCAACCUGAAGAGGACACGGUCCGGCAACGCCAUGGACAAGGCGGCGGCGGCAGCUGCCGGACCAGUGGAGAAAGAACCGAUCAACGACGAGAACAGCGGGAGGAGGAAGUCACUCUCCGCCGAGGAAAGAUGGCCGGAGCUGCCCGACCACAGCGCGUUCGACGAGGCCCUCGUCGCGGCGGUCCUCGCCCCGGUCCUCGAUGACUCCGCCGCCGCCGCCGCAGAACGGAACGACAAUUGCUGCAAGCCGGCGCCGCCGGCGGGCUGCGACACGAGCCCGGCGAUGAAGGAGAAGAUCGGGAAGAGGCUGAGGAUCUUCCAGGACAUCACACAGACACUGAACACUUUCUGAUUUGAGUUCUUGAUUUUUUUUUCUUUUCUUUGCAACUCACAGCAGCAGCCGUGGCGACGCCGCGAAGGAGAUGGGCUUGUUCUCCUGCGAGCUUUCUAUGUCGCCGCUAAGUUAAUUUAGGAUUCGAUUGGGUUUUAGUUCGCUGAUGAUUCUUGAUUUGAUUUUUUUUAACACACCCUAAUAACAGCUGAUUGCUCACUUUCUUCAGCUUGACACCAAAGCUCUUCUUGUAACAGAACACGAUUGAUUUUCAUCUUGUUCUAAUUCAGUUUGUUAACAGUUGAAUAACAAAGUGUCAUUAAUUUAUCUUUGCUGUGUUUGUUUGGACUCAAUUUCUGAAUUGAUCUCACUUAAACUGUCAUUUCAUAGCUGGCCACAAAACAGUUGAACAUCCUUCCUGAUGACACUUGUUUCUGAAAACUUUAUUCCUGAUGCUAUUGAUUCUGCUGUUGAGCAAUUGCAAAUCAAUGUUUAGAACCCAACCAAUCUCUACUUGGUUUUCUUAGAAGACUCGUAGAGGUAACCUGCGAUAACUACUACGGCUGCAGCAACUGCGACCCCAAACGCACUCUGCGCGAGUGUAGCAGCAGCCGUUGAACCAUCUGAUUUUGCAGAGCUACGUGGAGCGAACCCAAGUUCGGAGAGCUUCUUGUGUGAUUCAGCGUAGUCCUUGAAGAAGGCAUCCUCAUCCUGCCAUUUGAGGAUAGGAGUUGUAGGUAUAUUCUGAGGCAUCCAUGUAGCUCUGAAUAGGAUACAUCAUCUAUCAUUUACCUUCGCGUAAUGAUCCACAAAGCGCCUGAAUUCAGGAUCUUCCAGGAGAGCCCUGUCAGUUGGAAGUUUCAAAAGUCCCUCUGAUUCCUCCCUCAGCAGUUCUCUAAAUGAAUAUGGAGAAAAAUGUCAUCAAUCUCUCAUCACUAGUUCCCAAAGCAAACGUAUGAUAGAUGGUUUAACAUUGAGCUUACAGGAAGUAAGAGUUGUCAAACUUAAGUGGUUCCUUGGUCCAUGCACCGUCAAAUCCAGAUCUUUCAGGAUGUGCCUUUCCCUGUGAGAAACAAUCCUGGCAGUGUGAUGAUACAAAUAAUUACCAGGUGCUUAUAUUCAAAUGGAGAACGAAAUUAUCACCAGGGUGUGGCCACCAGAUAGAGCUACAAUUAGGGGUGAAAACGGUACGGAAACGGACGGAAACCAUCUUUAUCGUUUUCGUUUUCAUAUUUUUUUUCGGAAUCGGAAUCGGAAUCGGAAACCCCGGAUACGAAAACGGAAUCGAAUAUUAUCAAAACCGAAAACGGAGCGAAAACGAACCGGCGCGAAUACGGUAACAAAAAUUUAUUGGAAUAAAAAACCCCUCAAACUGAUAAAUCCAAUUGAAUAAAUUAUCUAUGUUUAAAAUAAUAAUGUUGUUGAUAAAUCCCAAUGUAAGACAAAAAAUAUUCUUAUGUAAUUUUAGAUUUGCAUAACAAAUAUUUUUUAAAAAAAUAAAAGCCAAACACCAUGGUAUUCACUAUUUAGUGCUUAAAAAAAGAAUCUAGGGUAUUUCAGUCACAAAAUUUCUGGUAAUUCCAAGAAAAUUUCUGGAAAGUUUCCGACCGAUUCUGAGUUCCGACGGAAACUGCCCUUAUCAUUUCCGAUUCCGUUUCCGGGAAAAUAUUUCCGAAUUUGUUUCCGUUUCCGAAAAAUUCCGACCGACAAAUUCCGUUUUCGAAAAUAGGUCCGGUAUCCGGAAAGUUUCCGUACCGUUUUCACCCCUAGCUACAAUAUCCUUGUCAGUCAAUCCCAUUUGAUAAAAGAUGUCUCUUAAAUGUGGUGCACCUAACCAGCAAACAAGAAAGAGUAAUCAAAAUUUAUGCCUCGCGGCCUCGGUGAAUAUGACCUAAGCAGACAAAAUAGAAUAAUAGUAGAUGUUCAACAGUUGUACAAAGCCUACUGCAAAGGUAAACCAUAAAAUUUGAGAAGUGGUAGCCUCAAUAUGACAUGCGAAAAGGCCAAUACACUGACGGUUAACCAAGAAUUCAACCUGAAGAAUAUUCUUUUGCGCUCAGAAGAAAUACUCCUGAACAAAUGUGUAUAUUGGAUGGCUCAUGCAAAGCAACCGCUACUGUAACAUGUUGAUCAUUAACAAUGCAGCAAUAGUUCAACUAGAGGACAUAUGCUUCUAGUGGAUAAUUCAUUCUAAGUUCUCAACAAGAAUAUAUCUAUAUUCAGCAUAAUGAGAAGGCUUUAGUAAUAACCUUUCUUCGCAUCAGGAAGACGUCCUUCUCGCGGGCAAACUGAUGAGUCCUGAUUACAUUACAAAUCAGUUACAUAGUGAACAAGGCAAAGAUAAUGCAUCCGUCUACAAGGAAAUGACAUUUCAUUUACCCUUCUUCCAGGAACAAAGUCAACGGUUGGACCUCCAGUAACUUCAACUGCAACCACUCCAGCAAGCUGAGAAGUAAAAAUAAUCCUGGUUAGUUCAUCAAAAUAUCAUGAGUAAAUUUCACAGAACUACAGGUAUUUUGCAUAAUUUAUCACAAAACUAUAUAUUUAAGAGCUUGUUUCACAAAACUACAGAUUUAGUAUGUCCGUUUAUCACAAAACUACAGGUACUUUGUACAAUCUAUCACAAAACUACAGAUUUAAAAACUUGUUUCACAAAACUAUAGAUUUCGUGUAUUCGUUUAUCAUAGAACUACAGAUUUAGUGUCUUCAUUUAUCACAAAACUACAAAUUUAGUGUCUCCAUUAUCACAAAACUACAGGUUAAAACCUGUAGUUUUGUGAUAAAUGAAGAUAUUAAAUCUGCAGUUUUGUGAAACAAGUUCUUAAAUCUGUAGUUUUGUGAUAUAUUGUGCAUAAUACUUGUAGUUUUGUGAUAAACGAAGAUAUUAAAUCUGUAGUUUUGUGAAAUAAGUUCUUAAAUCUGUAGUUUUGUGAUAGAUCAUACAAAGUAUAUGUAGUUUUAUGAAAUUUACUCAAAUAUCAUUUCAAUUCUACUAUGAAGAAUCAUGCAAAAGCAAUGAUGUAACCGCAGAUAAUCCCUUAUUUUGCCAAAAGUUUUCCGACAUUUAUAUAUGUUUAAGUAGUACAAAUUUUAUAUUUUUAUUAGAAGUACUUCUGUGCUAUCAUGAUUUUGUAGGUCAAUGUUUAACUCUGGACACAUUGUCAGGUCAAAUGACUUGUAAAAUCAAUAGAGGGAGUACCAUGCCAAAAAAAAAUCAAUAUCAGAAAUUUUAUUACUCUCUUGAGGCUAUAUAGAAACAAGAAACACAAUGGAGGAAUCCAGAGUACCUGAUAAAGAUCAGCAUAAGUGAUAUUUGGAUGCUUUCGCUUAAUAGGCUCUGUCAGAAAAUAAGACAACCAGAUAAGUGGUAAUCAUGACACAAUUUAUUAAAGAACCAUUGAAGUAAAAUGACUUGGCAACCAAUAAUGUUCUGUACAGAAGAACGAAUUACUCAAUGAAGUCAUCAGAAUGGUGUUACAAUUUUCCAAGGUCAAGUAGUAAACAGAAGCAAAAGCUUCCGGUGAUAAAAGUGAAGAGGGAAGAGACCACCGUAAUCAAGUUUCAAAGCUACUAGGCUACUACAAGAGAAGGAACAAGAUCAGUAACACAUCAAUUAAUCUUCUUAAAAUGAUCGGCAACAAGUGAGGAUUGCCUACACAAGGACAAACAAGUAGAAAAUUAUGUAGCUACAAGGUCAAUGAUAUUGCAAAGUACACACCAAGGAGAUCAAUGGCAAUUUUUAGUCCAGCAUUUGAACCAUGAGUGUACUCUUCCUCAUGCCUAAUUGAACCAUUUGCACCCCUAGUUUUUGUUUUUGCAUCAUAUGUGCCAGCAUCAUGCCAUCUGCAAGUACAGAAGAUAAAGUCUCCACAUGAAAAAGAGAAUGGCAAAGUAACUAUCUAACAAGGAAGAUAAACAUGGAAGCUUCAUGGAGGAACACACACCAAAUGACUGACUGAGAAGCCAAAAUCAUACUACUAAAGAUUUUUAUUUUUGGGGGGGUUGCCCUUACUAGUUACUACUUUGGCAUGUGGACAUAAGUGCAUAACAAGGUAUGUGUCGCCAAAAACACUAGUAUCAAUUAUCACAAAGAUGGCGAAACAACUUGUUCUGGUGCUGUAAUGAAUAUAAAAUUUUGGUACUAAGUGUCCAAAAGGGACAACAUGCUGCCCUUGACCCUCCAAUUCCAAGUAUGCAUAUACUCGUAUCAGACUAAGAUACUAGCAUCCAAUCCCCGGUGAGAAAGGCACGGAUUCUUUUUUUUCUUUUGAAAUAUAAGCAGGAGUGUUGCCUAUUUCAUUAAUAGAGAAGGAUCGCAAGGUUCAAACAAAAUAUGUAAAUAUAUAUGAGGCCUCAAAGGUAAGAAAUAUAGAAGCUUUAUUCUCGCAAAGGUAAAAACUAAAAACUCCUCCAAUUACAUAAUAUGACUAUGACGAUGCAGAGUUCAGUUCUUUUGGAGGAAGAAUGAAACAAGAUUCAUGGAUGGAAGCAAGAAAAAGAGAAAGAGGUAAGGAAGUGAGACACAAAGGAAUCAAGUGCCAUUUGACGGUAGAAAUGCAGAGCCUAAUCCUCCUCCAAAUCCGAUUGUAGGAUUCCGCUUGCCCCAGUGACAGAUUACACGGUCAGUCCACAGAAACCAUCCUGAUCAAGCCUUUGGACCACCAUUCUUUUUUACUAUGAAAACGUGGCCCUAGCUCCAAAAGGUGUAUGGACGACCAUCUCAAGACUAUUACUACCUCCGUUUUUUAAUAGAUGACGCCGUUGACUUUUUCUCACAUGUUUGACCAUUCGUCUUAUUCAAAAAAUUUACGUAAUUAUAAUUUAUUUUGUUAUGAGUUGUUUUAUCACUCAUAGUACUUUAAGUAUGAUUUAUAUCUUAUGCAUUUGCAUAAAUUUUUUGAAUAAGACGAAUGGUCAAACAUGUGAGAAAAAGUCAACGGCGUCAUCUAUUAAAAAACGGAGGGAGUAUAUGAUAUUCAGCGUGAGUUCGUAGAUUCUCAAAGUACUUACUUCUGUGCUGUUGCUAGAAAAUGGGGCUACAUUACAUUCACAUAUAUAACCUGCCUGCCGAUUGAGAAUAUGUCAGUAUGUCACCAUUCUCCCCCAAAUUCCAUUCCCCCAAGAAAAUUAAGCCUUUCCUCAUACUAGGAUGUGGUGGCCCUCCUGGGAUCCAGGAAGGCAUUUCAAUUGCUAGCAAACUUGUGUGGCCGUGCAACAACCUUGCAGCUAGCAACCAACAGUACCGUGAAUCAGUGAUGGCUUGGAGAGCGAGCACUCUGCACUUCCUAUGAUAACUUCAGAAUCCCCGAGCUGUAAAGAUAAUUAUGGCUAGCACGCAGUCACCGACGAAUUAACCCCCUAGCUACAAACACCCAAAGCAGGCAAGCACUGAAGAACAACUGCUCGUCCAGCUCGAUCCGACACUCGAUCGAUCGAUCAGUAUAAACCCCCGCACGAGUAAAUCGACCGAAUCAAAAAAGCACAGCGAGAGAGAGGGGUGUGAGGAUCGGUUACGGACGCGAGGCGGAGCAUGAUGGGGGCGCAGCCCUUGGAGGCGAUGAGCGCGCGGAGGUCGCGGCGCGCCCCCUCGACCUGUCGCAGGUACUCCGCGUCCACCACCGGAGCCGCCAUGGUGACCGGCCGCGCGCGGGGUCGUCGCCGGCGGCGGCGGAAGCGGGGCGGCUUGGCGUGGAGACAAGCCGAGGAGACGAGGAGUGGAAACGUGGAAGCGGCAGAGGAAGGCGGCGGCGACGACGACGACGACGAAGAGGAGUAGUAGAGGAGAUAACGUGAUGGGUUGUCUUUGGCAGUUGGGCUAGCCCAUUGGUGGGCCCACUCCUUUACCGGCCGAACGAACUAGUCGUGGCUGGUGACGUCACUUGUAAUUCGUUGGGGGGGGGGAAUAAGUCUAUUUUGCCUCUUUAAAUAGUUUUUGCUCUUGAUUAAAUCGUCUCACCAAACUGCAAAACCGGGUAUAACAUCUCUUCUAAUAUCAGUGAAAAUCGACUUCUUCGGUGAUUUUAAAAGUGAUUUCUUCUGACGUGGCAAGUUGACUGUGGUGGACUUGUUGAGUCAGCAGGUGGGACCAACGUGCAUGUGACUUUCAUCUUCUUCCUCACCUCUCCCCUCUUUGUCCUCUCUUCCUCCUCCUCCUCCUCCUCCUCUCUCUUCCCCUUCUAGUGGCUCCAUCGGCUACCGACAAGGAAGGGAAGGGAAGGAGCCCUAGUGCAAGCAACUCAACCUGAUGGCAUUCCUGAGGCACCUCCGGAGCAAGUAGCUAGAACCACCCCUAGCACCCUGCGGUGCGCCACCGAUGUAGCCGAAUUUAUCUCGCUUCGCCAUCUCCGGGCAGAACCACUCAGACGUCGCAAACAUCCUUCACGCGUUGUGCAUCACCAACACGGCGGCAGGCGGAGGUCGAGGAAGACCAGCGUAACUGGGUUGGAGAAGGUGAGCACCACUAUCACGUCGAACGAGUUGAGCUUCUUGAUGGAGAAGAGGUAGUAGUGAUGUCGACCCUAUGCCGCCUGACAUAUGCGUUGCGACGGUGUGAACAAAGAACAAUAUAUCUCAUGCUAACAGUUUUGAGGUCUUCUUUUCUCCCCCGCAUUAAAAGCUUUCUCAUCCAUGCAAAGCGGCGGUGAGGCUACACUACCACCAGUACUACUAUUGCUACUUAUCAGCUCAGAAGGCGGAGAUAACACUAACGCGGGAGGUUGGUGAGGCUGCGGUGGCGAUGUUCGGGCUUCGUCUCCGUCCUCACAGACAGGGGAGCUCGCGCGAGGUCGCGGAAAGAGCGGGAAGACACGGUAGCUCGGGGAAACCACGGCGGUAGCAGCAUUCCCGCUCCGUUCACCUGGGGCUGCUACCGCCUUGCUCUUCUCGGCCGCCCGCCGCCCCUCUCCUCAUCGGGCGCUGGUCUAGAGUUCAUGGGUGAGAGAUGCAAGAGAGGAGAGAGAGGAGAGCCCUUGACAUGUGGGUCCCACAUGCUAACUCAGCGAGUCAACCAUAGUCAACCUGCCACGUUAUCAAAAACCACUUCCCUAACCAGCUAAGGAGUCAAUUUGCUCUAGUUUUUAAAGAUUGUGGAGUGUUCAGGAGCUAAGAGAGAGAUAAAAUAGACUUAUUCCAUUCGUGGGGGAAUACAUUGGCCCAGUGAGAUCAACGGGCCCAAUAAAUUCUGCAGAAUCUUAGCACAAAAAGGCUGGUUAUUGUGGAUCUGCGGGCCUGUAGGCUACGUCUAGCUUCACAUUAUUUUCUUUUUCCGUUAUUUUUUGGCUGGACAGAGGGACAGCCUUUACACUCACUCUAUCUAAAGUCGGGCACCAUGAUUCGUGCAGGAGGACGUACCGUCCUCACAAUGAUGUUAGAGUGAUCCAAGCUCGUACGGAUUGAGCAUUGCACGAUCUGAUUGAUCAUCCCGGAUUUUCCUUUCGGUCCAUCAACGAAAGUAAAUGUGCCCAAUGCUACUAAGGCCCUCUUUAGAUCCCACCUAAAAUUUUUCACCUUAUAAUAUCGAACGUUUAAACACAUGUAUGAAAUAUUGAACAUAGACUAAAAAAAUAACUAAUUGUAUAGAUUGCAACUAAUUUGCGAGACGACUCUUUUAAGCCUAUUUGCUAUAUGAUUUGACAAUGUAAUGUUUCAUUAAAUAUUUGCUAAUGACGGAUUAAUUAUGCUUAAUAAAUUUGUCUCGCGGUUUACUGACGGAUUAUGUAAUCUGUUUUGUUAUUAGACUACAUUUAAUACUUCAAAUGUGUAUCCGUAUAUCCGAUAUGACACGCCAAAACUUUUCACCUCUGGAUCUAAACACAGCCUAAUAAAGCAACACAACAACAACAAACUGCUACUACGGAGUAUGAGUACUACCAUAAUCUACUCUCUUUGUCCCGUUUUAAGUGUAGUUGUGAGUUUCUGUGUCCAAUAUUUGAUCGUUCAUCUUAUUUAAAUUUUUUUUAAAAAAUAAGUCACGCAUAAAGUAUUAUACAUAUUUUAUCAUUUAAUAACAAAUAAAAUAAUAACUAUAAAAUAAAUUAAAUAAGACGAACGGUGAAAUAGUAGACACAGAAAUCUACAUCUGGCCUUAAAAUGGGAUGGAUGGAGUAACUGAGAAUAGCGGUACAUUCUUUCGAGAAGGGUUGAUCACAAAAGCCAACCAAAGGUGGUCGAGGAGAGCAGCAAGCCAGUGAGCCAGCAUCCGCCUCAGCCUCUUUGGAAAAAGCAAACGAAAUAAAAAGCCGGGCCGUGCAUGCAUUCAGCAAACGCAUUUAACUCGAACGCCACAAAUCCCUCCCGAACCGGGCGGUUCAAACGCUCAUUUCAGGGCCGCAUUCUCGAAUUCGAAUUCAAAUUCAACCAAACCCCAAACUCCCCACCACCACACACACGGUAGAGAAGUACUCAAUAAGUUCUAUAAAAACCCAAUCUAAUAUUGGAUGUCUAUAUUUAGAUUUAUUGUAUUUGGAUAUAUUAAGUGGCGGAGCUAAGGCCUGAUUUGCACGGGCAAUGGCCCGGGCUCCACCAGCUGCAAGCAGCAAUUCACCAGAAAAUUAGUGCCUAAUUACCUUAGUAAUCACCUUUCUUAGUCACCGGCAAGGCAGUGCAAUCUACAAUGUAACUAGUACAACAACAAACGUGCUCAACACAAACUUUUAAAACAAAUGUGCAUACUAAAGUUAUCUAUGAAUUAUAUAGGCUUGUAUAUACCUCAAUUUGUUGUUAGACUCGUCAAGGCUCAUGCAAUUUUUUUAAAAUCCGUCACUGGAUGUAUUUAAUCAUAGGCUCUGUUUAAGGAGCUUAAGAUUCUGAGAAUCUAUUGGUUGGUAGCUAGCUUCUAAGAAUAUGGAGAAGCUGGGUUUUUCAGCUUCUAUGUUCUCGUUCAUUUUCUGAAUUCUACAACUACGUAUUCUCAGAAUCUGGGUGAUAAUCUGCACUGUUUAGGGGAGGUCCAUGGAUUCGUUUUUGGUGAGACCGAGGGAAUUACAACAAACAGUCCAGUCAUUUCACCCACCGCGAGUAGAGUAACUGCCGGCGAUCGCAAUCAGGGGUGGAGACUGGAGAGAGCAGCAUUCAAUAGUGUCGGCCUCCCCGCGCAACGUUCCUUUCCAUGCGCUUUUCUGCAAAGGAGGCUCAAAAACAGCAACGAGCCAACGAGACGAGACCGCCUCGGUGGUCGCUGCUGUGCCGUGCCGCGCCGCGCCGCGCGGCCCACGCCCAAUAAAAAGCCGCAAAAACUCGCGCAAACCCCCGCUCCAAAGCCGUGCCCGUGCCGACCCGAACCGAACCAGCGACCGACGCACGGCACGCACGACCGUUGGGGUGCAGGAGCGGGUUCCCGACGCUGCCCUCGGAAGCAUCGGCUCGUGCGCGACGAGGCGAGGGGCAGUUUGGGGAUCGCUGAAUCCGGCCGAGAAAGAGAGCAUGCACACUGCCCGAGAUCUCAUGCCCCUCUCGCUCUCUGUUUUUACUCCUCCACUGCCGUGUGUGUGUGUCACAGGCAACACGCGUGCAAAAGAUCGAACACCUACGGGGCGAGGCGAGCUCAUCUCUAUCCAUCCAUCCAUCUCGACCUCGCGGCGGCGCCGGCGGCGAUGGGGCUGUGCCAGUCGAGGCUGGAGAGGCAGGAGGCGGUGUCGAGGUGCAAGGCGAGGCGGCGGUACACGAAGCAGCUGGUGCAGGCGAGGCGGGACAUGGCGGCGGCGCACGCGCUGUAUCUCCGGGCGCUGCGUGCCACGGGCGCCGCGCUGCUGCAGUUCGCCAGCGCCGAGGCGGACCACCCGCACCCGCACCACCACGUCUCCGCGGCGCCGCCGCCGCCGCAGACGCCGCCGUCCCCGCCGCCUCCGCCACCGCCGCCGCCGCCGCCUCCCCCGCCGCUCAGCCCGACGCCGACCACCACGUCGUGGACGACCAACUCCUCCUCGAUCAGCGCGUCCCCGAUCUUGCCCCCGCCGCCGCCGCCGCCAAUGCCGUCCAGCUGGGACUUCUGGGACCCCUUCGCCCCGUCCUCCUCCCGCUCCGCCACCGAGGACGCCGAGUGGGACGACGCCGCCACCACCAUCGUCGACGCCCCCAACGCCCCGCCCGUCGUCACCGUCGCCGCCGCCGCGGCCCCGCCCCCGUCCGUCGUCACCGCCACCACCACCACCUCCACCGCCAGCGAGCUCACCGUCGUCGCCGUGCCCCGCGGCGGAGGCGGCGCCGGGAAGAAGGACCUCGCCGAGAUCGCCACCGAGCUCGACGAGUACUUCCUCAAGGCGGCCGACGCCGGCGCCCGCGUCGCCGCGCUGCUCGAGGCCCCCAACUGCGAGCCUCCCGAGACCAACAACAGCAGCUUCCCAGGCAAGACGAUCUCCAAAUCAGUCACUCGAUUGAGCUCCAUCUUGCUCACAUUCCACUUAUUUCUGACAAAUUAUCUGUUGCAUGCAACUGAAAUCGACGAAUGCUGCAGGGAAGGUACUGAAUUACGGCAAGAACUUGAGGCCGAUGGGAUGGUCAUGGGGCGGAAGCGGGUACAGCAAAGGUAGCAAUGGUUUCUCAAGAUUCGGAAGAGGGGACGAAGGGAUGGGUAAUGGCGGAAGCAGCGGAAUUCUUAGCCAUUCAUCCACCGUGGAGAAGCUCUACGCCUGGGAGAAGAAGCUGUUUCUUGAGGUCAAGGUAAUUACUUUGAUCUUUUAACUUUAUUGACAGCAUUCUGAACUUUGCUUUCUUGCUAGUAAUUAAGAAGUAACUAAGCAAGAACAGACAGAAUGGCCGAAAUGUACUGCUCAGUUAGAUCUCAGUGGGUGAGUGCUUUGGGCUUUUGAGGAGCCCGUCCUUUUUUCAGUUUGAUUAUUAAGCUGUGAUGGGAGAUACUAACAUGGAUUCCGAUGGGUUGCAAUUGGUUUUGUCUGAACAAAAGCAGCUACUAGUGGGCACAAGUACUAGUAGUGCGUAAUGCACAUGUAUACUGCUAGCUUUAUCGUUCCAUGUAGCAAUAUUUUUUCCCUGUGUGUCAGUGUUCAGUAGCUUCUGUAAGUAUGAUAUGCGCUAUGCUUUUGGAGUUCAUCGAAGUAAAAGGAUCAUUCCAAUUGUAUUACUACCAUGGAAGGUUUAGCUGAAUGGGAGUGGACUGCAGAGAGUGAAAUUCAUGUUUAAGUAUGCCUUUGAAAUUAUUGAUCUCAGGGAGUGUAAUACUUGGAUCAUAUAGUUUGUUUUUGUUUGUUUGGUUUAAUUUCUUUUGUUACUUUUGGUUGUCUCCCCUAAGCAAUCAUGAAACAUCGACUUUAUAUAUAACUUUAAAGUUAGAAUCCUCCUGUUUAUCUUUAUAGAAUUAACUUAACAGAGAUUUUCUUGUUCUUUCUAUGACUGCACAACUAGCGCAGAGUUAUGAGGGGCUUAAGCAGGAGCAUGAUAAGAAGAUAGGGCUAUUGAGGAAGCAGGAGGUGAAGGGUGUGGACUACUUGAAGAUGGAGAAGAACAAGAUGGAGAUCGAGAGCCUCGAUUCCAAGAUGCUUGUUGCCACGCAGUCCAUCGAGACCACCACUUCUGAGAUAAUGAGGCUGAGAGAAUCCGAGCUCUUCCCUCAGCUUCUUGAGCUCGUUGCUGGGUUAGUGCAAUGAUUCAUUCACCCUCUAUUCUGUCGUACCUUGUGCAUCUAGCUGCAGUAGUCCUGGACUAUUAACAUGAUCUCUACUUCCACUUGCCCCUGUCGUUUUUCUAGUUUGCAUGUGACCAUGGCUGUGUGAUGUAUAGACUGAGCACAUAUGGGCCAUACAUACUAUGGCUUUGCCAUGCUUGGCUGUAGUGGCAUUGGCUAUUUACUCUUUGCAUCUACCAACAUAGCUCACUCUCCCAUUGCAUUUAUCUUUCUCUUCAUGUAAAGGCACCUUUGCCACUGUACGAGUAACCUUUCACUCAUAUUGGGCAACUUUGAAGUAAUGGAGUUUGGAAGGAGCAAUGCAGUAGUGUACUAGUAGCUGGUAGGUUCUCCAAGUUUUGACUAGUCUGAGUGAAUCUCCUGUACAUUGAUUUGGUUAGACCAAGCCUGUCUCCACAGGAUCUCCUAGUCAUUAUUGCCCAUCUAGCUGACAUCUUCGGGUAAUGGUGACGUAAGUUAUACAUGAAACUUUUGAAGUGUUUGACAUGUUGUUGUUUGCCGUAUUGCUGACUUUAAGUAUUUUUGAAGUGUUUGAUCAGCAGUGUUACUGUCUUACUGAUAAGCUCAUUGUUUCUGGGAGAACACUAGUUCUCCAGUAAAGAAGAGAAGGUCAUUGAGGUAUUAGUGCAUUCUGCAUUGCACUUACCCCUUUAGAUAUCCAUUUCUCAUAGGGGGUCUCUGGCUAUACUUAACAUGACUGCAUAAAUCUGGAGUAUGCAUUGGAAUUUUGGAUUAUUUUGCUUCAAUAUCAACAAUUUAGUGGAAAACAUAAUUUUCAUAUAACCUUUUCCUUCAAUGAUAUGAUGGGCCAAUGCUACACAAAGUUUGGUUGAUACACUCUACCCCUACCUUAUUGAAGACUGCUGUAACAUAACCUAGCUAGUUAUGUUACUGCACUUUACUUCAAAUUCUUGUAUACUAAAAUUCCAGCUGGUACCCCUGUUUCAGCUUGAAGUGGUCUCCCUAUGUAUAAGUAUUCUCAGAGUCUACAUACUGUCAGUUGCAUUAAUUAUUUUCUGGAAGUACAUUUCCUUUCUUCAGCACCAUGCCUAUGCUUUUUUUUCCAUUCUCAUAGAGUGUUCCUUUUUUUUAUGAAUGAAUUCCAGCUUGAUGAGUAUGUGGAGGGGCAUGUAUGAGUGUCAUCAAGUACAGACUCACAUGGUGCAGCAGCUUGAGUACCUCAACAAUUCCUUGAGCACUAACCCAACUUCCAAUGUCCACCGGCAAGCAGCUCUACAGCUUGAGAUCGAGGUUGACAGAUGGUACUCAGCAUUCUGCAGUCUGGUUAAGUCCCAGAGAGACUAUGUCUAUUCAUUGACCGGAUGGCUUCGCCUCUCACUAUUCCAAUCCUAUCAUGAUCCAUACAACAAAGCUCAUCAGAACUCUGAUAUCUACAGCUUGUGUGAGGAAUGGCAGCUAGCCAUUGAUCGAAUCCCCGAUAAGGUAGCCUCGGAAGGGAUCAAAACUCUCCUGACAGUGAUACACGCAGUUGUGGUACAACAGGCGGAGGAGCAAAAGCAAAAGAAGAGGUCAGAGUCUGCAUUCAAGGAACUGGAGAAGAAGGCAGAGGAACUAAGAUCCCUUGAAUCCAAAUAUGGGCCAUAUUCGGGUGCUGAAGGCUAUGGAGAUAUGUCUCGGAAGUCGCCAGUAUCAGACAAGCGAGCGAAGGUGGAAGCUCUGAGAUGUCGGGCGGACGAGGAGAAGAGCAAGUAUGAGAAGAGCAUUGGGGUCACAAGAGCAAUGACCUUGAACAACCUUCAGACAGGUUUCCCUAACGUUUUUCAGGCGAUGACGGGAUUCGCCAGCGUUUGCAUGGAAGCGUUUGAAUCGGUGUACAACUUCAAGAGUUCAGAUCGGAUCCUUGAUUCGAAGAGGCUACUAACAUGAGAUUCUGAGAAGUUGUCUUGUGUUGGUGCUUGGUAGGUCACUGUAUAAAGUGUAUACAGUUCUAGAGUUCUUGUAGAAUAGCAGGUGGAACAGGGUUUAACUUACAACCGUCUCUGUCUGUUAUCGUCUUCUAUCUUAUGGUACUAGAGUAGGCAGGCACAGAAAUGCCUCGAGUUCAUUUACUCGCUGUGAACGAACUUGAGGCCUUGUUCUUCCUCUUUUUGGUUAGCUCUGAGGUGUUUGUCCAUUCUUGGAUUCGAAAUCUAAAAUCUGGCAAAUUCAAAAGCUCUGGUUUUCGAAUUGUUUCAUAUCUUGCAAAAUUUUGUACGAUGACAGCAGUAUUUCGCAUACUGUAUAGUCUAUUAUAAUUCGGCCUGCCCGUUUUCAUGUUCACACGUCAUGUCAAAGAAUUUUGUCGAACGCACAACUUCUUUUUAAAAGAAUUCAACUCUGCCAGAAUUCUAUGUUUAUCUGCAUUGAAGGAUAAUGGGUCAUUACAUCUCACAUCUAAUUCCACUUCCGAUGCCAAUAGCAUGGUUGCUUCUACGUUGUUCUCAACACAAUUUUGAAAAAAUAACAAAAUAUCUCAACAAGGUAAAACAGAUGCCUGGACACAAAGAAGUAAAUAUCUACAGAACUCAAUCACAGGUAUUGGCCAAACUCUGUUUGUAGCAACAACAUUCAUAUGUAUCAUCCUGUAUCUCACGAAGUUCAAGCAUUUCACCUACUUCAUCACGGUUGCUAUGAAGUUCUCCACUGCAUCUCUAUCUGAAUCUGACCAUUUUUGGAAUCAAUGAGGUGGUACUUCUCAUUGAUCCGCUUGUUGCUGAUCACAUCUGCGAGGCUUAUAUCAAUGUAGCCUAAGGUUUCCUGAAUAAAUUAAAAUACUCAUCAGUGAUUCUGAUAUUCAUCAUGCACAAGUCGAGAAAGUAAAAUGUUGGCAUGGGACAGAACUUCCAGGCACAAAACAAAUACCUUGCCGUGUAUCAAUCCUUUCUUUGAAGCUUUACUUAGAACUUCAAUAUGCAGUUUAUCAUUUACAGGGGGUUCCUCGCAUACAAACUCGAAUUCGUCCUCCCACCGUGGAUCCCUGUUUUUCUUGAUUACCUACAAAAUUGAGGUAGAAUUUUAUAGGUUGGGGGGGGGGGGGGGCACAUGAGAUCAUACCACAAACAAUUUCAGUGCAGAUGUUCAAGUGAAUAAUAUUUGCAAGAUAUUAGUACCUUUGUUUUCUUCUCUUCUCCUUUGAAAAUUAUCUUUGCAUAUGGGUUUGUGUGAUGCUUUCCUUCAAGAUCUUGAGCUUCAUGAACAACAACAUAAAGCAGUCCUCCACCAGCUGGAGUACCAUCAGGAGCUUUCUCCACCACAUCAGCAUUAUCGAUGCCUUCUUUCUCCAUAUCCUCUUCCUUGAAAGGCUUAUAUGUCACCUCCAGAGUAAGCUGACCACGGGACUUCUCAUUUUGUACAUCAUUAGGAUCCAUCGUCUUAAGCAAGUUAACAGUCAUGACUUUAGUCUCAUCUGCGGGAAGUUCUUUCAACAGAAUGUUGUUCAUGCCCAUUUUCUCAUGCUUGCCAACCUGUAUACAUCAAAAGAAAUAAUCAUGUCUUUUUUGGUAUAAAAAAUGCAGAAAAAAGUAGCGGAUUUCAUUAAUGAAGCGGUCCAUACCUGUUCCCAAUCAAAGACAUUAAUUUCCAGUGCCUGAGUUUCAGGGUCUGUCACAACAAAUUUGAAAUCCUCAUUCCACUCUGGAUUGAGAUUGCUACGCUUCACUGUUGUUUUCUUGGACGGAAGCUUGUCAUCUGACAUCUUAAGUUUCACAUAUGGGUCCGAUUUACCCAACAGAUCCUUCUUUCGCAGGUUUUGAGCUCUUAAAACUUUCACAAGUAGAAUUCCAACAGGCUUCUUAGAAGCUCUGCAAAUAGAUGGAACCAUUAAUGUGGCAUCUCAAAAACUGCAUACAAACAAAUAAUAGACUAAGUGAUAGAUAAUGUACUUUGAGGGAUCCAUUAUGGGAACUUCCAAUGUCUUUGGCCACAAAUACAUGCUCGCAACUUGCUUUUUUAUGGUCUCCUGCAAAUGCACAAAUGGAAGUGGUCAAAAUAUGAACUACUUGUACUGAAUGGAGUGAGGCAGUCUGUGGCACAUCCACUGUAAUGGCUAAGAUAGACACCAUCAAAUAACAUCAAGUCAAGGGCUCAAGGCUAUAGGAUAUGAAAUUAUAGCAAACAAGAAAUAUCUUGCUUUUGCUACAUAAGAAUGUGUGUACGAAUCUAAGUCUAAGCACGUGUAGACCAAUAACAGAAGCAAGUUACAGUACCACAUUACAAGUUUGCUGUGAAUGUUAAAAGAACUGUAGCAGUUCUUUCAUGACGGCUCACUUUAGCUCUACGUAUUUCUAGCAAACUAAUGAAAAUCUCAACACCAUAGACCAACAAACUUUCGCAUAAGAAGGCUCAAAGUAGGAGUCAGGAAUACCUGAACAAAUCUGUAAAGACCAGGGAUAGCCAUUAAAUCUGCUCCGAAAAGUUUCAGCCCGAAGUCAACGUGUGGCUGCCAAACCAACAUAACUAGUAAGAAGGUUGCCAGCAGGGUAAUAAACAUACAAGCGAUCAGAUAUCAGACCUUCUCCAUGAGAGAAACAAGGAUUUUUGCGAAGCAAGGAAAUGUAGGGACCAAUGGCUUCAGAGUAAUACGAGGUGAAGCAAAGACUUGCAGAUCCACAAUCUGAAAUUUUGUUUCACAUGAACAAUGAAUAACUUAAUUAGCUCAAUUCUAUAUCAUAUCACAUAAUGAGAACACCAAUUACUACUUCAGCCCAUGACAAAAAAAAAACCUGGACAGUUGCUUUCAACCCAUAAGCCUUUACAACAACAGUGACAUUGGGAUUUGCAGCCCACUUAAGAGAUGGUUCCAUUAUCAAUUCUUGUUCUUCUGUGACAUACACUUUCAUUCCUGGAGAAGCAAAUAUCAUACAACAGAUUCAGUGUAAUGCCAGGGUACAAAGAGAGCUGAGCACAUAGAACAUUAUUGUCCACCAUACAUGUUUAUGGUGAUGUCCAUAUGACAUUAACUUACAAUAAGUAAUAAACAAGCUGUACAGACCUAUGGCUAUAAUGCAUAGAGUUGGUCAUAAAAACAUAGUAUGACAGCUUAGUGGGAACAAAGUAGUAGCAAUGCAUUCAUAUUCUAUAUCUCCAGCGAUGCAAACCAUAACUACUCUGAUGCUGAUUUGAUUACAGUUGAUCGUAAAACAAGUUGAUAUGAACACAACUGUUUGCACAAUAUACAGAAACAAGGGCCACUUCUAAGGAAAAGACAUGUGAACUACAUAUGUAUGCAUGUAUAUAAUGAGAAAGUGCACUAACCUUGAAAGGUGGGUGGUAAGCUACCCAAUGUAAGUGAUUCAAACUCAAUAGAUUCUAGUUUAUACGUCUUCCUGUUCUCUUCAAUGAUUGGCUUUGCAAUAUCCAGUGCAGUUCUGCAGAUCGCCUACAGGAUAAAUGCACAAUAAAGUUUCUAUUGUCAAUCAGAGAGAUCCAUUUCAUUCUUGGUGACUUGGUGUAGUCUACAGCAAGAUAAGGGUACCUUGUUGAGGUAAGGCCACAUCAUCUCCAAAAAUCUAUUCAGCCAAUCAAUCUAACAAAGAAUAAGAGGAAGAUGAGAAAUAUGAGAUAAGCUAGCAUUGAUGCUGUUCAAGUGCAUGAGUUUUCUUCAGCGAGUAGAUGAUAGUUUAAAGAAUGGGUAAGCAUACUCUAUCAUAGUCAGGAUUCUUGACCCACAAAGGAAUUUCAGGAAGGAUACCGUCCAACGAUAUUGAGUCAUAUUCGACAAGUGGGCGAACUUUGACGUCCUGAAAGGCAAUCAGAGGAAGAAAUUACCCCCAUGCAGCACAACAAUAUGGUGCAUUACACCAAGAAAAACUCAAAUGUGUGCCGUUCCAGUACAUAUGGUAUCAAUGGACAUGUACAUGCAUAUAUAUAGUGUAAUAGGUCAUCAUACACCAACUGAAAGGUUGCCUUUAUUUGAAAAUCAUGAAAGAUAUCGUUUAAACACCCAAAUAAAAUAAUAGAUGCUUAUAUAUGGCAUAUUAACAGUAUGUGGUUGAGACUAACUGAAUUAGGACUUCACAAAAAACUAAAUGAGUUCAUCAAUGCCUCCGUCGUCAAAUUAUUUUCUGUAACAGCAAGAGCCAAACUGUUCCCAGGCCAUUUUGGUUGUAAGGUGUAGACAUCUGUUAAUAAGCAGCACCACACAUUCCACAACACAAGUAUUCAUUAUAUGACAAUAUGAUAAAAUUUUAUACAGUAUGAAAGGAAGAGAAUCAUUGAAAUAUAGAUGUGCACCUUGACAUCAGUUGGCUGGAAGUAGAUGAAGAAGUAGUAUCCGAUGACAAUACCAGCGGAGAAUCCAAAGCCAAACCCAGAGAAACCAAGCACCGUACUAAUCACACCCAUCUCAGACUCGUUUUAGUACCUCCAAAGUUAUAGCAGAUUUCAGCCUAAGGCUGCAAAAAUCAAACAUGUCGGAAGAUGAAACAAAGGCUUACACUCAGGUAAAUUAAUCAAUUGAAACACUUCAUUCAGCUGAAUCAUGAGAGAACAACAAGUGGUCUAGCCAGAUCCCUAUCACUAGCUCGUACCUCCUCUUUUUUUUUUUUGGUGAAAAUACUCUAUUCAGCUUUUUGCGUGAGAGCAUCAAAAUAUCCCGGCAUAAGCAAAAUUCAGAGCAAACAGAUUUGAACAAAUUGCAGAAAGCAACAUGGAGCAACUUCCAACAUUAGAAACUGGAGGGGCCCAUCAAUCAAGAUUUCCCCCCUAGUACGACAGUAUGAAAGUAACCUUCACCCGCAUAUCACCCAAAAAAAAAAGUACAUGUUGAAAGUUCUUUUAAUAAAAAAUAGUGAAAACGACCUGCAGGAGACUGAUAGAAACAAAGUUUAGCACAGCUAAUGCCAAUUGGUUCGGUAACAAGAAGAUAUAGUCAUAUGGUGAAGAGAAAACUUGUAAACUUUAAAAAUGAUAAUGCAGAUUUCAGAAUAAUAUAGGCUGGAACCACCCAAAGUUGCAAUGUUUUAAUUAAAUAAUUAAGCGAGAAGACAAAAGGUGGAUUCAAGUGGUGGAAGAAAAGAACAUCAAAGGUGUGCUUUACGGAUGGUUUCUUGCUUGGCUGUGGGGUUGGCGCUUUAAUCUUUGCUUUUGGGGUGGGUUUCGUAUUAGAGCAAAUCCGCUGUACACCAAACUGAAGAUUUCAACAAAAUAUAGUGGUGGGAUCUGCUUGUGAAAAAAAAGAGAAUAAAGUUCGCUUGGAGGUAGGACAGAGAAUAUUGUUACAGAGUGUGAAAUUUUCUCUUGUUCGAUUAAAUAGAAUUCAACCAAAAACAUGAAAUGAAUUGCACAGUUUAUCUAUGCUAGAUUCACAAAUUUACAUUAUUCAUAAUAUUGCUCAAACAACACAUCCGCGCACAGUGUUCACAUACGAAAGGUAAUUCCAAACGGAAGCAAAUUAGUUUUGCCGAAUUCACUGACUCACUUCAUGCAUGUUUCUCCUAAAUAAGACAUGAUUCGAUAAUUGUCUCAAAUCGACGUUAAUCGCCAGCAAAUAAAAAAAAGUCGCACGAAAAUGUACCCCAAAAAUGGUGAACCCAAUCCGCCCCUACGAUUGCACGGAUCAAAAAUUCAAAAUCGAUCCUACAGUGGGAAAAAAAAAACCCUAGACGAAUCCAACUUUAGCCGCAACCGGACAGACGAGAAAACACCCAACAAAAAUCAAAAACUCCCAUCCAAUCCUACAACAGCCCAAAAAUCCAGGCAACGAACAAAAACCUAGAUCGCCCCCCAACGCGAGAACGACGACCGAUCCGAGCAGUCGGGGAAGAGGAAGAGGAGGAGACGAACCAGUGAGAGAGAGAGCCCGCUCCUCGGCCAGUCACCCCCCCUGAGAUUCAGGCCAUGGAACUCGCUCCGAUCCGGUUGUGAGUGCUCGGAAUCGGAUUCGCCGAGGCGAGGAGAUGGAAUUUGGGGGGAAGCCGAGGUGGAGGAGGAGAGGUCGGGGUCGCACGUUGCGUUGCGGCGCCUCACGCGCGUGAGGCCGCGAUCCAAGGUGUGUGUGUGUGGGGGGGGGGGGGGGGGGGGGGUGGAAGAGGGAGGAGGGAGACGAGUGCCUAAUUAAAGAAGCGAAGCGAGUUUGAUUUGUUUCCUCUCCUCUCCUCUCCUGCCUGCUGCUGGAUGGGUGUGAAGUGUGAACUGUGGUGGAGUCGGAUGAGUGAUCUCGGGGACGCCGACGUGUGGGGACCGGGGAUGGUCAUGGUCCUCCCUGGCUCAUCUGCCCCCCCCCCCCCCCCCCAACUUUUGUAGUUCAAACCUUUUCUUGUCUUGUGUCGUGCAGUACCAAAAAUCAGCGAAAUUUGCGUGAAGUGUUUUAAAAAGGAUCCUUUCGAACGUAUGAAAGGGAAAGGAUUUUUUUUUAGGAUUUGAAUCAUAAAAUUCCGAUGUAGUUAUUCGCAGCAAAUGAUUGGUCCUCGAAAUUUUCAUUGAAAAUCCCGUGAAAUGAACCAUCGGUUAAUCCCUCCCUCGAGGAUUUAUAUUAGUUCUGAAAGUGAAAUGAACCGUGUUCGGAUAAUCCCACCCUCCAGAAUUUAUAUUAGUUCUGAAAUUAAUCUCCUCCACUUAUAGAAAUUUUAGAGGAAAACAAACAGGCAUCUUACCUCGUUUUUAGGUAAUGGACAGUCAUGGUUUCUUCUUUUUAUAUGUAUGAUUCCAUCAGUGCAUGUACAAUGGUAUGUAAUAAUGGGCUCUCUUCACUGUUAUGCAAGUAAAUUUGGUGACGUGGAAGAAAGAGAUGGAAGAAAUGAGAAAUAUCGUUGCUACGCAUGAUAACAGCUCAGAGUGGACUCUUAGCAUAAUGGAAAAUUUGUUGCAUGAGGGUGGAGAAAAGGAAAUAAGUAUAAUAAAAAAUUAUUUGAUACAUUAAUGGUUUAGAAAUCUUAUUACCUCUACUAUUAUAGGAGGAUUGUCUUUAGUGAUAUUAAUUAGUAUAGAGAGCUCAUAUUAGACUCUACCUUUGUACAUGCCCUCAGGGUUUUUCCCGUGUGUCAUCGGAUUAGAUUAUUCCAAUUUUUUUUAGUUUAUAUAGAGUCUGUAUGAAGAGACAUUCUAUACAUGGGUUUUUUUCCUUCUAUCUAAGGUGGUGUUUGGAUCCAGACACUUAACUUUAACUUUAGUCCCUGUAUUUAGACACUAAUUUAGAAUAUUAAAUAUAGACUACUUACAAAACUAAUUACAUAAAUCAAAGCUAAUUCGCGAGACAAUUUUUUAAGCCUAAUUAAUCCAUAAUUAGAUAAUGUUUACUGUAGCAUCACAUAGGCUAAUUAUGGAUUAAUUAGGCUCAACAGAUUCGUCUCGCGAAUUAGUCCAAGAUUAUGGAUGGGUUUUAUUAAUAGUCUACAUUCAAUAUUUAUAAUUAGUGUCCAAACAUCCGAUGUGAUAAGGACUUAAAGUUUUAGUCCCAUCUAAACAGGGUCUAAAGUUAUAUGCUCUUCUCGAUUUCUAUGUAGCUUAUAAGACGCUACAGAAUUUUACAACUUGAUUUGAUGUUUUUUUCCAUCGAAGUUGUUUUCUUUCAAUUUCUUGUGUUUUUCCUAUGAUCCGUUCAAACGGUGAUUCUUGUUUUUUUUUUUUGCGGUUCUCUGUUUACCCUUAUAUUUCUAUUAAAAUCAUAGUACACAUGUCUCAAAAUAUAAAAGUCUAAUUCUUUCGUUCUAUAAAAUACUAAUCAGGACAUAAUGUGACACAUCAUAGUACUACUACGUGGACAUGAGGUUGUCGAUAUUCAAGUAGAAUAUGCCACACUGUGUAUUUGAUUGGUUUUUUAUGAAAGAGAAAGAUUAGUAUUGGAUGGGAUAUAUAUUAGUAUAAUGAAUCUAGAUAGCAAGUCUAUUUAGUUUCGUAGUAUGAUAUAUUUUAUCUAGUGCUAGGCUAUUACUCCGUAUAUUAUAAAAUGGAAGAAGUAUGCUUUUCCUAUCUAUCUGUUUUCUUAAUCUGCUUUUCACGUAGACCAUCAAUUUUUUUGAAACAAGUAGACCAUCAAUUUUGGUUACAUGCGAGGUUGCCAAAUGGCAACGAACAAAUAAAGAGCAUGUCUCUGCAUUUCAUUUUGGCCAUUAGUUUGGCGGCCUUAAGCUGAUAAGCCGUAAAAAUACCUUAUUAGUAAUAAAAACUAAUUUCUAAGGAAAACUUUAUAUUUAUACCUAAGCAAUUUUAAACUGAAAAAUAAACUACUCUCGACAAUUUUAAAUUAAAAUUUCGACAGCAGAAAAUCGGAGGCAUUUGCAUGGCCUAGCAACCAGGUCAGUAGCAGCCACGCACGUACCACCGGUUCAUCACCCGACCAGUCAAAUCAGGGCGUUAUUUUCAUGAUCCAAAUGCAGACAACGGAUUGAUCGGUCGUGUCGCGUCGUGCAACAGAGCAAAGACGACGUGGAUGCUCCAAGUCGUGAGACGUUUCCCAGCCAGAAAAAAACUCGCUACUCUCCUUGACGCAGAAAGGGCCAAAAUUCUGCUUGAUAUGCGUAAUUUCCUCGGAACUCAUAUAAUACUUGUGUGUGGUAAGAACAGUGUAUGUCUCCAUCAGGCCAUAGUUCGUUUUCAGGACAAAAUGCAUCUCGCUAUCUCCUCGGUGGAAUGGCGCAUACUGGGGGUGUAUAAUCAUGCAGACUGCAGACACCUUUGAAGCUGUCCUGUGUCGGCAGCGUUGCGUCGGAUUGGAUAGGCCCUCGAAUUGUUCGACAACGACCUUGCUCCCCUUCCUUCAGGCCCAUUCUCUCGUGAAAGCAAACGUCGGAUUCGAACAGGAUCUACUAAUAAAGGAAAAAGUACACCGAAGAUACCUCAACUUAACUUGUCAUCGGGUUACAAAAUUGUCCCCCAACCACAACGUCCCUCAACUAACUAAACCGAACGGUUUCGUUUGAGAUUUUUUUUUGGUGGUUUUGAUUUCGGUUUUGUCCGACGUGGCGCUGAGUAGCGUGAAACUCAUAUGGACCCACAUGUCAGCGUGGCCACAUCAUCAUUAUCUCCCUUUUCCUCUCCCCUCUCCCUUCCUCAUCUCUCUCUCCAUCCUCUGCGAGGCCGUAGUGCGAGGCGGGACGGGAGAGGAGGGCGUCGGCAGCCGGCGACUGGCGACGCGACGGCGGUGAUGGCGGCUACUGGCGACGCGGCGGCGGUGGGGGAGGAGCUGCGGGCGGGCGGCCGGGGAGGGACGGCGCGCGGGCUCACCCGCCGGCAGCCGCCCACGAGGCGGCAGCGAGGGGAGGAGCUGCAGACGGGCUGCGGGGAAGGGGUGGCGCGCGGCCGGUAGAGAAGCAGCGUGCGGGCGGCCGGGGAGGAGCGGCGCUGUCGGCGACUCCCACUCUCAGAUCCCCCUCGCUCUUUCUCUCUCUCACCAGGGUCCAGGGGCGCUGUCGGCGGCGCGGUGGCGCCACAGUGUCAGCAAGAAACAAACAUAUGCAAAUCCAAUCUGAUGGGAGGAGCAUAGCAACCGAUGGUGAAAAUCUUUGAUAUGUGUGUGUUGAUUUAGCGGAGAGAUCAGUGAGCAUGUGAUUCGCAUAUUGAUUGUUUGGUUCUUUCUAAGUAAGAGAAGAAGUGAAAUGCUCCUAUUUGCGGUGCAGCCGAGCAGCAAGCAGAACGGAGAAAGCCGCAACGGGUGUACCUUGGGGAGCGAGCAGAAGGAAGGAUUUGGCAGGGUCGAUGCCGGAGAGCCGACGCGCGGCGAGAGCUGACGCAGCGCAGACUGCAGAGAGAGCACGUGCGGCGGCGGCGGCGGCGGUGGCGGCGUCGAGGUCAACGGCCGCUUGCCGCAAGGUGUUCAGCGACGCCGAGCUGAUAGCCGUGCAGCAGCAGGCGCCGCUCGUGGGUGCAAUGCAACUGGUGGACGGCAUCAAGAUGCUGCUCAACGACUACUGGCCUGCGGCGGCGGCGGUCGCCGGGAACGGGAUGGCGGCAGCGCCCUCUUCGACGAGGCUCUCGGCCGACCACUACGUGCUGAGAAAAGUGAGAGAUGAGGAAGGGAGAGAAGAGAGGAAAAGAGAGGAUGCUGACGUGGCCACACUGACAUGUGGGGCCCACGUGGAUCCCACGCUAAGUCAGCUGCCACAUCGGAUAAAACCGGAGUCAAAACCACUAAGAGCAAGUGUUAUGGUAGAUGUGACUACCACAUCUAAAUUUAUCCGUACUUAGGUGUCAUUCGAACCUACUAGGAUGAACAUUUAGAAAAGAAAAUAUUAACGUGUGAUUAAUUGGGUUUUAACUAUUUUAGACUUGGAAAUGAAUUUAUUGAGAUUUUAAACCAACUUCUACAUAGAAAUUUUUCGUUUGAAAUACACCGUUUAGCGAUUCGAAGAGCAUGCUAAUAAAAUAAUCUGAGAUAAAAUCUUAUCCAGAGACUUUUUUCCGGUGAGAAUAGAAUGUUAACGUGUUGGGCCAGAAGAGGUGAGAAGGCCGUUUCCAUAGCUCGUUUUACUGGGCCGAGCAACCAGAGGCCCACCGUGCAUCACAUUGACGGUGCCCCCCAUACGGCACGCAGACAGAACAGCAGAAGCGUGCCGAGACGGCGAGGUAUCCCGUAUCAUCCCCCUCCCGACCCGGCCGCCGCGGCUCGCGCCAACGUUGCCGUACGUCGACUUGUGCUGCAUCUCAAGCAAACAAAGCGCUGAAACGAAACGGCAGGAUCGAUACCCCCCGAGGCGGCUUCGCCUUUCCUCCCUCCAACCACGUGCCACCCGCGCGCGUCGGCGAUCCCUACGUCCGCGCGCGCGCGCCGCGAUCGGACGGCUCCCACCCCUCGGCCGGCCGCCGCCCACGCCUCGCGUGUCGCGGCACCUGUCGGCCACCCCCGCUCCCCGCGGCGCACGCGACCUGAAGAAAAUUUUAACAAACGCCGUGUUUAGAUCCUAAAUAAUUAUUCAAACAUCCAACUUUUCCAUCUUAUCAAAACUUUUAUACAUACAUAAAUUUCUAACUUUUCCGUCACAUAAUUCCAAUUACAACCAAACUUUUAAUUUUAGUAUGAACUAAAUACAACAAAAAAAAAACUUCUCUCUCCAUUUCAUUUCAAGCGCACCUAUUUUUAUGUCGAUCGUUCGUAUUAUUUGAAAAAAUUUAAAAAAGUACUACAACUCAUAAAAAAUAUUUAUGUUUAUCAUCUAAUAACAAUAAAAUACUAAUUAUAAGAAAAUUAAAUAAAAUAGAUGAUGAAAGUUGGAUACCUAAAAUUAUGGCUACGUUUAACGUGGAACGGAGGAGUACUAUCAUGUCCCAAUCGCCUGCCGAGCCGAGAGGGAAAAAAAGGUGACCGAAGUGGCCGCGAGCACGGUACGUCGCUCGGUACGUUACGUACGUACGUACGCCUUGCCUAUCCGUUGCGAGCGGUAGACCAGGGUUGGUGGUGCUGCGUGCAGGUCACGGCCGCUACGGCUAUAAAAUUGGCCAUUUGGCCCAGGAGAGAGGGGGUCCUGGCACACACGGCCGAACUUUACCCAACGGCUCUCUUUGCAUUUAACCACCUGUUGCUUGCUAUUUAUACACUGCAGAUGCUCCAGAGAAAAUCCCGCUCUUACAGAGAGUCCUAACUGUGCUUUGCUUUGCUUGUUGUUUGACAUGAUACUAUAGCAUCCACUUUGUUCAUCUUUUUCGUUUAACUAAUUUCUUCUCUUUUUUUUGUCCUUUUUCUUUACAAUUAUAAGCUGCUUCGAUCUCGAUCUGUUUUGGUCGAUUGAGAUCAGCAAGCAAGCAACCAUCUUUUUAUUUUUAUUUUAUUUUUCUUUCAUACAUCUCCACCUAUUUUUUGCUGGUUGGAGUUCUUCUAUUUCUCUUUUAUCUUUUCAUAGUUUCGAUUUGCACUUCAGCUUUUCUGAUCUACUCACCAUCAUCAUCAGCUUGCGGCUGCUCAGGUCAGAUCAGCUUGUUUCAUUCGCAUCUAUAGCUUCUUUUUUUCCGCUCAAACUGUUCAGAUUUGCAAGCGAGAUCGGUGCCAAUGGAGAACGCCUUUAAAUCGUUGAGCUCUUCGGCAAAAUCGCCAUCGUUCAUGGCUUCCAACAAGCACUAUCACGGCGUCGUCAACCACCAGCCUCCGUUCCCACAACCGCCGGCGACGCCACCGCAGCCUCCGCUCCUGCCGCUGCCGGCGCGCCCCCAUGCCCCGCCGCCGCAGCAGCACGCCGCCUGGCCGGCGCCACAACGUUCCAAGAAACCAAGCCACGCCACCGCCACCGCCGCCGCCGCCGCCGCGGCGCUGGGCCCCAAGAAGACGGCGCCGGUGCCCAUCCCUGUACAGGCGGCGCCGUCGAAGAAGAGGGCGGCGGCGGCGAGCCAGCAAGAGGCGGCGGAAUGGACGACGACGACGGACUCGCUGUACUCGGUGUCGCCGCCGCCGAGCUGCGUUCCGAUGCCGACGUCCCUGCUGGUCGGUGCAGCGGCCGGGAGGAAGGCGGCGACCGCGUGCGCCGUGGAGGUGGCCGGCGGUGGCGGCGUGGACGUCGGAGCGACCGACGAGCUCCGGCGGCUACUCCGGCUCUAGCGGCCCCACACGUGCCCCUGCUUGCAGCAACAUGCCAUCGAUGUUUGUUGUUUGUUCUACGUUUUGGUGCAACUUGUAUACGUGCCCGAAAUAAAGAUGAGCACGAUGUUAUUGCUACAGGUUGUAUUGGGUAUUUGCCCUCUGAAUUCAAUAUAUACAAUGUGUUUGUGUUUGUGUCACCAGCUGGAUUGAAAAUGAGAAAGUUUUGUUCUUCUUUUGUUGAUCUACUCCGAAAUGCAAACCAAGGUCAGUUCAUAGCAGAAAAGGUUGCGAGGAGAUUAGAGUCUUUGUAUUGGUAGAUCUCAUCUCAGAAUAAUAAGCAAGGGGCAGGUUGUCACCGUUUCUUCACCUGAAGCAAUAGUAGAUGUGGAGAAUGGAGAAUUCUGUAAAUCAGAUCACUAUGAAUUCUGAUUUCAAUUAUCACGCAGACAUGCAGCGAGGUGUUUUGUCGACACGUUGCAUACCUUACGAAAAAGUGGCAAAUGAUCACUCAUCCCUUCUUAAAAACAGAAACAGCUUUAUUAAAUCUGGUGCAAGAAUUGGCAACAGCAAGGAAAAUGCAGUAAACCCUUCUUGUCAAUGGGGACAACUGUAUCACGAUUGAUCAGUCUUUACGCGCUACAACCAGAAACCAACCCCUAUCCACAUUCUCCAUUAUUUCUCCGACAAAAAAAAAAGGGGGAAAGAUCUCAUACAUAUACAAUGCAGUCUCCUCUCUGAAAUGAUAAUGUAGCCUAUUUAGUAUACAGUCUGAAGAUCCAAGUAGGAAGAAUCAGCAGUCGCAGAAUGCACGGAGGGUUUCGUCGAGGGCAUUCC
rnacentral:lncRNA from 1 species